UCUUUUUUUUCUUGUUGAAAUCAUGAACACCAUAGUUAAGGGGAGACUAGGUUCGACCAAGCUAUUCAUGGUAUAUAAUUUUGUCCCAUUUUUAGUGGUUUUUAUGUUUUUGAGUUCGUAUUAGCUUAAUCUAGCUAGCCUGGGGGUUAAUUCGUAAAGUUAUUAAAAGUAUAGGGACUUUCCAUGAUUUAUUUUGAAUGUUUUUUUGAAUUUAAUUGAUAUAUUAAUAAAUUUGGUUGUUAAAUAAACAUGUUUUGUUAAGUGAUUUUUAGUGAUUUUAAGGUUUAAGGAUUAAUUUGUUAAAAGAAUAUAAUUAAUUAGUAAAAAUGUAAAAUUGUGAUAAAUAUAGGUUUUUAAGGAACCUUAUGAAAAUAUUCUAGAAUGAGAUAUUAUCAAUUGUGGUUAAAUUGUAAGUUUCGAGUUUAAGGACUAAAGUUAAAAUGUUAGGGGUAAUUUCAUAAUUUCACAUUAAAGUGGGUUAUAAGAUAGAAUUAAUUAUAUUAAGUUAUUUGAAUGAUUUAAUUGAAUGAAAUUAUUAUUUAGAUCAAGGAAAGAACUAACAUAAUUUAAACCGAGGAAAGGCUAAAGUGUUGGAUUUGUAACAACCUAUUUUUAGUGAAAUCAGAAUAGUGAUUUCGGGACCACAAAUCUGAGUCAGAGAGAAAAAUUAUUUUAAUAGUAUUGCAUGGUCUGCAUUAUGAUAGGAAUGACGUAUAAAAAUUUCAUUAAAAUUUUUUUUACCAAUUACAUGAUUAAUUGAUUAAAGGACCAAAUUGCAUUAAAUGCAAAAGUUGAGUUCUAGUAGCUAUAGAUAGUAAAUAGCUAUGGAAUUCAAAACUUGAGAUCCUUAUAUGACAAUUAGACCAUUAAAUGGAGUUAGUAGAUAAUUAUGAUGUUAGUAGAUAAUUAUGAUGAUUCAUCUAUGGAAAUUUAAGAAAAGAAAAGGACUAAAAUGGAAAGUGGAAAUAAUAAAAGAUGAUAAUUAAUUAAAAGAUAAAAUAUCAACUUAUUUCAUCAUCUUCCCCAAAUUAUUUCUAUGGAAACCCUAGCUAAGAGAAAAUAAUUUAAGCAAGCUUAAUUGGGUAAGCAUUCUUGUCCCGUUUUUAGUAAUUUUAUUUUUUUGAGAUCGUAAUAACCUAAUUUAGCUAUUUUGGGGAUUAAUUUGCAAAGCUAUCAAAGUAUUAAAAUUUUUCCAUGGAUGAGUAUGCUGAAAUUUUAAAAUUUAUGGUAGAAAAUAAAAGGUUGUUGAUAUAUAAAUAACUUUUGUAAAGGAAUUUUUUAUGAAAUUGUGAUCUAGGGACUAAAUUGAAAAGAUGUAAAAAUUCAUGGAAAAUUUUUUAUUUUUGUGAAAUACAUGAAUUGAUAUUGUCAUAUGCAAAAUUCAUCUAGGCUUGGAAUAAAUAUUAAAUUGCAUUAAUUUCAUUUUCCAAGCCUAGGGACGAAAUUGAAAUUAAUUAAAAGUAUAGGGGCAAAAUGGUACUUUUUGCCUAAAAUAUGAAUUGGAUUGAAUUGAAUAUAAAUUUUAUUAAAUUGAGUUAAAUUUACUCGUAUAGAUCUGGAUAGACCUAGUACGGAAUUCGAUCGGGGAAAAUAAAAAGUAUCGGAUUAGUAGAUUCUCGUAUACAAAUAAAUGUUGAGGUAAGUUCAUGUAACUAAAUUGUGUACAUUUAUAUGUUUAAAUUAAAUUUAUAUAUGUGAAUUUUAUAAUUUUCGUGUAUGUGAAAGUGAUUAAAUAUAAAAAAAUGCCCGAUAAAUGUUAAGUCUCGUUUGAACAAAUGAAAAUCAAUGGAUACAAGUUUCCCGUAUUGGUUGUAGUCCUGCAUAUGUUGCAGACACAACACAGCUUGAAAGAGCAUCCCAUUAUUAGCCUUCUCGAGCUUCCCAUUAAUAGCUCUUCGGAGCAUCCUAAUUGGUUGAGAUCCUACAUGUGUUGUGGAGACACCACAGCUCUUAUGAGCUUUCGGAUUAUGGCUCUUUGUGAGCUUCCCGUUAAUUGGCUAUUUGUGAGCUUCCUGAUAAGGCUCGCUUGAACUUCCGGAUAUAUGGCUAUCUGGAGCUUCCCGAUUAAUGGUUCUUCGGAGCUACCCGAUAUUGGCUCACAUGAGCUUCCUGAAUAUGGCUCUUAUGAGCUUCCCGUUAUAAAGCCCGGAUAAGCUUCCCAUUACAUGGUGAGCUUCCCGAUAUAUUGCUUGAGAGAGUGCUUCCCAUUUAAGUGUUCUUAUGAACACUCCUAAAUAUGAAUUGACGACUUACAGAAUCGUACACUUCAUAUGUACUACCCGAUGUCCAUCGAUAUUUCUUAAGGUUUAACGAGCAAAGUUCUGAUAUAAGUUAAGAUACGAUUUGAAUGAAUUAAUAAUUGUAUCUACCUGAAAAUACAUGGAAAUGUUUAUACGAUGACCUCAUCUCUGUUACUUAUUUGAAAUGCAUUUGAAAUACAUGACUAACUUGCUUGAAGAUGUAUAUGUGAUAGGUUAUUGAUUAAGUUGAUUUGGAUGUUCUUUGUAUGCUUAUUUUAAAUGAAUAUGAAUGGUGAUUCAAUUUCCCGUUAUACGAACUUACUAAGCAUUUAAAUGCUUACUCUAUUUUUUCUCUGUUUUAUAGUACUCGGAAGCUCAUAAAGGUUGGAGCGGGUCAAAGCAAGAUUACACUAUCCUUCAGCUCUUUUUGGUAUAAAUAGCAAAUUUUAAUUAGAAUAUAAUGACAUGUAUAGGUUAAACUGGUCAAAUGUUGGCAUACACAUGUUUUGGUUGUAAAUAGCCAUUGGAAUGGCUUGUAAUGGUCAUGUUUUGAUAUAUAUAUAUGGUAUUAUCAUGUUUGGAGUAUAAAUAUGAUUAUGCACAUAUAUGCAUUUGGUAAGAAUGACAUAAUAAUAAAUUGUCUAUUGGGAAGCCUAAGGGUACACUGGUUGUAUGUGUAAAAUGUCAAGAUUAAGACUUCGUUUUGGCUUGGUUUAAAUGUCUUGAAUUGGUUAGUGAAUGUGUUAAAAUGUUGAUGUAGGUGGAAGACAAGUUUAGGUGAGAAAUAAGGCUUGGAAAUGGCCUUAUUUUAUCCAUACGGGCAGAGAAACAGGCGUAUGUGACACACGGCCUAGUACAUGGGUGUGUGUUUCGACCGUGUGUCCUUUGCAUCUUAAAAUUUCAAAAUAGAAUGCUCAGGUAUUUUUAUACAGGCAGAUACACGAGCAUGUGUCUCAGCCAUAUGUGUCACACGGCUUGGCACAAGGGUGUGUGACUUAGCUGUGUGAACCCUGAACCUUAAUUAUGCAAGUCAGUAUGCUCACACGGCCUAAAACAUGGGCGUGUGGCUCGGCCGUGUGACUAAGUCAAUAUGCAACCUAAUUUGGACAUAGGCUGGAACAUUGCCGUGUGGUUCACAUCGAAUACCCAUACGGCCUGAGAUACGGGUGUGUCACUUGGCUGUGUGAGCCACAUGACCUGGCCAUACGAGCGUGUGUCCCCUACAUAUAAGGAAAAUUUUAAAAUUUCACGAAAAAUUCCUGAGUUCUCGGUUUAGUCCUCACUUGUUUCUAAUGCAUAAUUUGGGCCUCGAGGAUCCAUUUGAGGGACUUUGUGAAAAUUUUCUAAUAUGAAAUGUCUGUAUUUGAUCUGUAUAUUUCGGUAAUGCUCUAUAACCAUGUUUCGGCAAUGGAUAUGGAUUAAGGAUGUUAUAGGAUUAGUCGUCGGCUUUGUUUUCACAGCUAUUUUUUAUCGACGUAAAUUCGUAUGAGUAUUAAACUUAUUAAUUAUUGUUUCAUAUGCAUGCUAUUAAAUGUUAUACUAAAUGUAAUGGGCCAAUUUAGCCCAGGCCCAAAACCAUAAGAUAAACAAAAAUAAAAUGUCCACUGUCCAAUUUACACAACCCAAAAUCAUAACCUGAACCCAAUUACAUAAUACCCAACCAAACCCAAAACCUAAAACCUAGCCCAACAAAUACAUGGCCCAACUAGCCCAAAAAUUAAAAACUAAGAAACCCUAGGGUUUCUUUAGGCGCGUCGCAGCCCCCAGCCCCCAGCCCCCAGCCUACAGCACCACCUCCGUACGCCCUCCACGUUGGCAUGCCCAUGAACGACUUCUCCAUGCCAUACAUACCUACAAAACAGAAUGCCAGCAGGCAAAUAACCGCACAUAACAACAAUACAGCAAGAAAAUAAGAUUUCUUGUAUUUUUUUCCUGUAUAUUUUUCUUGAUUUAUUUUUGCUAUAAAAAGGCCAUUGUAAACACUGUAAAGGAUAUACAAAAAUCAGUGGAGAUCAAACAAAAGAAUACACUUCAGAGGUGGUUAUUUAUCACUAUUUUGUUUUAUUUUUUCCUUCUUCUUUUUUUCAUUUUCAUUCGAAUCUAUGAUAUAUAUACUAAAAUAUAAUAAAAAGGGAGAGGAUAGAUGUACCUCUCAAUUCACUAGCAAAAGGGGAUCUUCAGUCUUCCGAUGGCCGUCUACGGCAGCACGUGUGGCAAAGUUACAGUGGUGGCUUGCUGAAUUUGGACGAAAGGGGGGGAGAGUGAGGGAGUUGAGAGAAAAGAAUUGAGUUUUUAGGUUUUUUUUUUCUUUUUGAAAAAAACCAAAUUAAUUUUUGUUAAAAUUUUUUUGGAUUUAUAUGGUUUAGGAAACGACACCGUUUUGUUGGAGCAAGGUCCGCACGUUGACCCGACCUGUAGAGAGGGUCCGCAUGUUUUGGUCCUGAAUGGGAAAUUUGUGCAUUGGGUCCCUCCUUGUUUUGAUGCAAUUUAAUUGAGUCCCAUUUAGAUUUCUUUUGUUUUUUUAAUUUUUUUUCCUGAAAUUUAUGCGCUGUUUUGAUUUAAUCCGGUUUAAAGGGCAUGUUCAGGAACUUGGGAUAAUUGUGUUAUUCAAUCCCCACGCAUUUGCAUGCAUUGCGCUUUGGUCCUUAUUUCAAUUUCAAUGGUUUAUUUUAUUUGUUAAUUAUCUCUUUUCGUUUGCUUUUAUUUCAAUUAAGUUUUUUUUUUCAUUUUUAAUUUGUAUAAUUCAUUAUUUUUUUAAAUUCAUCUGGCAUUCAUCUUUUAAAAUUUUUUAUACAUACAUUUUGAAUUGCUUUGAUAAUUUUACAUUGUUUUUUUAUUUUUGUUUAAACUAUAAGAUUAUUACUUUAAGAUCCUCUUCUAUGUCAUAUUGUUUUCAAAUUUUGUAUAAUAUUUAAUUUAAAUUACCCUUAUAUAUUAAUAUAUAUAGUUUAUGUUAAAAUUAGUUUUAUUCCAUAAACAUUAUUAUUUCCGUAUUAUUUUAUAUAUAUAAUUUCUUUUAAAUCUAUUUAUAUAUAUUUUCUUUCAAAUCUAUUAUGUACAUAGUUUAUUCGUUAAAAUAUAUUUUUAUCAUAUUUUUGUUAUUUAAAAUUCUUUCAUGUACUAUUACCCCAUUAUAUAUUAUUUAUGUUUUUUAUUAUUAUGUGUAUAUUAUCAAUUUUAAAUAGACAUGCUUUGUUUUUAAGAUAUUUUGUACAUUAUUUGCUCCAAACUUCUUUCAUAAUAUUUAUUUUAAUAAUCAUCUAUAUAUUAUUAAUUUGUUCUUCUUCUAUCAUGUGUUGCUCCUUUGUAAAUUUUCAUAUAUUUAAUAGUCUUUAAAUUGUUUAAAACAUUGAUUCGUACUUUUCAUAUUGUUUUGCAUAUUAUGUGUCAUUUUUGGUUUUCAUAUUGUUUCACAUAUUAUUGUUGCAUAUUGUUUGUUAGUCUUUGGUAUUAUUAUUUAAAUUUUAUUCAUCCAUGUUUGAAAAUUUGUCACAUUUUUAGUCUAAUUUGUUUUUUCUAAUUAGCUAUAUUUUAGUUUUCAUUAAUCUUUGAUUAUCAAUACUAGUUUAUUUUUCAAAAUAGGAUCAUGGGAUUAUUGUUAUUUGUAUUUCAAAUUGUAUGUUCAUAUUAAUAUCCUUGUCAUCUAUUUGUAUAGCGUUGUACUCACAUAUUAUUGUUUCAUGCUUGUAAUUAUGUUUUUAUUUCUUGUUAUUGCAUCAUGAUUCUAAUUCCCAUAUUCGCUCAAUAUCGAUUGUUUUUUAUCUCCAAACAAACCAAACAAGUAUAUUUUGAUUCGGAUUUUAUAAUUGUUUAUUUGAAAAUCUCCCAAAACAAAGGCAAUGUUUGAUGUUUGGAAAUUUGGGAAAUCGUGCCCUAACGUGCUAGGUUUCGAUUUUCCACUUGUCCAAAAUAAUCAAAUAUCCCUUUAAAAUUUCGUCCGUGUUUUCUAAAUUUUAAAACAAGGCAAUGUACUAUGUUUGGAAAUUCGAGAAAUCAUGCCUUAACGUGUUGGGUUUUGGUUUUUCGUUGGACCAAAUAACCAAAUAUCUUUUUGAAAAUGCAUGAGUUCCGAAAAUCAAGAAGACGAUCUUGGUUUCGAAGGUUUAAAAAUGUCAUGUCCUAAUGUGUUGGAUGUGAUAUUUUAUUCCUUCAGGACGAGAGAAUCUUAACAUUCAAUUUGAGUUAUUCAAAUAUUUUUAAAGGAAAUGGUCUUCCAAAAUCUUUUCAAAUUUUUUGACAUUAAGACAUCAAUUAAUCAAUUAGGUACCAAUUUUGAGCGUUACGAGGGUGCUAAUCCUUCCUCAUACGUAACCGACCCCGGACCUGUUUUCUUAACUUUCGUAGGCCAAAAACAAUUUUUUUAAUAAAAUAAAAUGUUUUAUUAGGUGAUCCGAUCACACCUAAACAAAAAGAAUUGGUGGCGACUCCAUACCAUAUUUUAAAGUCGAUCCCCCAUUUCUUUGAAAAUUAAAAAAAAUGGUUUCGACUGCUUGGCGAAUCCGCUGGGGACAUAAGGGAGUCAAGCUGUAAAAUUGAUUAUUUUCUAUCCUUUAGUCGAAAAUUGAAAAUUGGAUUUGAAAAAAAUCAUGAUUUUUUUGUUGCAUUUGUUUGUGAUCCUUAUGAUUGCUGUAGAUUAAGUCUCGUAGAAUACUCUUGCAUUGCAUUGCAUGACCGUUGUGGUUACACCUUUUAAGUGGGAGGGAUAAGCUAUGCCUUCGUGAGGUUUUCUCCUUCGUAUGGGCUAGUUGUAACACCCCAAACCUGGCCCAGAUGUUAUGGCUGAAUCCGACGUGUCACAUUAAAGUUUUUUAAGAAAGCCCAUGCCUCUUUCAACGUCCUUCUUAGUGUUUUAAAAGAUAGUCUUUGCUAAGUUGAUAAAGUGAAUAGAAGCUGUGCACCAGGUAGGUAUCCGUAACAGAGGAGGUGAGCCAUGAAGGCUGCUUAAGUACCAAGCUCUUGAUUGGAUCCAAUCCUAGACAUGCCCACAACCAUUGCCACACUUUGGCGCGAGGUUAGGUUUUGGAAAAAAAAGGUCGAGUUGGAAUUCAUUUAAGCAGAUAUUUUUGAUAAACCGAUUACUUGUAUUGUUGCGCUAUUUUGAAAACAAGUAUCACUUUGAAAACGCGCCCUAAGUCUAACCCAUUUUGGAUAAUUAUCAGUAAAAUAUAGAGUAUAGAAUAAAAUAAAAUAAUCCCAGGAAAAUAAUUAAAAUGGCCUUAUUACAACCCAAAACCGAAUAAUAAUAAUAAUAAUUAGGAUAAGACUUAUUAAAAAAACUAGUUACUUAUUGCAAACUUCGGAAGCGAUCACCAUGGCCACUCUGAAUCCCCUCCGGCUCCAAGUCACCACAUCAAAGCUCACCUACAAGGUUAAGGAAAGGGGUGAGUUUAGAAACUCGGUGUGCAACAAGCCCCUUUCAGAGCCCAAACUAAUAUCAGCAUACUGGGCCAAAGCCCUAAUUCAGUCUCGUCAUAUACUGGGCCGAAGCUUUUCGUUUAACAGUUACUGGGCCGAAGCCUUUUCAUAAAUCAUACCACUAGGCCGAAGCCUUUACUGUAAACAGUAUGGCCCAUAGGCCCAUUUCAAUAUCACAUGAAAUACCAAUGAAUGUAUGCAAGCUCAUUUGGGGAGACUACUCAACCCACCAUCCGCUACUCUCCACCCGUACCAACCAAGCUCUCCAUGUGGGGAAUAACUCAACCCACCCAACCAAACUCUCCACUGGCAGCAUAGCUGUUUUAUCAUUAAUUGGAGGCCUAGCCUCUUUUAAUAACUGGGGCAAAGCCCUUUUUGGUAAACUAGGGCAAAGCCCUUUUCGCACGACCUUCAUUUAUAUAAACCCCAACCCAUGCAUAUAAUGAGUAUAUCAUGGCAUAUCAUGUGCAUCUCAUGACAUAUCAUGUGCAUACCAUGUCAUAUCAUGUAUUAACAAUAUCUCAUGCUUCAUAUUCAUAAUUAAACCCUAGGGGGUAUAAUGGUCAUAUUUACCUAGGGCAAAAUAGUCAUUUUUCAUAUUAUAAGGAUAAUUUCGUAAUUUUACCAAAUAUUAUGGGUUUCCCAUGUUCAUUAACGAUUAUCAAUGUUUCUGAGUGUUUAAACAAUGAUCUUUAACCCACUUAUCAAAUUUGGGCUUUUGGGCCCAAAACCCCUAAUGAGCCCUACGAAUGUCGAUUUUAGCCCACUAAGCCCACUUAAACCAAAUUUUACAACAGUACUAACCGUGUUAACAUGAAACUUUUCCAAAUUCCAUUUUCUAUCAAUUUUACACAAAUGGCCCGAAAAGCCCAUUGGGCCCAGUUCCAGCCCAUUGAGGCCCAACUUACCAUCGUGCACAAAAUUGUUCUCUUACCUGUUCCGUCGAUCCAAAAUCGAUCAUAUCGUAUUUAUUGCAUCUAUAAACAAAUGCAAAAUCACAAGUUCCCAAAAUGCUGGAAUUUUAGCAUUUCGGCUUUUCAGCGAAUAUUAAUCUAAGCUAGUACGAGGGUUAUUACACACCUGUUUUGUGACGUUUACUAACAAGGUCUCCCAUGACAACCUAAAAUUAAUCACCACCAUUCUUAGUUUACAAUUCAUGCUUAUCAAACCCAAAAUCCACCUUACCAUAGUCGGCCAAAGAACCCCUAAUAGCCAUAGAUCACUUACCUACACAAGGUCCGAUGAUUCGAUCCAAGUUUAUCCAAACUGAUACUCCAAGCCUUGCUCCUCCUCCAAAGUUGUCUAUAUCACUACACAAACUAUAAAAAUCGAAUGAAAAGGCCCAGUGAGGCCUAUACCUCAAAUCGACAACCUCUCUAAACUAUAGGAGGUUUCAGCUUUUCUUAACAUUUACACUACUGAAUCAAUUUGGAAAACGAGUACUUGCCACAGUCUUCCCUUUUGUACUGUUUAGACCCAAAGUAUACUUAGCCCUCAACCACCUAGCAGCCUUCGAAUCCUAGAGGUCUACAAGUUCAGUUAUGCCCCUAGAACUAAGGUAUUUCGGCUUUUAGGACCAAGAAAAAGAAAAAGAAAUGGUGUGGUGGCUUUGUAUUUGUGUUGCCGUCAGGGACUUUUAGAGUUUAGCGGAUGAAGGGAUCGGUCACAACAAACGAAGAGCAAAGAAUGAUGCUGGUCUAAAUGAAAUCGGCACAACCAACUUGAAAAGUUUCGGCUCUUAUGGCUAUUCGGCAAGGGUGAUGAAAAGAAAGGGAGUAGUAGUUUGGCUUUGGCAAAAGAAGAGAAAGAAAAAUGGGUGAAAGGAGUGGUGAUUUUGGCUAGAAAAAAAAAGGAAGAAAAGAAAAAUCCCUAUGAUGUUCAAACCAAAGAAAACGGCACCACUAAAGCCCCUAAUGCCGAAAUACUAACCUAAAACCUCUAAACCGAUUUAUCCUCCCAAAAUUCCCACUAUUCGGCCAACACUAAGCCUCCAUUCAAAUCCCCAAAAUCUCUCCCAUUAUCACUCCUAAAUCCAUGCAUUUGACUGAUUCAAACUCUCUCCAACAAAGUUCCAUUCGACUUCAACCUCUUGCAUGCUCAAGACAUAAAAAUAACAACACAAUUGCCAGCUUAGUGAAUCGAACCUUGGCUUUCCCCCAACUACGUACACGCCACUUUUUUUUAGCUCCUUAGUGGCAUCACUUAACCACUUUGCCAAGGGCCCUCUUGUGUCACAUUUUACCCACAUCUUUUAAUAAGGCCACCUAUCCAAUGCCUUUAACUCCUUAAGUACAAAAUACAAAAAUUCUACCGGGUUUUGGCCAACACAUGGGCCUUCCAUAGGCCCAUUUACACACUCCAAUUAUGAAUUUCCCAACCAAAAUCCAAAUUUUAAAAAUUUUACCAAAUUCUUCAAAAUUACGAAAAUCCCGAAAAUCAGGGUGUUACGACUCUACCCUCCUUAAAGAAAUUUCGGCCUCGAAAUUUUACCUGAUCCGAACAGUUGUGGGUAUUGUUGACGCAUUGCCUCCUCUGACUCCCAUGUAGCUUAUUCUUUGCUAUGGUUUCUCCAAAGUACCUUCACCAAUGGGACUAACUUUCUUCUCAACACCUUGACGUCACGAUCAAGUAUCUGCACAGCUUCUUCUUCGAAGGUCAAAUUCGACUGUACCUCAAUUUCUGCAACUGGUACGAUAUGAGUAGGGUCAGAACGAUAUCGCGUUAGCAUGGACACAUGAAAGAUGUCAUGAAUACGAUCCAGCUCUGGAGGUAACUCUAGCUGAUAAGCCACUGGCCCUAUCCGCUUAAGGAUCUGAUAAGGCCUAAUGAAUCGUGGACUCAACUUGCCCUUCUUACCAAACCUUAAUAUCUUCUUCCAAGGCGAAACCUUCAAAAAGACCAUGUCCCCUACAGUAUACUCAAUAUCCUUACGCUUCAGAUCAACAUAAGACUUUUGUCGAUCCGUUGCCUCCUUUAACCGAUUCCUGGUCACCUUAACUUUGUCUUCAAUAUCCACUACUAACUCCGGUCCAAGUACUUGCCUUUCCCCUAACUCUGCCCAACAAGUAGGCGAACAACACCUUCGCCCACACAGUGCCUCGUAAGGAGCCAUCUGAAUACUUGCUUGGUAACUAUUUUUAUACGCGAACUCCACCAACGGCAAGUAAUCCUCCCAACUGCCCCUAAAGUCGAUAAUACAACCCCUAAACAUAUCUUCUAGAAUCUGAAUGACCCUCUCUAACUGCUCAUCCGACUGAGGGUGAAAAGCCGUACUAGAAUCUGAAUGACCCUCUCUGACUGCUCAUCCCAAUGCCUCAUGCAAAUUCUGCCAAAACCGAGAUGUAAACCUUGGGUCUCGGUCAGAAAUUAUCGAUACUAGCACCCCAUGCAACUGCACUAUCUCUGCCACAUACAACUUGGCCAACCUCUGAAGUGAGUAAUCAGUUGGAACAGGUAUGAAAUGGGCAGAUUUCAUCAGCCUAUCCACAAUCACCCAAACUGAGACCUUCUUGGAAGGUGUCAAUGGCAGACCACUCACAAAAUCCAUAGUUACCCUUUCCCAUUUACAAAGUGGUAUCUUCACUGGCUGUGACAAUCCUAAAGGUAGUUGAUGCUCGGCCUUUACUUGUUGACACGUCAAACAUUUUCCCACAAAUUCGGUCACUUCUCACUUAAGCCCAGGCCACCAGUAUAGCUCUCGCAAGUCUCGAUACAACUUACUCCCUCCUGGAUACAUAGCACAAGGUCCACCAUAAGCCUCUCUCAAAAUCAUCAAUCUCAAAUCUGAGUCCUUCGGUAUACAAAUUCUUCCUCGAAAACAAAGAACCUCAUCAACAUUUAAUCCAAAGUCUGGAUUCUCCCCCUUCUCAGCUUGUUGAAACUGAGAAACCAACGACUCAUCCACCAACUACUGCUUCUUAAUCUGAUCCACCCAAGUCGGUCUCACUUGUAAUUUUUUUAAUAAGCUUCCAUCGUCAUACAAGCUUAAACGAGCAAACAUUGCCUUCAAUUCCGCCACAGUCCUUCGACUCAACGUAUCAGCCACGACAUUUGCCUUACCUGGAUGGUACUCAAUCGAACAGUCAUAGUCCUUUAACAACUCUAUCCACCUUCGCUGUCUAAGAUUCAGCUCCUUUUGACUCAACAAGUACUUAAGACUCUUAUGAUCCGUAUAGAUAAUGCAUCUCUCCCCAUACAAGUAGUGCCUCCAUAUCUUAAGCGCAAAGAUCGCCGCUGCCAACUCCAAGUCAUGAGUAGGAUAGUUUACCUCAUGAGGCUUAAGCUGUCGUGAAGCAUAAGCGACCACUUUACCCUUUUGCAUCAACACACAGCCCAAACCUACAUGUGACGCGUCACUGUACACAGUGAAAUCCUUACCAGACUCUGGCUAAAUCAACACUGGUGCCUCAUUCAGAACCUUCUUUAACUUUUCAAAAGCCUCUUGCUACUUAUUUGUCCAAACAAACGGUGCUCCUUUCCUUAUAAGUUUCGUUAACGGCGCUGCCAACACAGAAAAUCCUUCCACAAAUCUUCGGUAAUAACCUGCCAACCCUAGAAAACUUCAGAUUUCUGUUACUGACCUCGAUGGCUAACACUCCAGAAUCGCCUCAAUCUUCCGAAGGUCUACCUUGAUCCCCUCAACAGACACAACAUGCCCCAAGAAAGUUACUUCACUCAACCAAAACUCGCACUUACUGAACUUUGCAUAGAGUUGUUUUUCCCUUAGCACUUGCAGCGCAAUACGAAGAUGCUCAUCAUGCUUCUCUUUCAUUUCCGAGUACACUAAGAUAUCAUCGAUAAAAAUGACUACGAACUAAUCCAAGUACGGCUGAAAUACCCGAUUCAUCAAAUCCAUGAAUGCUACCGGUGCAUUAGUCAAACCAAAGGGUAUAACCAGAAACUCGUAAUGACCAUAUCGAGUUCUGAAUGCCGUCUUAUGAAUAUCCUCUUCUUUGACUCUUAACUGAUGAUAUCCUGACCGAAGGUCGAUCUCAGAAAAUACUGAAACUCCUCUCAGUUGGUUGAACAGAUCAUCGAUUCUUGGCAAAGGAUACUUGUUCUUGAUCGUCAGUUUGUUCAACUGCCGAUAAUCAAUACACAUUCACAUGGUCCCAUCUUUCUUCUUUACGAACAACACUAGUGCGCCCCACGGAGAAACAUUUGGUCUUACAAACCCUCUAUCCAACAGUUCUUGAAUCUGAGCUUUCAGUUCCACCAACUCCUUUGGUGCCAUUCGGUAAGGUGCAAUGGACACUGGAGUUGUUCCAGGUAACAAGUCGAUUCUAAACUCGACUUCUCUGUUCGGAGGUAGUCCAGGAAACUCAUCAGGAAAAACAUCUUGAAAUUCCUUGAUAGUCCUGACUGACUCCAUAGUCAUCCCCUUAGGUUUAGCUUGACUCACAAAUGCUAAAAAUGCCUCACAACCUUUCCAAAUCAACUUCUCAGCCCUUAAAGCCGAGACAACAUUGGACAAAUAGUUCCUUCGUUCCCCUAUGACCAUUAUCUCCUCAUCCUCGGCAAUUCUUAGCACCAUUCUCUUAACAGCACAAUCCAAUGCCGCCCUAUGCUUAGUUAUCCAGUCCAUUCCCAAAAUAAGAUCAAAUUCCCCAAAUGGCAGCUCCAUCAAAUCUCCUACAAAUAUCCUAUCUUGUGUCUCUAAAGGCACCUCCCUAAAGAGUUUAUCUACUUUAACCGAGUGUCUCAAAGGACUUAUCACUGAUACCCCACUCACAGUCUCCUCAGGAAGCACACCCAAUGGCCCAUAUACAUUACAAGCAACAUACAAAUGAGCGGAACCAACAUCAAUCAAAGCAGUGUAAGGUGUGCUAUGAAUGAAGAAUGUACCGGUUAUAACAUCAGGAGCAUCACCUUCCUCACGACGUUGUGCAGCAUAAACCAACGCCGACUGUCAAGCUUCAGCAUGUUCAGCACCCCUUCCAGGUGCCCCACGUCCUCGUCCAUUACCAUUACCACCUCUACCUUGCCCACGACCUCUCUGUGGUGGGGGUCUUCCUCACAGCGGUUGGACACCUCUUUGCUCCGCAACUUGUUCCUGAGCUACUUUCCGAAGACACUCUCUAAACUUAUGUUCCUUUGACCCACAUCGAUAACAUGCUCCAGUUCGUUUCCAGCACUCCCCCAUAUGUACUCUGCCACAGUCCCUGCAAGUCUGCGGUCUAAAGGUAUUCACCGAAACUGCUCGAGCCAGUUCCUCCAUUAUAGCUCUUUUAGCAUUUCUAUAUGCAGCACCCGAGGGUCCAGAAUCCCUCCUGAAUCUAGGUCGAUCCCUCUCACGAUUCUGCCAUUCAGUUUAUUUUACUUCCUCAGCUAUCUUUGCCUUCUCUACCAACGCAGCGAAAUCACGCUCCCUCUGUGGAGCUAUCAGCACCCUAAGCUCAUCACGGAGGCCAUCUUCAAAUCAAACACUGUGCUCAUAUUCGGUCGCAACUAUCCCGCUAGCAUAUCAACUCAACCUCAAGAAUUCCACCUCAUACUCCACAACAGUUUUAUUACCCUAGCCAGAUUCAAAAAUUCCUUUCGACGAGCAUCUACAUAACUAGCUCCAACACACCGCCCCUUAAAAGUAGUCUUAAACAGUUCCCAGGUUACUCGUUCAAUCGGGGUACUCUCCUUUACAGUGAUCCACCACUGGUAUGCCUCAUCUCGUAGCAACGACACGGCCCCCUUCAGCUUUUGCUCCACAGAGCAAUCUAGGUUGUCCAUAAUCCGCUCUGUUGCCUCUAGCCAAUAUUCAGCGACGUUUGGGGCUACUUCAGAUACGCCUCUAAAAACCUCUGCUCCGUUAGUCUGGAGUCACUCAGAGAUGGAUCCCCUAUUCACUGUCCCGGUGCUAGCUCCAGGAACCCUUUCCAAAACCCUUAACAUCGCUUGGGACAAAGUAUCAUCCCCCGCAGCUCGAUCAUGUGACCCAGUCUCAGUUGCCUGUGGCACGGAUGCCUCCUCAGCUGACCUAUGCCCUGAGAAAGAAGAUUCAGCUUGCACCCUUCUGUGACCACGUCCGCGGCCUCGUCCACGAGUCCCUCUUGUACUUAUAUCAAAUUUUCUGAUUACGAAUUUUAUGACAUUAAUUUAAUAUUUCAGUUGUUUAUUACGAGCUGUCUUAUGGAAAUACAGCAGUUCAGAGAUUGUUUUCACAACGUAGUAGCCUAGCUACAGUCUCAAUCCUACUGUUUUAUAGCUCUACCCUGUCUAAAGUAUCAUAGUAGGGUCUCAUUUCUAUCUAUAGCAUCAUAUCAAUAUCAUACGGUGUAAAAGAAAGUAUAUUUACAGACUUGGUGUCGGGGAUUCAGUGUGCCACUUCUUUCUCCAAACCAUUUAAAACUUAAAAACAUGUAUUUGGUCACAAAAAAAAGGGUUUCUUUCUAGAAAUUCUUAAAAAUUGAUUUAAAAUACCUUUGUUUUGAAAUACUUGAUUUUUAAACCCGUUUAAAAUCCACAGCCGAGUUGUUGCAACCUGACUCUGAUACCACUAAAUGUAAUACCCCAAACCCGGCCCAGAUGUUAUGGCCAGAUCUGACGUGUCACAUUAAAGUUUUUUAAGAAAGCCCAUGCGUCUUUCAACAUCCUUCUUAGAGUUUUAAAAGAUAGUCUUUGAUAAAUUGAUAAAGUGAAUGGAAGCUGUGCACCAGGUAGGUAUCCGUAACAGAGGAGGUGAGCCAUGAAGGCUGCUUAAGUACCAAGCUCUUGAUUGGAUCCAAUCCUAGACAUGCCCACAACCAUUUCCACACUUUGGCGCGAGGUUAGGUUUUGGAAAAAAAGGUCGAGUUGGAAUUCAUUUAAGCAGAUAUUUUUGAUAAACCGAUUACUUGUAUCAUUGCGCUAUUUUGAAAACAAGUAUCACUUUGAAAACGCGCCCUAAGUCUAACCUAUUUUGGAUAAUUAUCAGUAAAAUACAGAGUAUAUAAUAAAAUAAAAUAAUCCCAAAAAAAUAAUUAAAACGGCCUUAUUGCAACCCAAAACCGAAUAAUAAUAAUAAUUAGGAUAAGACUUAUUAAAAAAACUAGUUACUUAUUGCAAAGUUCGGAAGCGAUCACCACGGCCACUCUGAAUCCCCUCCGGCUCCAAGUCUCCACAUCAAGGCUCACCUACAAGGUUAAGGAAAGGGGUGAAUUUGGAAACUCAGUGUGCAACAACCCCUUUCAGAGCCCAAACUAAUAUCAGCAUACUGGGCCAAAGCCCUAAUUCAGUCUCGUCAUAUACUGGGCCGAAGCCUUUCGUUUAACGGUUACUGGGCUGAAGCCUUUUCAUAAAUCAUACCACUGGGUCGAAGCCUUUACUGUAAACAGUAUGGCCCAUAGGCUUAUUUCAAUAUCACAUGAAAUACCAAUGAAUGUAUGCAAGCCCAUUUGGGGAGACUACUCAACCAACCAUCUGCUACUUUCCACCCGUACCAACCAAGCUCUCCAUGUGGGGAAUAACUCAACCCACCCAACCAAACUCUCCACUGGCAGCAUAGCUGCUUUAUCAUUAACUGAAGGCCUAGCCUCUUUUAAUAACUGGGGCAAAGCCCUUUUUGGUAAACUGGGGAAAAGCCCUUUUCGCACUACCUCCAUUUAUAUAAAGCCCAACCCAUGCAUAUAAUGAGUAUAUCAUGGCAUAUCAUGUGCAUCUCAUGACAUAUCAUGUGCAUACCAUGUCAAAUCAUGUAUAACAAUAUCUCAUGCUUCAUAUUCAUAAUUAAACCCUAAGGGGUAUAAUAGUCAUUUUUACCUAGGGCAAAAUAGUCAUUUUUCAUAUUAUAAGGAUAAUUUCGUAAUUUUACCAAAUAUUAUGGGUUUCCCAUGUUCAUUAACGAUUAUCAAUAUUUCUAAGUGUUUAAAUAAUGAUCUUUAACCCACUUAUCAAAUUCAGGCUUUUGGGCCCAAAACCCUUAAUGGGCCCUACGAAUGCCGAUUUUAGCCCAUUAAGUCCACUUAACCCAAAUUUUACAAUAGUACUAACCGUGUUAACAUGAAACUUUUCCAAAUUCCAUUUUCUAUCAAUUUUACACAAAUGGCCCAAAAGCCCAUUGGGCCUAGUUCCAGCCCAUCGAUGCCCAACUUGCCAUCGUGUACAAAAUUGUUCUCUUACCUGUUCCAUCGAUCCAAACACCGAUCAUAUCGUAUUUAUCGCAUCUAUAACCAAAUACAAAAUCACAAGUUCCUGAAAUGCCGAAAUUUUAGCAUUUCGACUUUUCAGCGAAUAUUAUUCUAAGCUACUACGAGGGUUAUUACACACCUGUUUUGUGACGUUUGCUAACAAGGUCUCCCACGACAACCUACAAUUAAUCAUCACCAUUCUUAGUUUACAAUUCAUACUUAUCAAACCCAAAAUCCACCUUACCAUAGUCGGCUAAAGAACCCCUAAUAGCCAUAGAUCACUUACCUACACAGGGUCCGAUGAUUCGAUCCAAGUUUAUCCAAACCGAUACUCCAAGCCUUGCUGCUCCUCCAAAGUUGUGUAUUUCACUACACAAACCAUAAAAAUCAAAUGAAAGGGCCCAGUAAGGCCUAUACCUCAAAUCGACAACCUCUUUAAACUAUAGGAGGUUUCAACUUUUCUUAACAUUUACACUACUUAAUCGAUUUGGAAAAUGAGUACUUACCACAGUCUUCCCUUCUGCACUGUUUAGAAUCAAAGUAAACUUAGCCCUCAACCACCUAGCAGCCUUCGAACCCUAGAGGUCUACAGGUUAAGCUAUGCCCCUAGAACUAAGGUAUUUUGGCUUUUAAGACCAAGCAAAAGGAAAAGAAAUGGUGUGGUGGCUUUGUAUUGGUGUUGCCGUUGGAGACUUUUAGAGUUUAGUGGAUGAAGGGGUCGGUCACAACAAACGAAGAGCAAAGAAUGAUGCUGGUCUAAAUGAAAUUGGUACAACCAACUUCAAAAGUUUCGGCUCUUGUGGCUAUUUGGCAAGGGUGAUGAAAAGAAAGGGAGUAGUAGUUUGGCUUUGGCAAAAGAAGAGAAAGAAAAAUGGGUGAAAGGAGUGGUGAUUUCGACUAGAGAAAAAAAAGAAAGAAAAGAAAAAGCCCUAUGAUGUUCAAACCAAAGAAAACGACACCACUAAAGCCCCUAAUGCCGAAAUACUAACCUAAAACCCAUAAACCUAUUUCUCCUCCCUAAAUUCCCACUAUUCGGCCAACACUAAGCCUCCAUUCAAAUCCCUAAAAUCUCUCCCCUUAUCACUUCUAAUUCCAUGCAUUUGACUGAUUCAAACUCUCUCCAACAGAGUUCCAUUCGACUUCAACCUCUUGCAUGCUCAAGACAUAAAAAUAACAACACAAUUGCCAGCUUAGUGAAUCGAACCUUGGCUUUCCCCCAACCACGUACACGCCACUUUUUUUUAGCUCCUUAGUGGCGUCAAUUACCUACUUUGCCAGGGGCUCUCUUGUGUCACAUUUUACCCACAUCUUUUAAUAAGGCCACCUAUCCAAUGCCCCUAAAUCUUUAAGUCCAAAAUUCAAAAAUUCUACCAGGUUUUAGCCAACACAUGGGCCUUCCAUAGGGCCAUUUACACACUCCAAUUAUGAAUUUCCCAACCAAAAACCAAAUUUUAAAAAUUUUACCAAAUUCUCAAAAAUUACGAAAAUCUCAAAAACCAGGGUGUUACACUAGUGGAUUGCUUUCGGGAUACAUUCGUACCUAUGUCUUCGUGAGAUUUUCAUCUCCAUAUGGCCAUAGGGAAAUGCAUUCCCCUGAAUCAAACCCGAUUCUUAUUAGCCUAUAAUGGGUGAGGAUUAAGGAAUCUAUUGGUUCAAGUACCCUUUCCUUAGAAUCGAACCACAUAUAGAAAGACAGGAGCCUACCCUAGGUAGAGCCACGCCAAAUCUUAGGUCACCGAGUUAGGUGUUCUAUAUUGUUUUUUCUCUUUUCUGUACUAACGUGUUUUGUUUUGUCUAUGAUUGCAUUGCAUUACAACAUCAUAGAAAGAAUGUGUUGAUUCAUAUUCGAUUGCUAAAUAAAAGAGCUUGUCAUGGAAAUGGAUUUCUUGAUAAAGUCGAUUAUAAUACGGUUGUCUGAAUAUGGUCUAAGUAAACACAAUGAAAAAAGGCUAAUAGUUCGUGGAAGAAAACAAGACUUUGUUUUAUCACCGUAGAUUCAAGUCGAUAAAGAUUAUUCGAGAGCCAUCACAUCUUGACUUUUUUAAAGGAGCUAACAAGCAUCGUGAGGAUAAGUGAGUAAUAAGUCACAGCCUGGAUCAAGCAAAAAGGAAAAUGAGGACAUCUUUUGGAAAAUUCGUAAGAUUCAACCAUAACAUCCGGAUAUAAAGAGAAGAGCGUGUCUUCGCCUGGACUAUAAGGGCAAUGCCAUAUAUGUAAUCCAUUUUAUGUAAAGAGAUUUAUUUUCUAGAAAAGUUGUUCUAAUGGAAUUGAAUUUAGAAUCAACGUAUCUCUUUUUUUGCAUUCAUUCCAUGCAUCUGCAUUGCAUUGCAUCAUUUUCAUUAAACUUUCACAAAAGGACCUUAAUUAGGUAAAAUAAUUUCAGUUAACCUGGGAACCGAAAAAAGUCAAGCGACUAAGCAUCUUUACGGUACAUGGAAAAGGACCAAAUAUAUGGAUCAAAGGUUUGAAAGACUCGAACAACUUCAAAAAGAAAUGCAAGACAAGUUACAAAUGCAAAUGCAAGAGCAGCUUGCUAAGGUCCAACAAGACAUGAUAGACGAAAUGCUGGCGUCCCAAAGGAAUAUGAUGAAUUAGUUGUCCCAAUUGUUGACUAAGGGGCUAGAAAAGGGAAAAAGCUUCAUGAUUAAUACUGGGAAGGACAAUGAGGAGCCUCUCUACCCUUCAGGUUUCACCCCGACAAAUGCUCAGACAUGUCUGCAGGGUUUACCUAUUGCUGUCAGAUCUCAGCAAUAUCAGGCCAAUAUCUCGGCACUAGUGAAUUACCCAAUAGGCUCAAGCUUCAAUCCAGGGGGCAAUCCAACCACUCCCCUAGUUCCUGACCUAGAUGACAUGAAAAAAGCAAAGAUAGAACUGCCAAAACAACUCGAGGAUCGGUAUAGGUGGUUGGAGGAAAAAGUUAAGGCAAUGGAGAAUGUUGACUACUAUUGUGGGGUUGGCACCAAGGAUCUGAUUUUAGUCCCCGAUCUAGUAUUCCCGCCAAAAUUUAAGACUUUAGAGUUUGAAAAGUACAAUGGGACUAAUUAUCCUGAAGCUCACAUCAAAAUGUUCUGUCGAAGAAUGACAGGAUAUGUCAAUAACGACCAACUAUUAAUCCAUUGCUUCCAAGGCAGUCUAAUCGUGUCAGCAGCUAAAUGGUACAAUCAAUUGAGUCGUGCUAAAAUCAGUUCAUGGAAGGACUUAGCACAAGUUUUUAUGAAGCAGUAUAGCCAUGUAACGGACAUGGUACCCGACAGAAUUACCCUACAGAAUAUGGAAAAUAAGCAAAAUAAGAGCUUCAAGUAGUAUGCCUAAAGAUGGAGAGGGGUAGCAACACAGGUCCAGCCGUCUCUUCUGGAAAAGGAGACCACGAUGCUUUUCAUCAAUACUCUGAAGGCCCCGUUCAUUAACCAUAUGUUGGGAAGCGCUACUCUAAGCUUUUCAGAUAUAGUAAUGUCAGGUGAGAUGAUUGAAAAUGCGGUAAGAAGUGGGAGGAUAGAUGUUGGAGAAAACACUAAAAGGUUAACCCUGAGAAACAAAGAAAAUAAAGUUAGUAUCGUGAGCAUGCCUUCCAAAUUGGUUAACAUAGGCCAGUCGAGGGCUGUACUAGCUAUCAAGGCUCUUCAAGGCAGGAAUCCAACUCGAGGCCAAGUACAGAAAGGCUCCGGUUUACACCCAUCCCGAUGUCAUAUAAGAAGUUGUAUCAGAAUAUUUUUUAUGUGCAUAUGGUGUCUCUGUUCUAUUCAGAACCCGUGCAAUCUUUAUUCCCAAAAUGGUAUAAUGAGAAUGCUCAAUGCGAGUACCAUGCGGGAAUAAAGGGACACUCAAUCAAAAACUGCACUACAUUUAAAAAGUUGGUCGAAAGGUUCAUUGAAAUGGGAAUUGUGGAGUUUGACGAUUCCUUAGAACCUAAUUGUUCUGACAAUGCAGUAAAUGAAAUAUUUGAAGGUGGGGGCAAAAGAGUUGCGAUGCCUUGAACAAGUCAAAAACCUGGAGGGAACCAAAGAAUAAAAGUUUCCAAACCCUUGCAUACUUGGGAGUGUUUUGAACGAUGGGACUAUGGAAGAGAUUCUUGUAUUUUUUUAGAGCUAAUCUAGAGUAAUAUUCAAAGCAUGCUUGUUGCUUUAAGCCUAGAGGCAAUAAGAAUCCUUUUGUGAAAUAGGCUUGUCUCCAGAAUUUUUAUUUCAAUAAAAUGCAUCUUCUUGAGAAAAUGUUCUUUCUUUCUUUCCAUUUCAUAGUAUACAUUCUUUUGUUCUUUCGUAGGCCAAAAAUAAUUUUUUUAAUAAAAUAAAAUGUUUUAUUAGGUGAUCUGAUCACACCUAAACAAAAAGGAUUGGUGGCGACUCCAUACCAUAUUUUGAAGUCGAUCCCAAUUUUUUUCAAAAUUAAAAAAAAAAUGGUUUUGACACUAAGUAUAAUUAAAUUGAUAAUAAUACGAUGUUCUGGAUGUUGGGAAGAAAAAUAGUUCCAUUUGAACCUUGAGAAUACUUAUGAUACAAAUGACAUGUCAUUAGGGAUUAUACGGUUUUGGGUGCUGGUCUUGGAUGUCCUACUGAUGGCUGAGGUCCUACAUUUGUUGCGGAUUCUCCACAGCUUGUGUAAGCAACAUCCUGAAGUCAACAUCCCAACUCAUUUCCAAGCUCGUGUGAGCAAUAUUAAAAAGGUUACAAUUACAUGAAAAGUCACACUUUGUGCGGGUAUUUCCCGAGUAUCCAGUGUUGUUGAAUAUGGUUCAUCGGCCAAUUUAGGUGAAAUGGAAAGGUACGUAUAUGAAAUAAGCUAUAAUGUUGAGUAUAUGAAAUGAGCUAUGAUGUUGAAUAUAUAAAUGGAUAGUAUGAUAUGUGCAAUUAUAUUGUAAAGGGAAUCAAAUGAAUAUGUGGUAGAUGAUUUGUAUAUUGAGAUUAUUUCAUGAAAUGUUCCAUGAAUUGGGUGAAACUAUAUGCUCAUUAUAUACCCACUAACCUUGUAGAGUUGUGUGUAUAAGAUGGAAUGUAUGCACUUGUAUAAUGAUUGAAUGGUUAAAAAUAACAUAUGUGGUAAGUUUAAGUUCACAUUAUACGAACUUACUAAGUAGUAGUUGCUUAUGUAGUUAUUUUCUCUAUUUUGUAGAUCAUCGGAAGCUUGAUAAGUUGGAAUCUUGUCGGAUCUCUAUCACAUUAUCCUUCAACCACUUUGAUAGUUUUGGUUGUUUUGGCUAUGGUUAUAAAUGGCAUGUAUAGAGCUUAUAUGUAAUAGAAGUUUUGAUUUAUGCUAUUUGUCCAAUGUGAUAUGCUUAUGUGUUGUAUAUAUGUUUUGUUUUGACUUGUAAAUGCAUAGGCAUGUUUAUGUCUUUUGGUCACUUUUAAAUGUAUUGUAAAUAUAUGGCUUAUGACUUAUUCAUAUAUGGUUGAAGCCAUUCAAUAAUGUGUGAAUAUGGUGAUGUAUGUUUAGGUUAUAAUGUAGCUUUCAAUAAAUUGAAUUGAUGUGUGAUUUGAGUGCCUUUUGAUGGCAUAUUGGUUUGUUAUAGGAUGAGUGAAUAUCUAACAUGUUUUUGAUGUUUUGUAUGUUUUAAACAUGUGAAUGUUGGUAGAAUUGGUCUAUCUUGCUAUGUAAGAAUUGGUUUUAACAUGGCUUGCUUUAAGGGCAAUUUAUGUUGCACACGGCCUGGGGCACAGGUUAUCACACAGCUAUGUGUGCCCCACAUGGUCGUGUGUCAUUAUUGUUUUUAGGUGCAUGUUUCACACGAUUUAAGACACGGCAUGCGACAUGAUCGUGUGUCUCAAGUUAGUAUGUAACACUAUUUGGCACACGAACUACGACAUAACCGUAUGGGCCUAUUUCGAAUACCCACAUGGGUGGACACACAGGCUGGGACAUGGCCGUGUGUCCAAAUUUCAAAUGUCCACAUGAUCUUGGCUAUGUCACACUGGCCACACGACCAUGUGACCCUUAUUUUCCCAAAAUUUUCUAUUUUGUUUUAAAUUGAUCCCUGAUUGUUUCCAAGUUGUUUUAAGGCCCCGAAGACUCGGUUUAAUGCCCAAUAAUGUAUUUUACUAUGGUUAUAUUGAGCUAUUGGAUGUUGGUAUUAAUUUGCAUUUUUUUUGUUUUGAAGUUAAACAUCCUAUUUUGUAUGGUAAUGCUUCGUAACCCUAGUUCGGUGACAGAUACGGGUUAUGGGUGUUACAAUUCGGCAGCAAAAGAAGUCUUGAAAUAGGUUAUUCCUUAAAAUCAUGAUAAUUGGUUUUUUCACUUCCAAACAUCUCAGAUUGGUUAAUUUCUAAUCUACAAUCUUCUGAGCUAUUUGAUUCCUUAGAAGUUAGCUGGGUAAGCCUAUUUGGUCUUAUAGCGUGGAGGAUUUGGAAGAAUAGAAACCUUUAUGUUCUCCAAGGACUAACGUGGGAAGUGGCUAAUAUUAUUAAAGUUUAUAUCACAUGGGCAAAAUAAUUUUAGAUUACACAUAAUAAAAUUAUGAAUCGAAGACGUACUACUACUCCAAGGAACUCUCUUCCGGAUAAUCAUAUUUAUUUGCAUACAAAUUAAGCUAUUAAUUUGAGUACAGGUUAUGCAUUUGCAGAUACGGAAUCAUCAAGGGAAUUGGAUUUUGGACUUUAACCAAUCUCUGGAGAUGUGUUCGGGUUUUGAUGCUAAGCUAUAAGAUAUUUUCGAUGGGUUUAUUCUUCUACAAGAUCGAGGUUUGAAUAGAAUAUUGAUUCACACUGAUAGCCUUGAGGUUUUUCAUGCAUUGUAAAAGAGUAUUACAACUAGUUCGGGCUCAGCAAUGAUUAGGUGGAUCCAACAUAAGCUACAAAGUUUUGACUGUUGAGAGAUCAGGUGUAACACCUCAAACCCGGCUUAGACAUUGUGGCCAAACUUGAGAGUGUAAUGAAGAAGGGUUUUGAAACCAAUGAUAUUUCGAUAAAACAUCCAAGUUUAAAACAUAUUCAUUUAUAUAAUUAUUAUUGAAACAGUUAUAUGUUAUCCUUUCAGGUUAACCAAAUCAUUUAGCAACGAAAGUUUGAAAAAUCAUUUAAAACAAAACCAUGCUCGUAUUUUUAAAAUUUAACAUUUGUUCACGUGAAAUCUGUGUUUUGUUGAGUCAUCGCAGUUUUAGAAAUCAUAACGCAACUAAACCAAAAUUUUAAACCAAACAGUCCAAAAAGUCGGAAGAGUCCAAAAAUUACAAAACUCUCAUGAAAGCCAGAAAUUUUAGUAAAAACCAUUAAAUAAUAAUGAAAAUAGUUCCCCGUCAAGUGGGUCACCACUAAGCCUCCAUCGUACCAACCUGCCAAUGUCUGUGGAUUACCUAAACAGAACAGACAAAACGAUGUGAGUUUACGAAAACUCAGCAUAACCCAAUAGAAAUAGUCAUGCAACAUACACAAUAUUCCAUAUAUAGUUAGAUACAGAUUCGGAUCUAAGUCCAUAAUAGAUACAGAUAUCAGAAUCAGAUAAAUAGAACAGAUAUACAGAAUCCUACCCCCAUCCUCUAAACACCAGCUCCCGACCAUCCCAUCACACAAUGUGGGGUUAAAAAUACCUACCCAUCCCUACACACCAUAUAGUGUCGAUGCGACACAUCACAGAUAAUAUACAAUCAAGUUGUCAGGUUAUAGGCGAAAGGUCGUCGUACAGAUCACUUCCUCCACAUAUACAAUUCCCAACCCAAACAUAGAUACAAAAUACAAAAUUAACAGAAUUAACAUGCUUGUAUACAAAUAACAUAUAUAUAUACUCAAACAGAAUAGUCAUACAAACAUAUCAGUGUUCUGCUCAAAUCAGACUAUUAGAACAUCAGAUCUCAUGUAUUAGGGUUUAGUUAGCCCUUACCAACCCUACGGUAGGCCCACAGUCGAUGGGAAUGACCCGUACAACCCUAGGGAAAAUUUCAAAAUUCUGGGCCUACAUGCCCGUAUGGCCUGCCUGUGUGGGGCCACACGCCCGUGUUGCCCACAUGCCAAUCUGGCUUAGUUACAUGCUCGUGUCCUGCGCACAGCCACGCCUUCGUCAGACACACGAUCGUGUCUCGCACACGGCCAACCAUAUGGUCGGCCAAACGCCCGUGUGGUGUCAACAGAUUGCAUUUUUGGCUUCGUUGAAGUUCAAUUUUUUAUGUUAAGAGUACACAUCUGGUAUGGUUUUGACGCUACAGCACACCCGAGCCCACCAGAACCUAAAGAUAGCAUUUCAACGACCUAUUAGCAACCAAUUUAUGAUUUCACAAAACUAAACUGAGAAAUGCUCAUAAACUUACCAUCAUAAAAUCGACCACACGCAAUAAACUAAAUUGUUGGAGCGAAAAUCACUGCUUCACCACCUUCUCCUACACAAUAAUCCGUAGAAAUCAGAUUCUCUACAAUCAAUGUUAAGCUAUUACAACGAAAAAGAAUUGAAAAGCUUACCAAAACCGCACGAAGAACAGAAAAGUGAACAAUUAUUGAAGGGAAUGGAAGAAAAAUAAACAAGGAAACAGUGGAGGAACAAAAAGAUGAAAUGAUAGAAAAAUGAAGAGGUAGAAACUGACGUCAAAUUUUGGGAAGAGAGAGAAAAAUUAUAAAAAUAAACUAAAAUAAUAAUAAUAAAUUAAUAUCAUAACUCCCCAUAACAACUACAUCCAACUACUUCAGACUCCCAACUCCACCGAGCCUCUAACAGCCAACCGAAACAAAAAUUAUCACCUACACUCAUGUAGGGAUUCGAAUACAAGACCUCCAACGCACUAACUCCUUACCACUCAAACUAGCAAGCUCAUUCUAAUAUAAUUUUACAAACAAUUUUAUAUAAGCCCACCCACCACGGAUAAUGCUUGAAUAAAAAAUAACAAAAUUUUCGAAAAUGGGACUUAAACCCAAGACCUCAUACACACCCUUAGAACACUUAACUAUUAAAGCAAAUACACAUUUAUAUUAGAUUUCACAAAAAACAGGCUUAAAUUAUUCAAGACGUUACAUCAGGCAUGUUCCAAGGGAAGCCAAUUUAGUCGCAGGUCGGAUUGCCAAGGUUGUGCCUGUGGAGAUAAAGGGAGUUAACAUUUUGGUAUCUGCUCCUACAGAUCUUUUAGUGUUUCUUGGAAGUGACAAAGUUAAUGCUACUUUUGAUUGUUUCAGUGUAGUAUAAUCAUUUAAGUUUUGUUUCUUAUCACAAAAAGAAAAAAAAAGAGUUAAUUGCACCAUACUUUUGCAAAGACUCUGAUUUAAAUUGGUCCUUAAACUUUAAAAUAUUUUAAUUAUAUCUUAAAGUAUCAAUGCUAUAUUAAUUAGGUCUUUUUGUUAUUAAAGUCGUUAAAUGACAUGAAAAUCUUCUAUAGCUAAAUUAAUAAUAAAAAUUUUAAAGAAAUAAAAUGUUGUCACAUAAUUUCUAAAAGAAAAUAAAAAUAAAUUAAAACUAAAAAAACUGAACACUAAAACUUCUACAAAAGCUUCAAAAAUAUCAAAACUAAGAUUUUUAAAAUAUCUAUUUUUACAAUGUUCAUUUAAAAUUUUCAUUUUAAAUCAUGACACAUAAGAUACGAUGUUAAAUUAAUAAUUUUAGUAACGAAAGGAUAUAAUUGAUAUAACCUCGAUAAUUUAAAAAUGUAAUUAAAAUAAUUUAAAGAUUAAAGACUAAUUUAAAAUGAAGGUGUAUAGUUUAAGAAUGUUGGAUGUAAUUAAAAUGAAUACUUUUUAAAUUAAUAUGGAGAAGUUAAUUUAGUGGUAACUGGAAAAAAAAAGCUGCAUGAGAGCUAAUAAGUAAGUUUUCUUUUUUAUUUUAAAUGCGUUUAGUGAAUUGGUGUUAUUUAAUUUAUAUUAUCAGUUUAAUUAAGAAUUUUAUAAAUAAUAUAGACAUGUGUAUCAAUUACUAAAAUUUUUAUUUUUCAUUGUAUGAUAUUUUUAAAGAAAAAAGUGUUUUCUUAAAUGAUGUUGUAACAUAAGAAUAAGAAGAAAUUAUUGAUGUUAAAAUUUGAGCCUUAUGAUCUAUUAAAAUAAAAUUUGGAUCUAACCCAAAACAGUAAUUUUUUUUUUUCAAAUAUGAUAAGCGGAUUAGAUUAGAACUUGCUUGAUGUCAGUAAAUUACUUUUCAAAAUAGUCACGAACUUUAAGUCAAAAUAUGACCACUUAUAAAAUAUAUGUUCCCAUCAUCAUAAUAUGUUUGAUUUUGCCUUUUACCUGGCUAAUUGGAAUAUAUACAUAUAUAUAUCUAUAUAUAUAUGCUAAUUGUCACUAUCUUUUCAAGCAUAUAUUCAGCUGGCCGAUCAAUUAUAGAGGAAUAUAUGUUUUGUUAGCAUCCUCGCUAUUUCAGAAUUAUGUAUUAAAGUGAGAUUUAAUAACUACGAGAUUUAUGAUACACUUUCUACUCAGAAUGUAAAUGAAAAAGAAAAUUAUUUAAUAAAUAUAUUUAUUAAAAAUUCACAUAAAAAUCAGCUGAUAUUUUGAUUAUAAUUGUGAAAUUAAUUGUUUACUAUGCAUGAAUUUAGAGCUGUCUAAGAGUUGGGUUAUCCGUCCGAAUCCAAAGACUUGAUCAAAAUAUGGGAGAAUUUGGACAAGUAAAUAAAAUCCCAAAAAUGUGCUUGGGAAAAUUUAUAGGCUUAUUUUCUACUCAAAUCGGGUUUCAAGUAGAGUUUUUAAAUCGAACUUGGCUCAACUCGAAUACAUAUAUUGAUUCUAUUCCUUUGCCGGGUAUGGAAGAUUUGAAGGUGCACGAUUACCUAGUAAGACUGGGGAUGUCUGUGAUAAUUUGAUGGCAGACACAUUUGUAUGAUCCCGAUAAUUGUGCAGAAAGGUCCGGAUAAAAUGAUUUGGCAUCGGUCUAGUAAGGAUUAUAUUUGGUGAAAUCAGAAUACAAGUUAGCCUCUGAUUUGUAUUCCAAUUCUGUUUGGAAUGAAAGUGAUGGUCCUUGAUUGAAGAUUUGGAAUGGCCAUUUCCCACCGAAGGUCAAGGAUUUUACUUAGAGGUGUCUCAGAAACUUUAUUCCUACCAAGGCAAGGUUAAUUGAUAAAGGUUUAAAUGUGCCUUCGAUUUGUAUCCGAUGUGGAGAGGUGGAAAUGCUUGAUCAUGUUUUUAUUUCUUGUGCGUUCACUCGGGUGUUCUGGCAAUAUUCCGGACUUCCAUAUCCGCAUCUUGAUGUUCUCCAUUUUAUUCGCACUUUGCUUGAGUCAGUUGAUGUUAAUAUAGUUUACCAGGCUCUUACUAUUUUGUGAAGCAUUUGGUUCCAUCGUAACUUGUGAUUUUGGAAGGGUGAGGUGUUUUCCUCGUAGUGUGUUGUCGAUUUUGCUGACAAUUUUCAUUGGCAAAGGUUGGAGGCUCAGUCUGUUUUGGUAUAACUCUACCAUUAGAGCAUCCGACUACCUCCACGGCUCAUUGGUGGAAGCGACCUGCUGUUGGUAUCUUAAAAUGCAAUGUUGAUGGAGCUUUAUUUCAAGAUGAGCAUUAUUCCAGCUUUGCGGCAAUCGUUCGGGAUCAAACUAGUGCUGUUAUUAAAGGUUUGGUUGUUGGGACCCCGCAUUAUUGAUAUUUUUGCUAUUCGAGAAGCAUUAUCUUGGCUUUGCGCUAAUAGAUUUUAUCAUGUUGUGAUCGAGUUAAACUACCAGCCAAAAGUUGAUGUAUCUAAAUUUGGUAUCCUUGUUCAGGAUUAUAUUUAUCUCAGUUUGUUCUUCUUUGAUUUCUCUUGUCUUUAUCUAUCAUAAGUUCGCUAGGGGUUUUAUCUUAUUCAUCUUUUCAUGAUUUCACUGUUCGAUCGGUUUAAUGUUAUCUUUCUUAUUCUUAGUAGUAAUAUUAUUUCAAACACUCAUUUGGAUGAGACGCAUAGGUCUGAGUGUAUGAGGUAAACCUAUUAGCUUGGGUCUUUAGUUGUCUCACUCAUGUGCUGUUCUUGUUUUCCUUCUCUAUUUUAAUAUAGCAAUUUUUUCUUCUAAACAAAUUAUAUAAAACCAACCUAAAUCCAAAUAUUAUUUAUUUCAAAAUCUAAACCCAUCCUUAAAAAUAAAUAAAUAAAUAAACCAAACUUCUGUUGACAAAGCGUUAAAUAAGUCAAUGAAUUGAAAAUCAAUACUUUCAGCAGCUUUAUUUUUUAAAAAUAUUUAAUAACUCACAACGAAAUUAAUUAGGUAGAAUAUUUUUCCAUAAAAAAGUGUGGAAAAUGAUAAAUAGAUAAGGACUUACUUAUAACUUAAUAGAAAAUUAAUUUAAUUGUUUUCUUUAUUCUAUUUCAUUUAAGAUUAUAUUAUCCUUUAUCAAACAAUUUAAUUAUAAUCGGUUUUUAAUUUUAAGUAAUACACCAAACAAAUUUUAUAAAUUAAAUUUAACAUUCAAUUUUUCAAUACUUAUUUUUACAACAAUUAAAUUGAAUACUUAUUUUACAACAAUUAAUUUUUCGUUAAGUUCCAAUAGUAGUACAUCAACUCUCAACCGAAUAAGACAAAUUAUGGAAUAAUGCUUUACUAAAAAGAAAAUCGUUGAUUGGACUUACUCUAGCAACAGUUCCACUGGCAACAAAAGGAGCUUCAAAUUUCAUCCUACACUUGGCUUGUAUUCAUCUCAUUGCAAGUUUACUGCUAUUCAAAAUUUAUGCAUUGUUUUUCUAAUUUGGAAAUGUCAAAAUCAUAUGCAAUUUUAGUUGAACUUUUAUGAAUUGUUUUUUUUUAAAAAAACAAAAAACUGGAAUGGCAGUAUCUUUAAAUAAUCAUUUUUCUAUAUUUAUUUAUGAAUUAUCAAAAAUAAAUAUUUGUAAUUACAUUACAAUUUGAAAAAAAUUCUAAUUUUAAUUUGGUCAGGCUUGGACAAAAUUUUAAGUCCAUAUUUUAGAUUAGCUUAGAUUUGAGCAAAGAUAAUAUCUAAAAACCCUCUUGUCUAGGUUUGGACCAACCGGGCUCAACCAGCCUAUUAACACCUCUAUACAUGAUGUUUUGGGUUCAAAUAUUAUUAUAAUCAAAUUUUUAUUGAUUUAUUAUAUGUAAAAGAGAUAAAAAAUUCUUAUAAAAAUAUUAAAAAAUAUAUUCUUAUAAAAAUAUAAUCUAAUUCGUCUAUAAGAAAAUAUUUUAAUAAAUUUAAAAUUAAAUUGAUGUUUAAUUUAAUCAUAACACCAACACAUUAAAACACAUAAAAGUAAGUAGGAUAUAAAUUAACUGGGCAGUGUUGAAUGCCUCGUGGUACGGAAAACAUGGCCAAAAAACAGCAUACUAAUCUCUAAGAAUUUUGGAUCCAUUAUUCUAUCCCAUUGAAUUUGGAAUUUCCAACCAAGUUUGUGAUUCUUUAUUCCGUCUCAACUAUGGAUUGAAUAUAUACGGGUCAUCAUCCUCCUAUUUUCGCCUUUUCUUCUAUGACUUCCUUUAUGUCUUUUUCAUGUUUCAAAGGUAGAAUUUAUGCAUGUAUUUGGCCAUUUGCCAAUAAUUGCACUUUCACGAAACUAGUAGUGUAUUGGUGUUGGCAGUAUACUCAAAGUUUUAUUAUUAUUUUGGUAUCCAAUCGCGUUGAAAUUAGGGUAAAUUAUUAAAAUAGUCACUUUUAUUUGCCUCAAGUUACAUUUUAGUUACUUAUGUUACAAAUGUUACGUUUUAGUCACUUAUAUUAUCGUGUUAUAACAUUUUAAUCAUUGAGUUGUUAAUUACCAUUAACGGUGUAACGGUAAGCUGACAUGACAUAUUAAAUCAUCAUUUUAAAUGAAAAUUUUAAGUUAAAAUUUUACAAUUGGUCUCUAUAUUUUUUCAUCUUAAACAAUUUAAUUUUUUCUCUUUUAUGUUCUUUUAACUUUCUUUAUUUUCUUUAUUUUCCUUUCUCUUUUGCUUCUCCCUAUAUUUUCCUCCCUUAUUCAUUUCUUUUAACAUAGUUUUUCUAUGUUUUCCAUUUGUUAAAAUUAGUCCACAAGCUCGCCUCAAUAAAAAAAUUAAAUUGUUCCAAAAAGUAAAAGUAUAGGGACUAGUUUUAACAAAUGAAAAACAUAGAAAAACUAUGUUAAAAGAAAUGGAGAAGGGAAGAAAACAGAGGGAGAAGCAGAAGAGAAUGAAAAAAAAAGAAAGUUAAAAAAACAUAAAAGAAAAAAAUUAAAUUGCUCAAAACAAAAAAUAUGGGGACUGAUUGUAUAAAUUAACCUAAAUUUAUUGUUUAAAAUGAUGAUUUAACGUGUCAUCAGCUUACCAUUACACUGCUAGUAAUAAUUAAUGGCUCAGUAACUAAAAUGUUACAACGCGAUAACGUAAGUGGUUAAAACACAACAUUUCAAACAUAAAUGACUAAAAUGUAACUUGAGGUAAACAAAAGUGACUAUUUUGGUAGUUUACUCUUAAAAUUAUGUUAUAGGCCAGAUUGGAGGACUUCCACUACUACAUUGGAAAACCAAAUGAAUGACCUUGAAAUUAAGAUGCAAUUUGACCCAAUGGACAUUCUUGUUCUGGAGGGACUUCUCUCAAGUUAUAGGGUGUAUAGGAAGGAGGAGCUUGCAUGGCUUCAAAAAACGAGUAAAGAAGAAUUAACAAAAUUUAGCAUUUAUAGGUGCAAAAUAUAAAAUUAGUUUUCCAGAAUCAUUUGCCUCUAUACAUGGCAAAGGUUAUGCUAUUGAUAUGGAAUUUUUGGAAUUUUCUUUUAACUCAACAAAAAGAGCCAAGAAUAUCGACGUAUCAAAAACAUCUCAAAAUAACUGCAAACACCUUAACAAAAAAUGUUGGAAAAUAUUGAGUGGAGAACAUAGAUCUGGAGACAAUAUUGAAUUAAAUAGUAGACCUCGAGGCGCAGGUGACACUUUCCAAAGAGAACUGUUUACCUCCACACAAAGUUGCUAGAGGGUUAAGACAAAGGUCCUUCCGGGAUACAACGAAGCUUUUGAAUUUCCUUUGAUUAGCAAAAUCGAGGAAUUCCUUAACUCUUACUCUAAUUUUUGAAAACAAGAUUGAUUGUAAUUGUAUUUUUUAGCACCAUAGACCCUCUAUUUAUAUAAACUUAAUGCAUACUACUUUGAAGACUCACAACCCUUUACAUUUGAUUUCCAUUGGACAUACUUCUUAGAAAAACAUGUCUCAUGGAAUCAAAUGUAUCCUUUGAAUAAAUCAUCACUUUCUAAUAAGUGCUCAUGAAUACUUAUGAAUUUGCACACGAGCUGAUACACAGGCAUGUGAGCCAAGUUAGUAAGUUACACUAAUGAGCACACGGUUGGACAGACAGGCAUGUGGUAUAGCCAUAUGGCUAUGUUUGGAGCCACACGGUCUAGACUCUGUCACACGGCCUGGACGCACGGUCAUGUGACCCCUGUAGGUGAAAUUUUUUAGUUUUCCAGAAAUGUUCUAAUUUGUUCCAAUUUGGUCCCUGAUUGCUUGAAAGCUAUUUUAAGGCCUCGUAGACUCAAUUUAAGGCUCGCAAAUGCAUGAUUUAUUCCAUUUUGAAUUUCUUAUAUAUUUAUUAAAUAAAUUUGAAAAUUAAUUACUAUUGGUUAUAAAAUGUUUCGUUUUCUACAGUAAUACUUUGUAACCCUAUUUCAUCGAUGAAAACGGGUUAUAGAUGUUACAUGUACACCUUAUUGUACGCUUGAGACAUGGUGGAUUCACUAUCACAAUAUACGGAAAUGGCGAAUGUACGUUGUGGCCAUAACUUUAUAUCUAGCAAGAGAUAUCUUAGUCAUUCCACUUCUUUGCCAGUAUCCGCCAAAGCUAUAAAUUCAACAUCCAUAGUUGACUGUGAAAUGCAAGUUUGUUUCUUGGAGACCCAACUAAUGGCUCCACCUUUGAUCGUAAAAAUCCAUCCCGAUGUCAACGUAUUGUCACUUAAAUUUGUAAUACAACUUGCAUCCGGGUAACCUUCUAGUACCGCGGGAUAAUCACUAUAGAAUAAUCCCAAAUUUUUUGUUUUCUUAAGAUAGCCAAAAAUCCAACAAAUUCCUUUCCAAUGAUCGGUACUAGGACAAUUUCUAAAUCUUACCAUUUUGCACACAGCAAAUGCGAUAUCGGGUCUAGUACAAUACGUUGCAUACAUUAGACUUCCAAUUACAUCGGUGUACUCAAGUUGCACUACAACCCUGCCAUUAUUCUCACUUAACUUAAAGUUUGAAUCAUAUGGAGUGUUCGAAUCCUUGAUAUUCAAAUGUUUGAACUUUUCCAAUACUUUCUCGAUGUAGUGAGAUUGGCUUAGUGCAAAGCCUCUUUUAUGCUUUUUCAUCUUUAUAUCUAGAAUUGUAUCUACCUUGUUAAGAUCCUUCAUCUUAAAAUUCAAGGCUAGAUACUCUUUGGUCUCAUAAACAUAUUCCAUGUUCGUCCCAAAAAUUAACAAAUCGUCUACAUAAAGAUAAAUAAUUACACCAUACUUAUCGGUAAAUUUAGUGUAAAUAUAUUUAUCCACACCAUUAUGUAAAAAAACCAUAUGACAAGAUAAUUGAGUCAAAUUUCUCAUGCCAUUGUUUAGGCGUUUGUUUUAAGCUAUAUAAUGACUUGAUCAACUUACACAUCUUAUGUUCAUUUCCAGGAAGCACAAAGCCUUCUAGUUGCUCCAUGUAGACGUCUUCUUCGAGAUCACCAUUCAAACAAGCCAUCUUAACAUCCAUUUGAUGUACAUGUAACUUAUGGAUAAUGUAAGUGCUAUAAGAAUUCAAAUGGAGGUCAUCCUAGCGACUGGUGCAUAGGUGUCAAAAUAAUCUAGGCUUUUCUUUUGCCUAAAUCAUUUAGCUACCAACCUAGCCUUAAAGGUUGGAGCACCCCCUAAUGGAGUAUUCUUCCUCGAUAGGCUUCGAUCCUUGAUGAAGAUCAACUAGAAUCCAAGAAUUGUUUGGUAAUAUUGAAUCAAUUUCAUCAUUGAUCGCCUCUUUCCAAAAUGUCACAUCCCUAAAAGUCAUGGUUUCACCAUAGGAUUGUGGAUCACCAUCCACAUUAAACAUUAUGGUGAUCUUCCUAAUUAUGAAUUCUUUAUUUCCCUCAACAAGAAAUACUAGCGAUUGCGAGGAAAUGGAAUCAGGACCAAAGUCCAUUACUUUUCUCACUCUUUGACUUUUUCUCGGCUUUGUAUCCUUAUUGUCACAAAGACUUCUUUUGGUUUGAUCAUUUGAGAUCAUUGGUUGAUAUUUUUUCUCGAAUCUAUUGAAUCAUCGAAAACCUUAUUUUCAAUGAAUACAACAUCUAUUGUUUCAAUUCCCGUAUUUGACACUAAGUCAAGAACACAAUAAGCCUUAGAGUGUUGGGUAUAUCCAACAAAUGCACCUUUGAAGGCUCUUGGUCUUAACUUUGUUCUCCGUUGGUCAGGAACUUUAUAGUAAGCCAAGUACCCUCACACUUUGAAAUAAUCUAAGUUUGGCAUCCUACCAUUCCAUAACUCAUAUAGAGAUACUUUGAAUUUUCUCGAUGGUAUUCUAUUAAGGAUAUAACACGUAGUCAAUAAUACUACACCCCAUAGAUUAUAUGGAAGUUUAGCAUUUAACAACAUCAAGUUAACUAUAUCUACUAGAGUACGAUUCUUUCUUUCUGUCAAACCAUUUUGUUGCAGAGUAUAAGGAGCAGAACACUCAUGUACCACACCUUGUUCCUCACAAAAUACAUUAAAUUCAUUUGAAAAAUAUUCACCACCUCUAUCAUUACGAAGCACUUUGAUUUUCUUACUAAACAAAUUCUCAACCUCAUUUUUAAAAUGUUUAAACAUAUAAAAAGCCUCGUCUUUACUUUUCAUGAAAUACACAUAAGUAAAUCUAUAGAAGUCAUCUAUAAAAGUGAGAAAUAUCAUUUUCCACCUCUUGUUAGGGUUCCAUUUAAUUCACAAGCAUUUGAAUAGAUUAAAUCUAACACUUGUGAAUUCCUUUCACACUUAUUAGGAAAUCACUUCUUGAUAAUUUUUUGAUUAAAUACAAAUUUCACAUUUAUCCAUAAAAUCAUCAUUACUUAGAUUGAUAUAACUAUUCUUUUGCAUAUAUUGUAAAGUUAUAAAAUUAAAAUGUGCUAAACAUGCAUGCCACACAGGAGAAGACUUAACAAUAUAAGUAGAAGAAUUGACUUUAUUCAUAUUAAUGCUCAACUUGAAAAAACCCUCGUUACAAUAUCCUUUUCAUACAUAUAUAUCACCCUUAAGCAAGACAAACUUAUCAAAUUCCAAGAUAAUCUUGAACCGUUGUUAUAUAGAAGACUCUCAGACACUAAAAUAUUUCUCACAUCGGGAACAUGUAACAAAUUGGUCAAAGUCAAUUUCUUCCCAAAUGUGAAGUUGAGUUCCACUGUACCUUGACCGAGCACCUUAACUGAUUGAUAGUUGCCCAUAAGCACUUCGCAAUUUGCCACUAGUUCAUAACUCUCAAACUGUUGUCGGUCAUUACACACAUCGACAGUAUCUCUAGAGUCAAGCCACCAAUUACAGGACUUAUCGACCAUGGCUAUGUUGAGUUUGGUAAUCAUACCAAUCUCCAAACUCUCGAUUCCUUCCGUAACCAUGGUCACUAAGUCCCUGUCUUCCACCAUAUUGGCUUUGGAAGUUAUGGCAUCAUGCUUAUUUUUGAGAAAUUUUCAAUCCUUAAUAUAGUGUCCUUUCUUAUUGCAAUUAUAACAAAUGCAAUUUUUUUUCCUUGUCUUGCACGUCAUUGGUCUUAGAUGUCGCCUUUCUCUUACCAUUUUGAGAGUUCUUGGACUUGUUCACAUGGUUCACUUUAGAACUUUGGGGAAGAUACACCGCAUCACACUUUUGAGUUUCCUCUUCAAUAACAAAUGCCUAAGUAUUUUCUCCAUAGUGAAGUCCUUUUCCAUAUGCAGAAGUUUCUUCCGAUAAUUCUUCCAAGACAAGACCAACUUUGAAAUAAUAGCGCCGACUUGUAAAAAUUCUAGAAUAACAACAUUCAAGUCACGGAGCCUGCUUACAAGGACUUGACUUGAUCCAUGAUUAGGAUACUAUCGAGCAUUUUGAAUUUGAAAUACUUCAUCAUUAAAAAUUUAUCAGUACCUUGUCAUUCGGUGUUAUAUUUCUCUUCAAGAGCUUUCCAUAUUUUUAUCAGGGAUUGCAUCAACAUGUAGAGAUCAUACAAUCGAUUAGACAAGGUGUUGAGGAUGUGUCAUCGACAUGUGAAAUUGUCUUUUUCGCUCUUUUUCUUGAGUUUAGCCACUUUCGCAAUUUUCUCAGGGUUUACAUUGGGGGCAGGAUCCUCCACAGGUUGUAGGUUUGGAUCCAGAACAUAUGCCACAUUUAAGACAAUAAGAAGCAACAACAUCUUAUCCUUCUAGCAAUUGAAGUUUGAACCAUCAAAUCGGUCAAGUUUCACAAACUCUUGGUUCAUCACUUUGAAUGCGAUGGUAGCCUCUGCUGCCAUCUCCAAAUUAGUUCUCUUUGAUUGUUGGAAAAUAUUGAGUGGAGAAGAUAGAUCCAGAGAUGAUAUUGAAUUAAACAGUAGACUUUGAGGCGCGGGUGACACUUUCCAAAGAGAAUUGUUUACCUCAACACAAAGUUGCUAGAGGGUUAAGACAAAGGUCCUCUUGGAAUAAAAACAAAGCUUUUGAAUUUCCUUUUAUUAGAAAAAUCGAAGAAUUCUAUAACUCUUACUCUAAUUUCUAAAAACAAGAUUGAUUGUAAUUGUAUUUUUGAGGACUAUAACCCUCUAUUUAUAUAUAAUCAAUGAACACUAUUUUAGAGAGUCACAAUCAUUUACAUUUGAUUUCCAUUGGACAUACUUCUUAUAAAAACAUGUCUCAUUGAAUCAAAUGUAUCAUUUGAAUAAAUCAUUACUUUCUAAUAAUUGAUCAUCAAAAAUUAUGAAUUUGCAAUUUACAAUUUCCAACAAAAAAAAUUCUAAUCACUGCAGAAAAAAAAAACUAAUUAGGUUUUACUUAGAGUAAAAAGAAAAUUGAAAGAAUAAAAAAAUGAAAUAUAUAUAAUUAUUUAUUUUCUUUGGAGUACUUGGUAGGAAGGAUGAAAAUUUUGAAAGAAAUAAUUUUCUUCCCAUUAAUUGCUCACUAUAGUUGAAAAGUAAGAAAAUGAAAUAAAACUUUUGAAAAAUGCAUAAUUCGAACUAACAUAUUUGCAAUUCUCAUUUUCUCUUCUCUUAUAAUUCGAAUUUGGAAGGAUAAAUAAAUAAUUAACACAAAUCCCACAAGCCUUUACAUGUUGAGAGUUUCCUACAACCAUAUGAUAAACAAGAGGAGUCAAAUUCGAAAUUCUAUUUUAAAGAGAAGUGAUAUUUAUCCGGACUAUUGCAAAUUAGCGUCAAUGACUGAAAUCAACUUCCUUCUCAUGAGGAGUUUUAUUCAUUACGGCACCUUCACUGACAACAUCCAUCAUAUUUCUUUCCAUAGGUUGGAGUCCUUCAUAAAAACAUUGGAUGACUAAAUGUUUCGAAAUUCUAUGUUAUAGGCAACUAGCACAUAGUUGUUUAGUCGAUUCUCGGAACGAAUGAGAUUUGUAAAGUGUCUAGAAAUACAUGCCAUAUAAAUCUGUGAUAGUGUGAUGUGUAUGAUCCGAUCUAAUCUUUGUUUUACAUAUAGACAGAAAUAAUUUUCAAUCGAGCUAUUUCAUAAAGUGUUGAAAGUGACACUAAGGUGUCUGAGUAAGAAUGUGUUUAUGAUGAGUCGAAACUUGGAAAGGUAUGAAGAAGAGUUCAUGAUAUGGAUGUGAUGAGGUACGAAAUGAAAUAGUCAUAAAUCGAGAAAUAUAAGAAAAGUGAAAUGAAAUGGAAGUUUAUCUUGUGAUGAGCGCAUCUAUGUUUAUGUGACAUUCAUAUGAUAUUAUGUGCCUGACUUGUUUGAUUAAGUAAAUGCUAUAAGUAAACUUACUCAAAAUUCAUGGAAUGUAUGUUUAAGUACACUUGUUUGAAAAGGAUAAUUGAAAAAUUCGGGUAACAUAAUUAUGUAUGUUAAUUUGCUUGAAGUGAAUUAUGUAAUUGUGAGGAUAUGAUGUUGAUGAUAAAUGCUAAGUCAUAUGAGUGUAUUUAUGAGAGUCCAGUUAGAGGCUUUACGACCUCACCCCCUUAUCAAUGUGGUAUUUUAUAACAAAAAUUCACGAUAAUUAUGUUGAAUAGUUCACAAGUGUGAAACUAAAGAGUACAGUAGUGGAAUAAUUAAAAAUGCAGACGGAGUUAAAAAUAGUUUGACAAGUGAACACAGUUUUGAAAAAGAUAUCAAAUUAUUUUAAAGAUUAUUCAAAUUACGUAAUGUCACGGUUAAAGAAUAAGUUAACCUCGGCUAAUCGACUUAUUCAGAUAUGAUGUCUAAAAUAUGUGUUUGCUGAAUUUUUUUUCGAAUUGGUUUUCGUUAGGGAAUGGAAUGAUGCAGGGUUCAUGAUGAUAGAAUUAGUAAGAGAAAUGAUAAUUGAGUAGAAAAGAUGUCUGUGUGUGUGACAGUUAUAGUUGAAACGAAUAUGAUGAUCUUUUUUAGGUAUUAUAUAUAUUCUUUUAUCCUCAAGUGUAUGUGUGUGGUUAUUCAAUUUUUGAUGGAGUUCUUAUGUUGUGAGAAUGCUAGCUAACUAUGAUGUUAGACAAAAGCCCUAUUGGUCUGGUCGGUUUAUGAUAAGUAUUUCUUCAUCUCUUUGGAAUUUUAUUCUAAUAUGUUAGAAUGAAGUCGAUGGUAAAAAAAUAAAUAAAUAAAAAUAAAUAAAAAUAUUCGAGGUUCAAUCGAAUUGUGAUUUUGAGAAGUUAGUAAAAGUGUUUCAUGAGUGUUGAAAGCAACUUCUUCUGAUAAGAUUUUCGGGGAUGAAAAUCCCUAAAGGGGGGAGAGUUGUAACAGUCUAAUUUUCAGUGGUGUCGGAACAGUGAUUCGAGAUCACUAAAUCAGACAAAUGAGUAGGAAAUAUUAUUAAUUUAGUGAGUAUAAGUUAAAUGUGAAGUUAGGAAAAAUUUUGAAGUACUGAAUAGUGUACUAAAAAUAAAUAUUAAAAUAAUUAGAAUCGAAAACGAGGUAUCGAGACCUCGAGAAUUUUAAAUCGAGCCAUAAAUAUUUUUAUAAAUAUUUAUGGAGUGUUAAUAAGUUAGUAUUAAAGUUUCGUCAAGAAAUUUUAAAGUUCUGAUAGUUAAUUGAACAAAAAGGACUAAAUUGUAUUAAAUGCAAAAUUGUGGGAAAUGAUUAAAUAGCUUAAAUGAUAAAAGAAAGAUGGUUUAAAAGGAAAAUAGACCCAAGGUCUCUUUGGGCUGGACGGCAAUGGCAUGAAAUCAGCAAGAAAAUAAGGAGAAUUAAGGGAAAAAUUGGAAAAUUGCAAAAUUUACUUAAUAAAGCUAGGACUAAAGUGGAAUUAUCUAGAUUUCUCUUUAUUUUUUCUGCAUUCUCAUCAGCAAAAACACCAUGGAAGGGUUCCCUUAAGCUUUUGUUUUCAUAUUUUUACUUCAGGUAAGUUCAAUUAUUGAUUAUUUCUUGAAUUUUUUGUGUUUUUGUGACUUUUACAACUAGGUCCACUUGUUAAAUUCAUUAGUUUUUGAUUCUAUGAAAGAAAUUGAAAGUUUCCAUGAAUAUGUGCUAGAAGUAUAUGAUGAUUUGACAUGGAAUUAGAGCUUUAAGUUGUUUAUUUGCUGAUUUUAUUGAAAGAAUUGAAUAGAAAGUGAAUGUUUGGGACCUAAUUGUAAAAGAGUUUGAAGUUAGAGUUUUAUGUAGAAAUUCUGAAAUUAAAUAGUUAUGAAAUAACUUAUAAUGUCUAGGAAAAGUAUUAAUUGAGAAAAUUAUCUUAAUUGAGGGGUUAAUUGAGCAAGGACUGAAUUGUAUGAAUUGUGAACUUUGGGGCAAAAUAGAAAUCAACAUUUUGCACUAAAACUGUUUUGGACAACAGCAGUAGUCUAACUUUGAAAAAUCACCAAAAAUUGUAUAAAUGGAAUUAGAGGAUGAAUAAAAUAUUCAAUUAAAGCUUAUUUAGUCUAGUUUCUUAUAGAAGAAAUGAUGUAAGCAAUGGAAUUGUAAAUCAUGAGAUAUGAUAAAUUUUGUGAGACAAGGUCAGAAUGAUUUCGGGUUCCCUUGUUCUUACUUUGUAAAAUCAUAAAAAAUUUGAUAAAAAUAAUUAUGGGCUUAAAUUUAUAUGUUUAGAAUCCUGAAUGAGUCUAUUUUCAAGAGAAACAAAUGGUAACAUCAUUCGAAAUUAUGAAAUAACAGAACAGGGGAGACUUUAAUGAAUAAACUGUAUUAAUUGGCCCAACCAAAAAUUAUGAAAUUUUUAUGGUAAGAAGAUAUAUGAGUCUAGUUUCAUGGAAAAUUAGAGGAUCUUAAUUUUGAGUUCCGUAGUUCCAGAUAUAAAUAAUUUAGUGACUACGACACGGGUGGAUAGUCUGAAUAUUCACAUAAGUAAUUAGUGAAAAUUAUAGAUAAGGUUACUUACGAGUGUGUUAUUUAUACCAAGGAUGUGGAUGGAGAGGAGGAGGAGGAAAAAUAUAUGAAUGACUCGUGUAUAAAUUAAACACAUGCCCGAUUAUAAUCGAUAAGUGUUGGAUUAGAAAUGAUAUAAUGUUUUAUGUGGAAUAUUUAUUAUGAAAUUAUGAUUAUCGUUAUAAUACAAAAUUUGUACUUGUGAGUUUAUAUGGAUAAAUUUUAGUGAUUAUUUGUUAAUUUUAUGAAUUUCAUGAUGUGUUAUUUCAUAUGUAUUAAUGAUAAAAUCGUGAAUGAUGUAAAAGCAUGAAAAUUGAAUAAAUGAUCAAAUUGAGCAUUUUAGUUCAGUGACAAGAUGAAUUGAAGGAAAAGACCAUAGUUGGACCAUGGCAACAAGUGAUAAGUGAUAGCUUCGGCUACACUUAUCUGAUCAAGGAUAAGUGGAAGUGAUAAGUAAUAGCUUCAGCUACACUUAUCUGAUCAAGGAUAAGUGAAAGUAAUAAGUAAUAGCUUCGGCUACACUUAUCUGAUCAAGGAUAAGUGAAAGUGAUAAGUAAUAGCUUCGGCUAUACUUAUCUGAUCAAGGACAAAUGACAAGUGAAAAGUGGUAGCUUCGGCUACCUGAUCAGUGAAAAGUGGUAGCUUCGGCUACCUGAUCAGUGAAAAGUGGUAGCUUCUGCUACCUGAUAAGUGAAAAGUGGUAGCUUCUGCUACCUGAUCAGUGAAAAAUGGUAGCUCCGACUACCUGAUCAAUGAAAAAUGGUAGCUCUGGCUACCUGAUCAGUGAAUAGUGGUAGCUUCGGCUACAAGUGACAAGUGAUUUCCGUAUAAGACCAUAUCUGGGAUAUGGCAUCAGUGAGAUAUGUGAUUCGUGUAAGACCAUAGCUGGGCUAUGGCAUCGAUAUGUGAUAUGUGAUUACGUGUAAGACUAUAGCUGGGCUAUGACAUCGAUAUAUGAAGAUGUGUAAGACCAUAGUUGAACUAUGACAUUGAGUACUCAAUUCCGUAAGACGUUCACUAAUUUGACAAAGUUUGGUAAGUGUUACAUGGAAUUAUGUGAUACAGGAAGUACGAAUUGAUAAGAUAUGAGUAUAGAACUUGGUUGAUAAAUGAAUUCAUUUGUGAUUAUAUAAUUGUUCAUCUUGAAUGUAUUGUCCAUAUGUAUUGAUAAUUCAAACGUAUUAAUGAAUAAAGUUCCGACAUUAAAUAAAUUGAACACGAGACAAAUAAUUAUAAAAUUGAACUCGGAAUUCAUGAAAAUGAUGAUUAUUGAUAUAUAGAGACAUGAGACAUUGGUAUAUGAAUAUGGAAAAUAUUUGAUAAAUGUGUUUAUUCAUAAUUAUGGAAUUAUAUACCUCAUGUGUACUAUUUGCAUAAAGAUGAUAUUUCAAAUACUUUGGUUAUUUAAGCUUAAAUAUGAAACAGUAUGAAAUCAAGAUAAGUUGUUAUAAAAAUAUAUUUAGAUUACAGAGAUAUGGCUGAUAUAUGUUGUAUGAUUACAUAACGUGAAAUUGUGUAUAUAUAUGAGAAAUUUAAUGAGAAAUGAGCCCAUACACGUUUCUUGUUAUUUAUAUGAAGUGUACGACUGACAAGGGUGAUGAAGUUAUAAACAGAGAGUUACACGGGUUGAAAACACGGGCGUGUGACUCUCUAAAGUGUGAAAAUUUUCUAAAGUGUUGCAAAAGUUUCAUAUGUUUAUGGUUUGGUCCCAAACCACCCUAAAUGUAUGUUUUGGGCCCCAUAGGCCCAUAUAAGGGACGUUAAACAUAUGUAUGAAAGUUUUUAAUUUAGAAGAAAUUUUAUGGCUGAUUUUUACAUGUGAAGACUCUUCAUGUCGUUCUACUUGAUGCCACAACUUUUUUUCUUGAUAGAUGUAACACCUCUAACCCGUAUCUGUCGUUGGAUAAGGGUUACAGAGCAUUACCAUACAACCGAAAACAUUUAAACUUAAUAUCAUUCAAUAAUAUAAUCACAUCAUAAAUCAAUUAUAUAAAUACAUACCGUCCUUAAAUCGAGCCAUCGAGGCCCUAAAAAACAUCUUAGAAGUAAAUUGAGACUAAUUUAAAAAAUUUGGAAAGCUUAGGAAAAACAUGUAAAAUUUGCAAAACAGGGGUCAUACACCCAUGUGCCAAGCCGUGUAACUCACUGAUUUGCACCUUAAAGAAAUCAUCAAAUGACACAUGGCCAUGUCGUUAGGCUGUGUGUCUCACACGGUUGAGUCACACAUCCGUAUGGACCCAAAUUUACCUCAAAUCAAGCCAUUUCAAAACCAUCUCAUGCUUUAACAUUUAGACCAAUUUUGUACACUUUCAAAGCACCAAAAGUUCACCUAAACACACAUACAUUUGCCACUUCCAAAAUCUUAAUUCAACUAACCAAUAUCCCAAUCAAGGUACCACAAUUAAUAUCAAAAUAUCACCUACCUGGACAUGUUCAUAUGCCUAAUUCUAUGCAGACAAUUCUAGACCAUUUAAGUAUUAAAAUAUACCUCAUUUAGCCAUUCCCAAAACAUACAAAACAUACCAUAAAAAACCAUUAUCAAGCAAUAAAAACUUACCAAAAGAACCUUAUAUACAUGCACUUAUAAGUGACCAAAAUGACUUACUUAGGCAAGCAUUAUAAGUUCAUCAACAAACCAUAAGCAUCAAAGCACAAACAUACCAAGUUACCAUUUUACAUGUUUAUCAAAAACGCCAUUAUAAACCAUCCUAUACAUGUUACCCUAUACAUGCCAUUAUAAACCUUAACCAAAUUACUAAAAAACUACCGAAUUGUCCACUGGAUAGUGUGAUAGAUCUCUGACAAGCUUCCAAACUGAUCGAGUUUCUGACAAUCUAUAAAACAAAAGAAAAUGAUUACGUAAGCAAUGAAUGCUUAGUAAGCUCGUAUGAACUUAGAACAUAACUUACCAUUUCAAUAAUGAAAUUUAUAGAAUAAGUACAAACCGUUACCAAUGCCAUAAGGUUAGUAAAAGCCUAUAUAACAUUAUCAAUCUCACAAGUUACUAUAUUUGUUCAUAAUUCACAUGAAAUCAAUCACGUAUAAUAUAACAUUUAAUUAAUCAUCCUUACUAUAUGAUCAUGUUUCAUUCCAUUUACUUACUUAUUGUUUCCAAUACCAUGAGUUUAAUAUAAGCUUAUUCAAGCAUCAUCAUGCUUACAUAUUAGUAGAUUCAUUGAUAAUCUUUUAAACUCAUUUAUAACAUAAAUAGAUUUCAUAAGAUACAUUACAUAAGCAUAAACCUUUUCAUACCGUUAUGAACCUUUCCAUUAAGUCACCUAUCGUUUCAUUCCUUUUCUUACCCGUUGAACCAUAUAGAAUUACAUAUACUCGGGAAAGCUCACACGAAGUGUACCUUUACAUAUAAUCAUAAUCUUUCCUUUACAUCAAUUCUCACACGAGUUGUGGAAUGGGCAUGCUCACACAAGCUGUGGGUCAGAAUAUAAGUUAUACGAUGUUGCUCACAUGAGUUAUGGAGAAUCCACAACAAAUGUAGGAUCCCAAUUAUCGGUAGGACAUUCAAGACCAACACCUGAAACAUGAAAUCCCUAAUGACAUGUCAUUUGUAUCCUAAGAAUUCUUAAGGUUCAACCGAGACUCGAUAUCCAUCAAUUCGUCAUAAUAUGGAUACGUUCACAUAUAUAUUGAUUCAUUUUCAUUAAAUACAACAUAGUAAACAUUUAAUUAAAUUAAUAUUAUAAUGAUUACAGUUCAUACAAACUUACCUAACUAAAUUGCAGCAAUGACUAAGUACAGGGGCUAUUUGGUAAUUUUCUCUUCUCCUCGAUUUUUCACUCAUUCUUGAUCUAAAAUAAUAGUUCCAUUCAAUUCACUAAUUCUAACAAAAAAAUCAAAUUCAUUUUUAUGCAAUUAAUUCAUUUUUGAUAUUUUACAAAAUUUCCCCAAAAUUUAUCCUUUUUGCAAUUUACUCUCUAAACCUGAAACUUGCAAUUUCAUUAUUUUUAAUAUAAAUCACGCUAGCCAAUUUUUACCCAAUCUUAUAACAGCCCAUAUUUAUUCAAAAUUUACAAUAUUUUCCUUGAAUUUUACCAUUUUCAUAAAUCAAUCCCUAAACUUGAAAAUCAUCAAAAAAUACUUAACAAAAUACUUAUAUUCAACAACCAAGCUUAAUAUCAUAAAAUUCCAAGAACAUCACAAAUUCACCCAUAGUAAAUUUCUGUAUACUUAACAAUUUAACAAAUUAACCCUCAGAUUAACUAGAUUAAGUUAAUACGAUACCAUAAAUAUCAAAUCCAUUAAAACCGGGUAGAAAUUACCUACCAUGCAUGAAGAAAUAGCUUUUUAGCUUGGCUUCCAUGGAGUAUUUGGUUAGACAAAGAAAGAGAUUAAAAAUGAAAAAGAUGAUGAUAGGUUUCAUCUUUUAUUUUAAUUUUACUUAUUUACCAAUUUACCUUAUUAACCUUUUUAAACCAUUUAAAUUUCAAUAAAAUUUAUCCAUAUUUAUCCACUAAUAUAAAAAAGGUAUAUUUACCUUUUAAAACCCUUAGCUUAUGGUUCUUUAGCCAAUUAAUACAAUUAAGCUAAUAGCAAUUGACUUUUGUAUCCUUUACAAUUUAGUCCUUUUUAAUUAAUUAACUAUCUAAACAUUAAAAUUUUUUAACCAAAUUUUAAGACGGCCUUAAUAACAUUCCGUAAAUAUUUUAUUAAAUAUUUAUGGCUCGAUUUAUAGAAACGAGGUCCCGAUACCUCAUUUUUUAAAACUACUUGACUUUAUAGUCAUAUCAGUUGGACCUAAUUAUUCAUUCAAAUAACAUAAUUUUCCAAUUCAAAAUUUAUUUUAAUACUAUAAUUAACUCAUAAAUAUUUAAUAAUAUUUACGAGCUCACUUGUCGAAUUUGUGACCCCAAAACUACUAUUUUUGACACUACUAAAAAAUCAAGCUAUUAAAAUAGAAGUAGCACGUCAAGUAGAAAAGAAUUAUCAAGAAAUAACCUUAUUAUGUCAAUUCAUGUGGUUAUAGAUUCAGGAGGUAAAUAAAAUAGUCAAUUCUUCACCUUGUCGGCUAGCGAAGAGGGUAAGGCUCUUAGUUUGAUUUGCUCUUUGAUCAGUCAUUGCCGUCUCAUAGUAGAACACACUACAUAAAAGCCCUUCAAGCACUUAUGAGGAUCUUCGUUUGUUUGACCAUGAAAAGUAAGCAAUAAAUGAAUUAGUCCAGAUUUUAAUUCAAAAGAUACCUCUAAUUUAGGAUAUUGAUGCACAACUGUUGUUGCUUCAGAUUCUACGUAGCUAACUCUCUCAUUGUUGGUUCUAAACGAGCCAUUGGUUCUUCUCCUUUUUGAUUUGGUAGAUGAAGGCGACUGGUUAAUUCUCUCUUGAACUCCCUUCCUUAGUCUUCGAGCAGUUUUCUCAAUCUCAAAAUUGUAUUAGAGUUCACCUACAUGAGAAGACCAAAAUUUUAAUUAAUAUAUUUUAUGGUUGAGCAAAAAGAAAGACUGAAGCAUAAAAAGGAACAUAAACAAAAUAAAAUUAAAAAUAAUAGAUAGAAAAAAGUAUUAAAAUUAAUCCUCGACAAAAACGCCAAAAUUUGUACAGUUUUCAAGACCUAAAAAAGUAAAAUUCUAUUAAAAAAAUAUAAAUUUAGUACAUAGCAGUGAGUAGAGUCAUAUUUAUAGAGAUCGGUAAUAAUUUUAUUUCUUAAAUAAAAAAAAGGAAAAUAAAUAUGAUGGGGGUUUAGAAAAUAAAAUACUAAAAUUAAAUUUAAAUGUUAACCAAGAAGGUAAUAAUUAAAAUUGAAGAAAACCAACAUGAUGAAGCUCUAGCCAAAUGUAAAAUAUAUCUUUGAUUCACAAGUUUAAUCAUUGAUGCAUAGAUAAUUUUAUUGUUUUUUAAUAAACUAGUUAUAGUUGCUGAUGUCACGCUUAGCAAUCAGUCUCUUUUUUACCUUAUCGAUAACCAAAAGCUCGUUGAAAUUAUUCCCCUUAUCAAUGAACAACCCCAUAAUUUUACCCUUAGAAUUUAGUUUACUGAUAAAAUUACGAACAAGAUAAACUUAAUUUUAACCAACAAACGCACCAAAUAGAGUUUAUUUAAGCUAGAUCGCAUGUGUACACAACAUUGAUUGCAUACGUAAUUAUGGUAUUUUUCACAAGCAUUAGAAUGAAUUAAAUAAUUAUAAAUUUUUUUUAUUGACAAAGUAAAUAUUCUAAGUUAUCAAAUAUGAGUCCUAUAUUUAAAAAAAAACCUAAAUAUUUGUAAUUAAAUUAAAAAAACAUGUGAAUACUAAAGAAGAAAAAAACAUGUAAAUUUUCACAUAGAAACUGUCAGGCUAGGCCAUUUUUAGACACUUUUGGACUUUUUUUGAGUUUGAGUUGUGAAAUAAUUUUAGUUAAAAUUUUCAAUUCCAUAUGAAAUGGUAUAUUAUAAAUUCAAAAUAAAACUUUAUAAUUUAAGUUAUAUGACUAAAAUAUUACAGCAGUAUAAUGAUGAAAGUCUAAACUACAAAAUUUACCAAAAAAGUUGUAAUAUCUUUUUCUCCCAAUAUUUCCAUAAAUCUAUAAUAUAAAAAACAUAAAAUUAAAUAAUAUAAUUAACAACUUAAAUAAUAUAAUUGAAUAGUAUAAUUCAAGAAUAUUACAAAUAAAUUAAUAUUGAUGCACUUAUAGAAACCAAGGCUUCCGCUCAAUCACGAGAGACGCUUUCCCAAGACAAUCUUACCGUAAUCAAAAGGAGGUCAAUCCACAACCGGCUAAGCCUUAACCUAAACCAUGCUGUUCAUCAAGAUUAAAUAUCUCAUCGAAAAAGUCGUCCUGUUGUCUUUUGGGUUGCUAUUAGCUCCAUUGGCCAUGGAUUCUACAAGAAAGUUGUGUUGACAUUGAUGAUUUGGUUUAAGCUAUUGGUACCAGUAUUGUCAAAGCGUCAGGUAGAAUGUAUAACAGAUGGCUUGACCAUUGCUGACUUUUACCAAUCCAGCAUGUUUUAAAACUUGGUGGUAGUUGCUGCUACUGGUUAUGUAUCGAGUUGCUGGGAUACUAGUUAUGUUUCAUUGUGCUAUUGGAAACAUGGUUUGUUGUUGGGAGUUUAUUUGUUGUCAGAUUUUCUAUGUUAUGGUUCCUGGUUUGUUGUUUGAUGAUUCGAUGGAUGGAUGCAGAAGUUGGAGAAACCAUAGAGUAUAAAUUUAGUCAAAAGAUAAAAUAGUAAAGGCCAUUUUGUUUUAUUUUUCCAUAAUAUUAUACAAAUAGUCACCAUGUAUAUAUACAUGGCACUGACAUGAUUGUGAAGGCCUACACACUUUCUAAUGGUUCUACUGGCUAUCAAAUUUUUUUACUAUAAUAGUAAUACAGGUAAUGCAGCAGCAAGUAUCACACUAUUAUUUAAUUUUGAUAGCCUUAAUUACCACCACAGCUUGAUGAAGAAGCAAAGGCAGUUAUGCCUCUAACUCAAAUGAUGCCUUCAUUGUGGGUGAACGACUCACGGGAUCAAUUUCAAUAGAUGCAUUGUAUCCAAACUUUGUAACUUUAAAUUUUGGUUUUCCUCUUUUCUCAAGGUUGGUUUUGAUUUGCCCCCAGUGAACAGGUUGUCUCUGGAUAUCAGUAUAGACCUGCAGCAUGCAUGCAAAUGGCAUGCAAAUGGUCAUAGAUUAAAUGAUUAUAUAUACGCAUUCUAACUAGUUAAUUAAUGAUAAGAUUGAAUUGAAUGCAACAAAUACCUUGCUGUUCUCAUCUAGUGGGUUGCUCCAGGCAACAACCCACUUGGUUCCAUCACGUCGCCUGUACACAAGACCAGCAACUGAACCAUGACUAUCAGCAUCAUCAGUCACUGAUUCAUGUGUAAACUCACUCGAAUCUCCAUCUUCAAUUAUUUCUGGGAAAUCCGCAUAAUGAGAGCCUUGCCAAACUUUCUUGUCAGUCAAGGUUAGAGCUUCGCUGGAAGAGUUCCAAAGCUUGCCGUUUGUGCAUUGUUGAGCUCUUUUCAUUUGAAAAUUAGCCAUGGUAGCUUUGUAUGUGCUUUGGUUAGCUAAAGUUUGUUUUGGUUGUGUUAUGCUUCAAAUAUUGCAAUACACACCUACUUAUAUACUAGUUUACACCAUGCAUGCAUUGUCCAUAACAACAACGUUUAUGCGCAUGAAAUUAUUUGACUUCAUUCACAUUAAAACUUUUUUAUAUUCUUUUUCCCUUUUUUUAUUCAUAUUCUUGAUGUGUCUUUUCACUUUUAAGUACAAAUUCUUUUCAAUUAAAGAAAUAUUUUUAAAGUAUUUGGAUUUUUUUGAUAAAGUAUUAUUUUUUAAAUUAAAUAAUUAACAAUAUAAAGGUAAACUACUUUCAUUAUGAUCUAAACUAUUAGUAAGUUUAUGUUUGGUUAUUCAAUUUAAAAAAAACAAGCUACAAAUUGAAUAUUAAACUAUUCAAAAAGUUUAUUUAAGUCAAUGAGCUAUUAAAGUUGUUGUUGUAUGACCUUCUCUAUUUGCACCACCUGUAUCUAUCAAAAGUUCUCAUUCCCCUUCUCUUCUACAAUUCACUUUUUUCUCAAGAAAUAACUUUUAACCUCGUGAAUCUGCGAACCAAAAUUCAAACAAAUUUUUUCUCCCAUCACUGACAUUGAUAGUCAAAUCAACUUGGAUAUAAAAUAUGUUCUACUACUUGUUAAUGGUUUUUGAUCCACCAUACCGAUCAUUGAAUCAUUGCUUGAAGCUUGCUAGCAGGACUUUAAAAUAAAACUUUAAUAACCUAGUGACUUCAAUAAAAACUUUCAAAUAGUUCAAUGACCAUUUUAUAAUUAUUUAAAAUUGAAUAACUAAAACAUAAAUUUACUAAUAAUUUAAUAUGAAUAAAAUAUAAUUGUUGGGGACUCAAACUAAACUCACAUCACAUAAUUAAAUAAAUAAUUUCAGCGGAUGUAUUACAUAAAAAAAUUAGUACAUAAUAAAAAAAGUCAUCUCAAAAUUAAAAGCUUCAAAAACAUACUUAAAUCUUAAUUAUAUAUUUUUAAGAAUUAUUGAAAUAAUUUUCUUUUACUAACUAGUGUCAGUUUCUAGUACUUACACAACUCCAUGUACAUCAUUAUCCUGGUAACCUAAUAGUCACCAAAGCAUAAGUAUACAUACAACUAGCGUGACUUAAACCCAAGCCACAACUGGAAUGAUGAACACCUUUAACUAUCAAGCUAUUACAUGAGAUUCAUAUUAAAUUUUAAUAUGUUAAUGAUAUGUUUGAAAUAUUUUUUAUAUUGAUACUGUAUUUGUAUUAAUAAUUAAAUAACUUUAAAUGUAAUUUAAUUUUAAUAACAUUAACCAUUUUUCCAUUAAACUUUGAAUCCCUUUGAAAAAAAUAGUGAUUUGUGUAUUAAGCAUAAAUUUUUGUUGGAAAAAAAGGGAAUAAAACUUUGCAUUUGAGAUGCUGAAAGGCUAAGGUAUUAAAGCAAUGAGACUUUUAGUAUGGAGCUGAAUUUUGUUAUAUUAUAAAAUAUGCUUUAAGUUUCAAGACAUUAUUAGUGGAGUUAGAUGUGUUUAGGUGACACUUUCAUGAUUUUGACAAGUUAAUUACUUGUUAUAUGCAAUGUUUUGUUUUUCAGUUGAUCAAUGAAUUAUUUUUCAUCAAAAUUCUUCUUGUUUCUGUUUCAAUCCAAGCUAUAUUUUCUUGUUCUUCUAGCUCGUGUUUCUUAUUUUGUUUAGCAAGUCACUAUUGCUUAAAGCUUAAGACUUUGCUGUAAUUGCUUAGUGAUAACUCUCAACUCCAAUAAUUUGUAUCGGGAGCUGAUUUCUUAGAUGACCUUUCUCUUUUCUACUUUAAAAAACAAUGUUUUCAUCAAGUUUCUCUCCAGCACCACCACCAGUAUUCAAUAGUGAAGCCUACCACAUUUGGGUAGUCAAACUGAAAACCUACCUGCAGGCAUUUGACUUUUGGGAAGCUAUCAAUGCUGAUGUUAAACCACCACCCUUGAGAGCUAACCCAUGGUAGCUCAAAUCAGGCAGCACUUUGAUGACAAAGCCAAGAGGUAUAAGGCAAUGUCAUGCAUCCAAAACAGUGUGUCAGACUUGAUUUUCACAAGGAUCAUGGCCUGUGAGACUCUAAAACAGGCUUGGGACAAGAUUAAAGAAGAGUUUCAAUGCACUGAAAAAACAAGACAACAACAAAUUUUAAACUUAAGAAGGGAUUUUGAAAACCUAAAGAUGAAUGAGUCAGAGAUAGUUAAACAAUACUCAGACAGGAUUAUGGCUAUUGUGAACAGCAUCAGAUUGCUUAGAGACCAAUUCAGUGAAGCCAGAAUAGUAGAGAAGGUUAUUUCAACCUUACCAGAGAGAUAUGAAGCCAAAAUCUCUUCCUUGGAAGACUCAAGAGGUCUGUCAAACAUCUCUUUGACUGAACUAGUCAAUGCCCUCUAUGCUCAAGAACAAAGAAGAGCUAGCAGACAGGAUGAGCAUCAAGAAGGUACCUUUUAAGCCAAGAGCAAACCAACAUCGAGCUCCUUUGGCUAUAAAGGGAAGAAAACUUGGUCAAACAAGCCUAGAAGAGAUGGAGCAAGAAGAAGGUAUCCACAUUGCUCUCUUUGUAAAAGGAUUAGCCAUUCAGAAGCAAACUGCUAGUAUAGACCUGAUGUGCAGUGUAAAAUUUGCAAACAAAUGGGCCAUGUUGAGAAAGUGUGCAAGAACAAAAACUAACAAAAGGAACAUCAAACUCAGCAGCCUAAAACAGAAGCUCAAAUGGGAGAAGAGAGUUGUAGUCAGGAAGAACAAGUAUUUUUUGUCUCUUGCUCAGCUACCAAAAGAAAAGCCACAAAAGGGUGGCUGAUUGAUAGUGGUUGCACAAACCACAUGACACCUGAUGCUGCUAUUUUCAAGAGCAUUGAUAGAAGCUUUAACACUAGAGUAAAAGUGGACAAUGGACAUUACAUUAAAGAAGAAAGCAAGGAGAUGUGCUGAUUGACACUCCUUCAAGUACCAAACUUGUUUCUAAUGUUCUAUUAGUACCUGAAAUUGAUAGAAAUUCUAAGUAUUGCUCAGAUUUUUGAAAAGGGAUACUCUGUAGUAUUCAAAGGCAAAGAGUGCCUGAUUAGUGAUCCAAGUGGAUCCAAUCUCAUGUCAGUAACCAUGACUGAUAGAAGCUUUCUUGUUGAUUGAAACAAGAUUUCAGUUAGUGCCUACACAACUGCAUUAGAUGAAUCCAAACUGUGGCACAAAAGGUUUGGCCAUGUCAAUUAUAAGUCUUUACUGCACUUGUCUAAAGAAGACUUUCUUGAAAAUUUCACAAAAACAGUUUGAAAACAGGAUGUUUGUGAAGUGUGUCAGCUAAGAAAGCAAGCUAGACUACCAUUUCCUACUAAUAAGGCCUAGAGGGCCUCUAAAAAAUUGCAAUUUGUCCACACUGAUAUGUGCGGCCCUAUAAAGACUGAAUCUUUGAAUGGCAGCAAGUAUUUCAUCAUUUUCAUUGAUAACUACUUAAGAUUCUGUUGGGGCUAUUUUCUCAAGUAUAAAUCAGAAGUAGCUUCAGUGUUUUCAAAGUUCAAGGCUAUAACAGAAACUCAGUCAUGGUGCAAGCUUAAGACACCAAGGUCAAACAAUAGGACAGAAUACACCUCAGCAGUGUUUCAGACCUUUUGUGAGGAAUCAGGCAUUGAACACCAACUCACCAACACCUAUACACCUCAGCAGAAUGGUGUUAGUGAGAGAAAGAAUCGAACUCUGAUGGAUAUGGCCAGAUGCUUGUGUUUGAAAGGAAUUUGCCAAAAAGCUUUUGGGCUGAGGUAGUUAGUACUGCAAUAUACCUUCAAAACAGGCUACCAACUAAACCACUGCUUGAAAAAACACCAUUUGAAGCUUGGUUUGGGUUCAAACCAUCAGUUUCUCACUUGAAGGUCUUUGGUUGCAUAUGUUAUGCACAUAUUCCUGUAGUCAAGAGGGACAAAUUGGAAAAGAAGUCUCAGCCUAACAUUCUAGUUGGCUAUAGCAAUGUCAAGAAGGGCUAUGAGAUUCUGGAUCCUACAACUUACAAAGUCUUUUUGAGUAGAGAUGUUGUGUUUGAUGAGAGAUCAAGCUAGAAUUGGGAUAAAAGUGAACCAGAAUGUGCUGGUCAAGACUUGGUGACAGGGCAAACCGAAGCUGAUAAAAAAUGUCCUAAGAUGGACAUAUAUCAUGAGCCUGUUAGGGGAACUAGACCACUAAGUGAAAUAUAUGAGAGGGAAAAUGUAACUAUUAUUGAGCCAAUUUGUUUUGAAGAAGCUCAAGCUCAAGAAGGCUAAAGGCAAUCCAUGCUUGAUGAAACGAGCAUGAUUCACAAAAACCAGACCUUAGAGUUAGUUGCAAGACUAGUUCACAAGAAGGUCAUUGGAGUAAAAUAGGUGUUUCAAGCCAAGCAUAAUACUAAUGGAACUUUGAACAAGCUAAAAGCAAGGUUGGUUGUGAAGGGGUUUUGUCAGAAAUAUGGGAUUGACUACCUUGAAACAUUUGCACCAAUGGCAAGGCUUGAUAUAAUCAGAUUAUUGGUUGCAUUAGCUGCUCAAAGGUAAUGGAAAAUACAUCAACAUGACGUAAAAUCUAUCUUCCUCAAUGGAUUUCUUGAUGAGGAGAUAUAUGUUGAACAACCAGAAGGUUUUAAAGUUGCUGGUGAAGAAGACAAAGUUUACAAGCUAAAAAAGGCCUUCUAUGGCUUAAAAUAGGCACUAAGGGCAUGGUAUGACAGAAUUGACACGUAUCUAGCAAGCUUGGAGUUCGAGAGAAGCAUUAGUGAGCAAACACUAUAUGUAAAAAAGGAAGGUGAUGAAACACAGCUCAUAGUCUCCUUGUAUGUGAAUGACUUACUGGUAAUAGUAGGAAAUAACGCUAUGCUGUCUGAAUUUAAAAGCAAGAUGGAGACUGUGUUUGAAAUGUCAGAUUUGGGUGAAAUGUCCUGCUUCCUUGGCAUGGAAGUGUCUUCGACUCAACAAUGAAUUUUCUUAAGCCAAAAGGCAUUUGCCUUGAAAAUUCUGAAUAAAUUCUCCAUGCAAAAUUGCAAGGCAACUAGCACACCAGUUACUGUUGGAGAAAAAUUAUCAAGCCAAUGUGAUUUCGAGAAAAUGAAUGAAUCAACCUAUAGGAGCCUAGUGGGAUGUUUGCUUUACUUAACAGCCACAAGGGCAGGCAUAAUGUAUGCAGUUAGUCUCAUAUCUAGGUUCAUGCACUGUUGCAAUGUGAACUACUUUCAAGCUACAAAGAGAGUCCUCAAGUAUAUUAAAGGCACUCUGAGCUUUGGGAUGAUGUUUACCUAGGUUGACAGCAUGAAGCUCCUUGGUUUUGCUAACAGUGACUAGGCAGGAUUGAUAGAUGACAUGAAAAGCACCUUAGGGUAUCUGUUUACCCUUAGUUCAGCUGUUUUCUAUUGGAGAUCAAAGAAACAGUACAUUGUAGCUCAAUCAAUAGCUGAAGCAGAAUAUGUAACAGCUGCAGAGUAAUUUGGUUAAGGAAGAUCAUGGUAGAUAUAAACUUGCAUCAAAGAGAAGCAACAUAGAUCAAAUGUGACAACCAAUCUGCUGUUGCAAUUGCAAAGAAUCCAGUGUUUCAUGGGAAAACAAAGCAUUUUAAGAUCAAGUUGCAUUUUGUUAGGGAAAUGGAACAAUCUCAAGAAAUCAGACUGGUUUAUUGCAGUUCUGAAGAUCAGUUAGCAGAUUUCUUGACAAAGCAUCUUUGUGUGUCAAGGUUCAAGAAUUUGAGAGCCAAGUUGGGAGUUUGCAGCAUGGAAGCCAAGGAGGACUAUUAGAGGUUGGCUUACAUGCAGCUCUUGAGAUCGGGCCAUGCAAUUAGCAGCUAAAGCACAUGCAGCUGUCAUUUUGAUGUUUUUGAUGAUGUCUUGUUUUAGUUACAAUUGAACUAAGUUUGUAAUGAAUUUGUUGUAAUUUGGUGCUGAUAGAUUUGAUAAAUCAACUUAACCAAGCGUGCAAGCAAUGUUUUAUAAGUUUCAAGACAUUGUUAGUAGAGUUAGGUGUGUUUAGGUGACACUUUCAUGAUUUUGACAAAUUAAUUACUUGUUAUAUGUAAUGUUUGGUGUUUCAGUUGAUCAAUGAAUCACUUUUUAUCAAAAUUCUUGUUUCUGCUUUAAUCCAAGCUAUCUUUUCUUGUUCUUCUAGCCCGUGUUUCUUCUUUUGUUCAGCAAGUCACUAUUGCUUAAAGCUUAAGACUUUGCUGUAAUUGCUUAGUGAUAAGUCUCAAGUCCAACACAUGGUUUGUUGGUGGGAGUUUAUUUGUUGUCAGGUUUUCUAUGUUAUGGUUCCUGGUUUGUUGUUUGAUGAUUCGAUGGAUGGACGCAGAAGUUGGAGAAAAGAUAGAGUAUAAAUUGAGACAAAAGAUAAAAUAGUAAAGGCCAUUCUGUUUUAUUUUUCCAUAAUAUUAUACAAACAGUCAACCAUGUAUAUACACAUAGCACUGACAUGAUUGUGAAGGCCUACACACUUUCUAAUGGUUGUACUGGCUAUCAAAAUUUAUUACCAUAACAGUAGUAAAGGUAAUGCAGCAGCAGGCAGCACAUUAUUAUUUAAUUUUGAUAGCCUUAGUUACCAGCAUAGCUUGAUGAAGAAGCAAAGGCAGUUAUGCCUCUAACUCAAAUGAUGCCUUCAUUGUGGGUGAACGACUCACGGGAUCAAUUUCAAUAGAUGCAAUGUACCCAAACUUUGUAACUUUAAAUUUUGGUUUUCCUCUUUUCUCAAGGUUGGUUUUGAUUUGCCCCCAGUGAAUAGGUUGCCUUUGGAUAUCAGUAUAGACCUGCAGCAUGCACGCAAAUGGCAUGCAAAUGGUCAUAGAUUAAAUGAUUAUAUAUACGCAUUCUAACUAGUUAAUUAAUGAUAAGAUUGAAUUGAAUGCAACAAAUACCUUGCUGUUCUCAUCUAGUGGGUUGCUCCAGGCAACAACCCACUUGGUUCCAUCACGUCGCCUGUACACAAGACCAGCAACUGAACCAUGACUAUCAGCAUCAUCAGUCACUGAUUCAUGUGUAAACUCACUCGAAUCUCCAUCUUCAAUUAUUUCUGGGAAAUCCGCAUAAUGAGAGCCUUGCCAAACUUUCUUGUCAGUCAAGGUUAGAGCUUCGCUGGAAGAGUUCCAAAGCUUGCCGUUUGUGCAUUGUUGAGCUCUUUUCAUUUGAAAAUUAGCCAUGGUAGCUUUGUAUGUGCUUUGGUUAGCUAAAGUUUGUUUUGGUUGUGUUAUGCUUCAAAUAUUGCAAUACACACCUACUUAUAUACUAGUUUACACCAUGCAUGCAUUGUCCAUAACAACAACGUUUAUGCGCAUGAAAUUAUUUGACUUCAUUCACAUUAAAACUUUUUUAUAUUCUUUUUCCCUUUUUUUAUUCAUAUUCUUGAUGUGUCUUUUCACUUUUAAGUACAAAUUCUUGUCAAUUAAAGAAAUAUUUUUAAAGUAUUUGGAUUUUUUUGAUAAAGUAUUAUUUUUUAAAUUAAAUAAUUAACAAUAUAAAGGUAAACUACUUCCAUUAUGAUCUAAACUAUUAGUAAGUUUAUGUUUUGGUUACUCAAUUUAAAAAAACAAACUACAAAUUGAAUAUUAAACUAUUCAAAAAUUUUAUUUAAGUCACUGAGCUAUUAAAGUUAUUGUUGUAUGGCCUUCUCUAUUUGCACCACCUGUAUCUAUCAAAAGUUCUCAUUCCCCUUCUCUUCUACAAUUCACUUUCUUCUCAAGAAAUAACUUUUAACCUCGUGAAUCUGCGAACCAAAAUUCAAACAAAUUUUUUCUCCCAUCACUGACAUUGAUAGUCAAAUCAACUUGGAUCUAAAAUAUGUUCUACUACUUGUCAAUGGUUUUUGAUCCACCAUACCGAUCAUUAAAUCAUUACUUGAAGCUUGCUAGCAGGACUUUAAAAUAAAACUUUAAUAACCUAGUGACUUCAAUAAAAACUUUCAAAUAGUUCAAUGACCAUUUUAUAAUUAUUUAAAAUUGAAUAAAUAAAAGUUAAAUUUACUAAUAAUUUAAUAUGAAUAAAAUAUAAUUGUUGGGGACUCAAACUAAACUCACAUCACAUAAUUAAAUAAAUAAUUUCAGCGGAUGUAUUACAUAAAAAAAUUAGUACAUAAUAAAAAAAGUCAUCUCAAAAUUAAAAACUUCAAAAAUAUACUUAAAUCUUAAUUAUAUAUUUUUAAGAAUUAUUGAAAUAAUUUUCUUUUACUAACUAGUGUCAGUUGCUAGUACUUACACAACUCCAUGUACAUCAUUAUCCUGGUAACCUAAUAGUCACCAAAGCAUAAGUAUACAUAUAACUAGCGCGACUUAAACUCAAGCUACAAUUGAGAUGAAUACCUUUAACCAUCAAGCUAUUAUAUGAGAUUCAUAUUAAAUUUUAAUAUGUUAAUGAUAUGUUUGAAAUAUUUUUUAUAUUGAUACUGUAUUCAUAUUAAUAAUUAAAUAACUUUAAAUGUAAUUUAAUUUUAAUAACAUCAACCAUUUUUUCAUUAAACUUUGAAUCCCUUUGAAAAAAUAGUGAUUUGUGUAUUAAGCAUAAAUUUUUUGUUGGAAAAAAAGGGAAUAAAUUUUUUGUUGGAAAAAAAGGAAAAAAACUUUGCAUUUGAGAUGCUGAAAGGCUAAGGUAUUAAAGCAAUGAGACUUUUAGUAUGGAAAUGAAUUUUGUUAUAUUAUAAAAUAUGCUUGAAUGGAAAGUUUUGUUUUUAUUUUCAUUAUAACAAACUAAAAUGAAUUAAUAUAUUAACUAAUAAACAUGGCUAUCAAAUUGUUAAUUGAUUGGACCACUAGAGGUUCUUCUGCAUUCUUAUGAUGUGAUUCUGGUGUUUAGCUUUGUCUGAUGUUACUCCUUUGUUAUGUUGGAUCCUUGGAAUUUGCCUCAUGAUUUUUCUCAAACGCAUAAUAAAUUUUACUUAAUUUUUCGUCAAUUUAUAUUAAAAUAGAUAAAUAAAAGUUAAUAUCUGUUAACUUUGCUGAUAUCACACAUACGUGAAUGACGCAUUAACAAUAAAUUAAUAUUUUAAAAUUUCAAAAUUUAAAAUUAUUAAAAAAGUAUAUAAUAUAUUUUUAAUCUUUUAAAAAUUAAUCAAUUGCUAACGUAGUAUACAUGUGGCAGUCCAUGUAGACUGACGUUAACAAAUAAUAUAAGUUCAAAAAAUAAAAUAGACAAAAAUUUAAGUAGAAAUUUAAAAUAAUUUUUUUAUAAAAUUAAAAAGUCAAAUAAAUAAUUAAAAAAAACACGUAGAAACAUACAAGUAACAAUUUCAACAUUGAAGUUAUCUCUACAGAAAAUACGGAUCUGUAUAUUCUUAUUCAACCAUGAAUUCAAUAUAUAAUUUUUAACUUUAAAUAUGAGAUAAUAUUUGAUGCAUUGUUAGUUUUUAAGUUUUAUGUACCAUCAAUUAAUAAUAUGAAACAUCAUUACUGGUAUAAAAUAAAAAGUAUUGAAAGACUUGAAAAUAAAUACAUUUAAUUUUAUUUUUUUAUUUAAACAUAAUUAAAUAUUAGCUAUAAUUUUUAUUGAUCUUUCGGAUUUUAGAUUCCAAUUUCUUUUGGGUUUUUAUUGGAAAAUAUGGACAUCACAUACAUAAUAAGGAUAAUUGAUAGGUUAGCCUAAAUUAAAACUGAUCUAAUUUGGUUAGAAUUUUAUUGGGUUUUAAUUAUUAAAUAAAGUAUGGGUUAAAUAUGUGUAGAUACUCUAGUAAUUGAGUUCUAAUCAACUUCUAAUUAGAAUUUGAUUAGAAUUAAUAUGCCAAGGUCAUAAAUAUUAGGGUUAUGGUUCCCAAAUUAUACACAAUAUAUCUUUUCUAAUAUCUCAUCAUUAGGAAAGAGAGAGUAGAUAUUUUCUGAAUUUCUUGUGGAUCAAAUCCUCAAGAUAUGGUAAAAAUUUAAGGAAUUCAUGGAUUCAAGUAUGCUUCCGCAUGUAGUUUUGUUCUUGAUUUAUUCUUGAUGAUUUGACAUGAUAGAUCCUGGUUUAUUCAGUUUUAUUUUAGAUUUAUUUUAUAAAUCUAAUAAGUGGCAUCCGAGCCUCGUCAUGUUGACUCAUUAAGAACGAAUUAAUUCUCUAUUUUUUUUGAUUCAUUUAUUUUUUAGAUUUUAUGAAUUUAUUAUCUCAAUUAUAAACAUUAAAUCUUUUAAAUUUAUAUUAAAUAUUUUAGGGUUUGAAAUAGAAAUUGGGCAAGUGAUAAUGCUUAUGAGGAUUUAUGUUGAAAUUUUAGGGUUUUAAAUUUUUUUUAUGAAUUUGGUUUUUGAGGAAAUUGUUGUGUGAAUCAAAUUAUAGUUUAUUUAUAUUUUUAGAUUAAAGUUUUGUUAAAAGUUGAUAUUGAUGCUUGCGUUUCAUUACGAAAUCAGACACAUUGAUUUUUCUUUAAUAAUUAUGCAUCUAUUUAAAAUAUAUAUAUAGAAAUUGAUAUAUGUUUCGUUUAUAUAUAUAUAUAUAAUAUGCAUGCUUUAAUUGGUUUAAUGCAUGUUGUUUUGGAAAAUUAUAUAAAUAUAUAUGAUUAUCUUUUAAUUUGAUUGAAAGAUGAAAUUAAGGUAAAUACUUUGAAACAAAUAAAUUCAGAUUUUAGCUUUUAAUUAAGGAUGUCUACUAUUUUAAAUAAAUUAGUUGAAAUAAAAUGCCACCAAAAUGACAUCUUUUGUGUAGAUUAGUUUAUUUGAAAUAUUAAGAUGAUUAUAUGUUUUUAUGAUUCAUGCGUUUAUUGAUUGACCCAAAGUUAAAUUAAUAUUUGACAGAAUUUCAACGACAUAUGUGGUGAUAAAUGUGUGACAAUUUUAAGGUAUUUUAUGUGAGCAAUAAGUUAGUCCAAAGAUUAAUUCACGGUUUGACAUAAUUUAUUGUCAAUGUUUGAUUGCUACAACAAGAGUACCGCUUACUGUUAAUAUUACUGUCCAAAGCUUUGAUAUUAAUGUUGUGUUUGGUAUCUUGUGAUGGGAUUAGUCAUUAUCUUGAAUUUAUUAUUUACUUAUGAAUAUUGAUUUAAGCUUGUUUUUGUUCUAUAUUUAGCUAAUUCAUCUUCUACUGCCACAAUAUCUGCUAAUAUAAAUUCUAUACCUAUGCUUAAUAGGACUAAUUUUAAGGAAUGAAAAAGGAACUUACUUAAAGUGCUUGGUUGUAUAGACAUAGACCUUACACUAAGGGAAGAACAAUCUGCACCUCUCACUGUGGAAAGCACCCCUGGUGUUAAGAGGGAUUUUGAGAGGUGGGAUCGUUCAAAUCGCAAGAGUCUAAUGAUCAUGAAACACAGCAUUUUAGAAGCUUUUAAGGGCACAUAAUCUGAAAGAUUACUCAGGCCAAGGGUUUCAUUGAUGAAAUUGAAAAAUCUUUUGCUAAAAAUGAUAAGAUUUAGAUGACAUCACUUCUGACUUCUUUGAUGUUUAUGAAGUAUAAAGGUCAAGGAAACGUAAGGGAGUACAUUAUGAAGAUGUUCCAUACUGCUUCAAGACUUAAGACACUUAAGAUCAAACUUUCUGAGGAAUUGUUUUUUCUUAUGGUUUUGGUAUCGCUUCCUGCCCAGUUUAAUCAAUUUAAAAUUAGUUAUAACUGUCAAAAGGAGAAAUGGAUCCUAAAUGAGUUCAUUUCUCAUUGUGUGCAAGAGGAAGAAAGGUUGAAGGAUGAUAAGUCUAAAAGUGUUCAUUUGGCCAAUGCCCCUAAAGAUAAGGGCAAUAAAAGAAAAUAUCAGAAUAAAGCUGCUAAAGGUCUAGCUCAAAAGAAACAACAAGAAGCUAUAGAGAGUUGUUUCUUUUGUAACAAGUCUGGACACGUAAAGAAAGAUUGUACCAAAUAUCAUGCUUGGCAUGCAAAAAAAGGUAUAAUUCUUAAUUUGGUCUAUACUGAGAUUAAUUUAGCUUUAAUACCUAGAAACACUUGGUGGAUAGAUUCUAGUGCUACUACUCACAUAAGUUUUUCUAUGUAGGGUUGCCUAAGUUACUGAAAGCCAAGUGAUGGUGAAAGACACAUCUUUGUGGGCGAUGGAAAAUCAGUAGAAGUGGAAGUGAUUGGGAAUUUUAGGUUGUUACUAGGAACUGGUUUUUAUUUGGAUUUAAAAGACACUUUUAUUGUACCGUCAUUUAGACAGAAUUUAGUUUCUAUUUCUUCGUUGGACAAAUUUGGAUAUUAUUGUUCAUUCAAAAACAAUCAAUUAAUUUGUCUUUAAAUUCAAAUGUUAUUGGAACUAGUUAUUUAAAUACUUAUGACAACCUUUAUUUUCUAGAAACAGUUGCAUCCUAGAAUGAAACCUUGCAUGUGGAAUCACAUGGUAUUAAACACAAAUUAAAUAAGGAAAACUCAUCAUCAUUAUGGCAUAGGUGCUUAGGUCAUAUCUCAAAAGUUAGAUUUGGAUACCUUGUGUUUGAUGGAAUUUUAGAGUCCCUUGACUUCACAGACUUUGAUGUAUGUGUUGAUUGCAUUAAGGGAAAAUAGACCAAAACCAAGAGAUUAGGUGCCAACAGAUCUUCAGACGUCUUAGAAUUAAUUUAUACAGAUAUUUGUGGGUCAUUCCCUAUGGCAUCCUAGAAUGGUCAAUAAUAUUUCAUAACAUUGAUAGACGAUUAACCACGUUAUGGGUACCUAUAUCUCAUUCAUGAGAAAUCUUAGUCUUUGGACAUGUUCAAAGCUUAUAAAGCUAAAAUUGAGAAUCAACUCAAAAAAAGGACUAAAAAUGUCAGAUUAAAUCGUGGUGGUGAGUACUACGGUAGAUAUGAUGGCUUAGGAGAACAAUGUCUAGGACCAUUUGCGAAAUUCCUAGAGAAAUGCAGUAUUGUCCCACAGUACACCAUGCUAGGAUCAUCUAGUAUGCCUGGUGUAGCUGAAAGAUGAAACAUGACUCUUAAGGAUAUGGUAAAGAGCAUGAUUGCUCAUUCUACCUUACCUGAGUCCCUCUGGGGAGAAGCAUUAAAGAUAGCAGCUUACAUUCUAAAUAGAGUACCGAAUAAAGCAGUUGCAAAAACACCUUAUGAGCUUUGGACAGGUCAAAAACCUAGCCUAAAGCACUUUCACACUUUGGGAUGUCUAUCUGAGGCAAGGCCUUAUAGGCUACAUGAAAAGAAAUUGGACUCCAAAACAGUAAGCAACUACUUUAUUGGUUAUUCUGAGCGAUCUAGGGGCUAUAAAUUUUAUGAUCCCAUAAUAAGGAAUAUUUUUGAGAUUGGAACUACAACAUUUUUUGAGGAUGUUGAGUUCGGGGAGAAAUAAGGUUAGAGACAUUGCUUUUGAGGAAGAAUUGGGUUCUAACUCAAUUCCUACUAUCUUUUUUUAUGAUUUUUAGGUUCUUAUACCUAUCAUUGAUCAAGAAGUGAAUCUAGAACCUCUAUAAGACAAUGUUGAACAACUCCUCAUUCAAAAUGAGGUGAUUGUUCCAGAAGAACAAACUCAACAACCUCAAGAACAAGUGUCAUUAAGUAGGUCUACAAGAGAAAGGAGAAAUGUUAUUCCAGAUGAUUAUAUUGUAUUUCUCUAAGAACAUGAGGAUGAUAAUGGAAUGAUGGAAGAUGAUACAAUCAACUUUCAUCAAGCCAUGAAAAGUUCUAAUUCUCAAAAGUGGAUUGAUGCCAUGAAAGAUGAGUAUAAAUCUAUGCAAGACAAUAAAGUUAGGGAACUUGUCCCAUUACUUGAAGGUGCAAAACCAAUUGGUUGUAAAUGGAUAUUUAAAACCAAGAGGGAUACAAACGGUAAUGUGGAGAGGUAUAAGGUGCGUCUUGUAGCUAAACGAUAUACUCAGAAACAAGUUAUUGAUUUUACAGAGACUUUUUCUCUAGUUUCAUCAAAACACUCCUUCAGGAUAAUCAUGGCGCUUGUUGCUCAUUUUGAUCUUUAGUUAUAUCAGAUGGAUGUUAAGACUACGUUUCUUAAUGGCAACAUUGAAAAAAUAAUUUAUAUGGUGCAACCAGAAAAUUUUGAGUCGGAAGAUUCAAAGAAUAUGGUUUACAAAUUGACAAAAUCCAUUUAUGGACUCAAACAAGCUUCCUUUUUAUGGUACCACAAGUUUCAUCAAAUAAUUAUUUCGUUCGAUUUUGAGAUGAAUAUUGCUAAUAAUUGUGUGUAUCACAAAUUCAAUGGGAGUAAGUACAUCUUUCUGGUUCUUUAUGUUGAUGACAUUUUGCUUGCCGCUAAUGAUAUAGGCUUAUUGCACAAAACCAAGAGGUUUUUAUCUAAGCAUUUUGAGAUGAAAGAUCUUAGGGACGCCACUUUUGUUUUAGGAAUUCAAAUACAUCGAGAUCGAUCUUGAGGUAUUCUUGGAUUAUCACAAAAGAUUUAUAUCAAUAAAGUACUCAAAAGGUUUGGCAUGCGGAGUUUUAGACCAAGUGACACCCCUGUUGCUAAAGGAGACAAAUUUAGUCUUACUCAAUGCCCUAAAAGUAACCUUGAAAUUCGGGAAAUGAAAAAGAUUCCCUAUGCAUCAACUAUUAGGAGUUUAAUGUAUGCUCAAGUAUGUACGCGUCCGGACAUUGCAUACAUUUUUGGGAUGUUAGGCAGAUAUUUAAGCAACCCUGGUAUAGACCAUUGGAUAGUAUCCAAAAGGGUUAUGAGAUAUCUUCAGAGAACAAAAUAUUACAUGCUUACUUAUAAGAGAUCAGAUUUUUUGGAGGUUGUAGGGUAUUCUGAUUCUGAUUUUGUCGGGUGCCAAGAUAGUAGGAAAUCUACAUCAGGCUAUAUUUACCUAUUAGCUGAAGGAGCUAUAUCUUGGAAAAGUGUCAAACAGACACUUGUAGCUUCGUCCACUAUGCAGUAGAGUUUGUAGCAUGCUAUGAGGCAUCAAACCAUGGAAUAUGGUUGCGAAACUUUGUCACAGGGAUGCACAUUUUGGAGAAUGUAGAAACAACACUCAAAUUAUUUUAUGACAAUAAGUCAGCAGGGCUGUACAUGAGUUCAUCUAAGUCAAAGCAUAUUAACAAAAGUUUCCAUCUCUUUAUUCAUUUUUAUAGGCUUUACUUUUGUUAGGAUUUGUCUUUCAACAAAAUCAAUUUCAUAUGGUAAUGUUACUUCAUGCUUUUUCCUAUUCCAAAAGGCAUUAGAGAUGUUAGAAUAUAUUGUUGACUCGAUUUCUGUUUUGAUUUGAUUUAUUCUUUUUUGAUCUUUUGUUUUUUCUAAUUGUUCAUUUAAUUUUUUUAAAACAUAUUUCUUCUUUAAGAAUAAAAAAUUAUUCUAUUUAUGAUUAAUUAAAUUAUUGAUUCGUAAUGAAUAAAAAUGUUAAUAAGUUAAGAUUUUUAAUAUUGUGAUUUGUUACUUUGUAAGGUUUGAGUAAAGAUAUAAAGGGGUUCCUAAUAUAAUGUCUUAGGUAAUAUCUUUUAUCAUUAAAAAACAUGUUUGAUGUUUGAUAUCUUUAUUACAAAUUUCUACAUUAGGGAUUUUGAUAUGUGUCUUGAUUUUCCACAUCUAUAACAUUUUAUCGUUUUAUCUUUUUUUUUCGAUUUUUGUUGUUUCUGUUAUUUACUAUAUUUCCUAUACUUUGAUUUUUUUUAUAAUAUUCUGAAAUAUUCUUUCAUAUAUUUUUUCAUUUUAUAGGGAAACAUGUUUUUGAAGAAGAAGGUUCAUUUCUAAUGUCAAAUUGGUGGCAGAAUGAUAGGCAAUGGUAGCAAUUUAAAAAUUCUCAUAGUAGAAACCCCUUGUAGGAAAUAAGAAAAUAAAAUGAUGUUUCCUUAGAGAACCAAUUCUUCUACAAGCUUUACCUCUAACCAAUACCAAGAGUUUGAUCAAACCUCAAACAACAAUGUUAAUGAAUAAGAACAUUAUGAAAAUGUUCACCGAUGUAUACUAUUUUUAAACCCUUCAAAUUUUUAUUUUACACUAGUAAUAAUGUGUCAUUUUAUUAUCACUUGAUGGUACAUAAAAUCUAUGCACCUAUGGUUAGGGGUGAACAAAGCUCGAUUCGAUUUGAAAAAAUUGAAAAAAAAAUCAAAUUUUGAGUAAUUCGAGUUUCGAGUUCGAGUCGAGUUGAAUUUUACAAUUCGAAUAAUAGAUUGGUGUAAAUACCCCUUUAAUCCAUGUCAAUUUUGAAAAUGAGCAAAUUGAUCUCUCUCAACGAAAAAUACAAAAUAACUCAAAAUAAUUUUUAAAAUUCAAAAUAUUUAUAAAAAUUCCAAAAUUUAUAUUUUUAAAAAAUAAAAAUAUUUCUAAAAAAUAUAUAAAGAAAUUUAAAAUUUUAUUUUUUUCUAAAAUAAUAAAUUUAGAGACCUAAAUAAGUUAAUUAAUGAUUCAAGUUUAUAAUUCUAAAGUAUCUUAUUAUUAUUAUUAUUAUUAUUAUUAUUAUUAUUAUUAUUAUUAUUAUUAUGCUUUGAAAAAGUUUUCAAAUAUAUAUAGUUUCAAUUGUAGGUGUUCUAGCAUUAAAUUAAUUAUACUAUAGCAAAAUUUUAAUUUGAUAUAUUUAAUUUUUUAAUUAACUGAACAAUUUCACUUGAUUCGAUUCGACUUGAAUUUCAUUUCACUCAAUUCAAUUUGAAAAAAAUUAAUCAAAUUAGAAUGAUAAAAUAGGAUUUAUCAACUUGAUUAACUUGAAUUUUUUUUACUAGAUUCAAUCGAACGCUAACCCCUACCUACGGUACAUUAAAUAUUCUCCCUAUAUUAUUAUUAUUAUUAUUAUUAUUAUUAUUAUUAUAGUUUUGGCUUUAUUUUAUUUGCACUUUGUAAUGACGUGAGAUAUUUCUAAGAUUACAAAUUAUUAUUAUUAUUAUUAUUAUUAUUAGCCAUAAAAACAUAAAAACUUUAAUUAUAUCAGAAAAUACAAAAAGUUAUGGUAAAAAACUUGACUCAGAAGUACAAGAGAGCCACAACUACCUCACUGUAAAACUAACUUCAAUAUCAGUUCGAAGGGGGAGUAGGAAAUUCAUCCUUGUCAAGAAUGAACACCAAAGAAGUUGGUGGUUGUCAAGUCCAACCUGUAACGCCUUGAAUAGUUUAAAUAUAUUUUUGUGAAAUUUGACAUAAAGGUGUAUUUGCUCAGUAGUUAAGUGUUUUAGGUGUGUGUAUCAGGUCUUGGGUUCAAGUCUCAUAUUUGGGGAAAAAAUUUAUUAUUAUUUAUUCAAGCAUUAUCCCUGUUAGGCAGGCUUAUAAAAUAUUGUUUGUUAAUCUAUAUCAAAAUGAGCCUGCUUGUUUGAGUGGUAAGGACUUAGUGUAUUGGAGGUCUUGUGUUUGAAUCUGUGCGUGAGUGUGAGUGUUAAUUUUUAUUUCUGUUGCCUGAUAGAGGUUCGGUGGAACUGGAACUCUGAGGUUGUUGGAUGAGAAUCUGAUGUCAGUUUUGGUGGGAUUUGUUGUUAGUGGGUUAGUCGGGGGAGUUAGGAUUUUCGUUAAUUUUGAUUUAUUUUACUUUUUUUUUAAAAUUUUUAUCUUUUCCCAAAAACCUCUCCCCUUUUUAAUUUUUUUUGUUUCCCACUAUCAAUUUUCUUUCUUUUUCAUCUUAUCGAUUUCUAUCUUCAUCUCCCUGUUAAAUUACAGUGCUUCGAUUCCCUUUUUUUGUACGUUUGGUAAGUGGUGGUAGUAAGGUUUUUGCUUGAGUUAAGGAGAAUUCUUUUAAAUCCGUUUAAAAAUGAUGUUGUCUUUUUCAUUAGUUCUAAUUUUUGGGUUGUUGGCAGCAGCGAAUCGGCAGGAUCGGAGCUCUCUUCUUGUGGAAUCGUAAUAUCGAGGAUCAUUCGGGAAGUUGGGUAAGUAAUGAACGCUUGGGUCUCGCUGUGAUCAAUUUAUUAUUUUGAUUUAAUUGAGGAUGCAAGACUAAUUUUGGGACGUGCUUUGUCGAUUUUUAGGUUCUUGUGGUCUCAGGAUUGUUUUCACAGCAAAAACAAACCAGGUGUGCACCUUAAACACGAAAAUUGAGGUUCGAAAAAAGCCGAAAAAUUGCACUGUUGACGCCACACGGGUGUGCACCCAGCUGUAUGGUUGGCCAUGUAUAAGACACAGUCGUGUGACUGACGAAGAUGUGGCCGUGCACAUGACACGACCUUGUGUCAGUGUGAGUGUAGUCGUGUGGGCCACACUAGCUAAGUCAGAUUGGGCGUGUGGGUUUAGGGUCAGGCCAUGUAGGCCACAUGAGCAAGGCCAAUCUAGGAGUGUGGGCCUACGUGGGCAGGCCACAUAGGCAUGUAGGCCCAGAAUUUUGAAAUUUUCCCUAGGGUCGCACGGGUCGUUUCGAUUGACUGUGGACCUACUGUAAGGUCGGUAAAGGCUAACCAAACCCUAAUUCAUGUGAUCUGAUAUUUUGAUAAUCUGAUUUGAGUAGGACAUUGAUAUGUAUGUAUGACUGUUCUGUUUGAGUAUAUAUAUAUGUUAUCUGUAUACAAGCAUGUUAGGCAUGUUAAUUCUGCUAAUUUUGAAUUUUGUAUCUGUGUUUGGGGAGAGAUUUGUAUAUGUAGAGGAAGUGAUCUAUAUGGCGACAUUUCGCCUAUAUUCUGGUAGAUCGACUACAUAUUAUCUAUGAUAUGUCGCAUCGACACUAUAUGGUAUGUAGGGAUGGUUGGGUAUUUUUAACCCCAUAUGAUGUGAUGGGAUGGAUGGAGAUGGUGUGUAGAGGAUGGGUGUAACGCCUUGAAUUUUACACCCAAAAGUUUAGAGAUUUGAGCAUAGGGGCAGUGGGGAGACUGCACAUAAAUGAUUAGUUGUGCACUCAAGUGACAAGAAUGGGCCUGUUGGUCUGGUGGUUAAGUGAGUCUUAGCAUACCUUGAAGAUCCGGGUUCGAGUUACGGGAGGCAUUUUUUUUUAGAGUCAUUGUUUUAUUUUUGUUUGUUUUAGUUAAUAAAUAUUUAGCUAUUAUAUUUUGUAAUUGUAUAUUGCUAUUUUUAUUUUUGUUUUGGACGUUCUUCUGUUUCUCUUUUUGGUUUUUGUUUCCCUUGCUUUUCUUUUUGAGGAUUAUUCGGAUUGCUUUUGAAAGUGAAUUGUCUAUGGAUUUUGGGAUUUGCACUCCUCCUUCGACUUCUUCGUCGUUGGGUCCAAUCACAACACAGGUGUGGGAUUCAAAUCUGGUUUACCUUUUCUUAUUAAUUGAUAUUUCAUUUUUUUGAAUUCCUUUCUUUCAGCUUUUCGUAACUAUACAUUAACCCCAUUCAUUUUUGGGUAUUGAGACAUUGUAAGAGAGGGGAAAGCACUAGUAUCUGAUGUACUCUUGGUGUGGUUAAGGUUAGGGACUAUUAUGGUGGCUUAAACGACGGUUUUGGACUAAUUUUGAGUGGUUUCGUGACCUCCCCGAUGACCACAUGGCUGUAUAACUCGGCACACGGCCGUGUGGAUUUAGGAACUAGGGUUUCGGGAUAAAUUGGGUACCAUACGGCCGUGUGGCUGAUUUGGGGAUUUUAUCAGAAUUCACACGAUCGUGUCCCUUCGGCACACGGGCGUGUGAGUUAGAGAAUUAGGGAUUUUGGAUUCGGAGUCAUAUGGAUGUGUGGUUGAUUUGAGGAUUUAAAGAUCCCACACGGGCAUGUGUUUCAGAACACAUGGCUGUGUCUGGUGGGCAUAUGGGCGUGUGAGACCCUCACACAGUAAUGUCUCCCCUGCACUUUAUUUUAGCGAUUUUUGACAAUGUUACAUGACCUGUUCACACGGCCGUGUCUGUAAUAUCCCGAAUUAGGGCCUAAUCGGAAUAGUGGUUUUGUGACCACAAAUCCGAGAUAGAAAUAAUUAUUUUAUAAUUAUUUUGAUGAUUAUGAUAUGAUUGCAUGAUUGUGUGAAAAUUUCGUGAUGAAAUUCUAUGCCUAAAGUGCUUAAAUUGAAAGUAAGGACUAAAUCGAAUAAGUUGCAAAACUUGCAUUCUAGAAGUUUUUUGUAUGAAAUUGUUUUGGAAUAUUAAUGAGGAGGUCUUAAAUAGCAAUUUGACCAAUUUUAAGUUCAUGGAAAAAAUUAGGACAUGGAAGGAAUUUUUGGAAAGUUUAGUAGUAAGGGUAUUUUGGUCAUUUAGUUAUUAAAAUGAAUUAAAAACAAAAUUAAAAGCCAAUUUUUGUCCAUCUUCUUCAUUAGGCCGAAAUUUCAAGGGUUCUCCAUAGCUAGGGUUUGUUUCAAGCUUCCAAGCUCCAUAGUAAGUGAUUCCAAGCCCCGUUUUUAAUGUUCUUUACGUUUUUGGAAUCCCGGUAGCUCGAUUAAGCUUAUGUUAGCAAUAAUUCAACCUAGGGUUUAUAUUUGGAAAAAUACCCAUAGGUGAAAUUUGUGUAUUUUGAUGUUUUAUGAUAGAAUAUGGGGUUUUAAAUUAUGUUAGACAACUUGUACUACUCGAUUUUAAGCAAAAACGAGUAAAAGGGCUUAAUCGGUAAAAAUACCUAAUAGUCACAAGUACAUGUUAGAGUGAGAAUUUGAUGUUGCCAUAGAAGAGAAAAGUGAUCAGCAUGUUGUAAAACAUAAGAAUAAGGAAUAAAGUUUAAUCCCGAGCCUAGGGGCAAAAAUGUAAAUAUGCAAAAGUUUAGGGGAAAAAUUGUAAUUUUGCCAAAAUUUGAGUUAAGGAUUAAUUUGAUAAUGUGGGUAUUAAAUGAGCUAAAUGUGUUAUUUUAGAUCAAGAAAGACGUGGAAUCGACCUCAAUCAAGGAAAAGAAAAGAUUGUGGACUAAAUUGCAAAAUCUUUAUAUUUUGGUACCAAGGUAAGUUCAUGUGUAAAUGUAGUAACAUAAUUGUCAUUUUAACCAAUUUAAUGUUGUUUAUAUGAUAUGAUGCUGAUUAUUAUCAUGAAAUAUUAUGCUUUGUGGUUAUUGUUGAAUAAUAUGUAAUUAUGUGAAUUACUUGAUGAGUAUGAACUAUCACCGAAGUACCGAUUUCGAUAUUCCGUGGAAGACGGCAAAGAUGUGUGAUCGAGGAAAACGCCCGUUUGAACCUUAGGAAUAGAUUAGGAUACAAGUGACAUGUCACUAGGAUGGUUGAGCAUCCAAACUCGUUGAGUUGAGUCCGAGUUCACUUAUGGAUGCGAAUGUCCGAACUCGUUGAGUUGAGUCUGAGUUCGUGAAAUGUAACUAGGCAUCCGAACUCGUUGAGUUGAGUCCGAGUUCACUUAUGGAUGCGAACGCCCGAGCUCGUUGAGUUGAGUCCGAGUUCACUUAUGGGCGGGUUACAUGGUAGCUUGAUUACAUAUGAGGCUCUUAUAUGCAAAUUAUCCAUGUAUCCGAAUUAUAUUCCGAUGUGUUCAACGGGUAAAGUUUUACUCAAAUAGAGGAAUACUCGAGAUGAAAAGAGACGUAUUGGUAAGUGAUGAGAAAUGGAUAUUUUGUACAGGUAUGUAUUUAACCCUCGGGUUGAGUGUUGAUUACAACCACGAUAAGGUAAUAAGAUGAUGGAAAAUGAUUAAAAAAUGUGAUAAGUGUGUUGAUGAUAUAUGCUAAUGUUGAUUAGUUUGAUUGUUUGUUAUGUUAUUUAUUAUUUACAUAUGAACUUACUAAGCAUUUAUGCUUACUCCCUCCUUCUUACUCAUUGUAGUUUUGGACAAGCCAGUUCAGGAGUCGGGAUAGGUUGAAGGCUCAGUCACACUAUCAGGAAGAUUUUUGGUAAAUGGCUUGUAAAUUUAAGUAUGGCAUGUAUAGCAAUAUACUUAUUUUGUGUAAAUGAUCUUAUGAUAUGGUGACAGAAUGGUUGAGAAAAUAUUUGAUAAUGAUAAAUUAUGAAAAUGGUAAGUUUAGAUUAUGUUUGAUGUUAAGGAAAACUAUUAUGAUACUUAGUGCAUAAAAACUCAUAAGAGGGAUGAAAUUUGCCAUAAACAGAAUACUGCAGCAACACUGACCCGAGUUUGAAAAUUUACUAAAAAUCAUAGCAAUUAAAUUUGGUGAUGGACUACAUAUCAAAUUUAAGCUUAUUAUGUCUAGUGUCACAUGAAACAAAUGAAACAGGUAAAGGAAUUAUAUGUUAGAAGAUAUUUGAAUUUUAGUGAAACAGGUUCAUAGCAGUUUCUGAAUCCCCUGCUCCUACUUUAGAAAUUCACCAUAAAUUUUAAAGAUAUAAUUAGGUGGUGUAUUUUAUAUCCUAAGAAUACUUAUUGAGUCUAGUUUUAGGAGAAACAAACCUCAUAGUCAUAUGAAUUUUUUACAUAGAGAAAUGUGGUUCAUAGUAAAUAGAGGUCAGACCAGUCAAGUCCUGAAAUAGGGGUAACUUUAACUAAUAAACUGUACUAAUUGGCCCAUUCAAAAAUUUUAUAAAAAAUUAGUAGAUAGGUAUAUGAGUCUAGAUUUAGGGAAAAUUUACGGAUCUUGAUUUCGAGUUUCGUAACUCGAGAUAUGAUUUUUCUUGUGACUGUGACGCAAGUAGCUUAAAAGCUGUGAAUAUAGAAACAAAUAAUCCAAAGUUCUAAAAAUGUUAAAUUAAGCUUAGUAACACCUCAUACUCGACUCCGGCGACGGUCUCGGGCGUGGGGGCGUUACAGUGUCCCCGCUUCACACAAGCGUGUGCCUCUAUCACACGGGCAUUUGGAUCACCACACGGCCUAGUUUGUCCCACACGACCGGGGCACACUGGCAUGUGGCCCUAUUUUGCUAGAUUUUGGUUUUAGGGCAAAUGUAAGUGCAAUUGGGACCUUGUAUGUUUCAACCCUUAGCUAAGCUUUAGUGAGGGUGUUUAGACUCUAAUCUGAGUUUGGAUAAUGUGUUAUUUGUGAUUGGUUGUGUGACAUGUUUGAUUCUGAACUUGGUUAGCUGGGUGAGUGUGUGAGCAACUAGUUCUAUCUGACUGUCUGACUACGUGUUAUCAAUAUGCGAGGUUAUUUUGUAAUUGAUACUGAACUCAAGUAAUGAGUGUGCACAUUUCUGAUUCUGAUUGACCAUAUAUGAGUGACUGUCUCUGGUUAACUAUCUGGAAAUUGAUAUUUUGAGUUUUGUGCAUCUGUCUGUAUACAUACAUUUGCAUGAAAUUGUUUUGGGUGGGACUUUGAAGAGAAGGAAGAUUGACUAAACUAAACUGUUAGCUAAUCUUUUGGUUAUUAGCCUUAAUACCCAGAGGGUUAUGGGCGGUCCCAAUACCCUGAGGGUCGUGGACAAUUUGACUGUACUGCGGACUACUACAUUAUACAGAACAUGCAUCAGUAUCGCUGCGUAUCAUUGACUGAACUAGAAGUUUUAUUACAACCUAAUAGUAUAGCGGUUUACCGUAUUGCGCUGUACCGCAUGUACGUUAGCUACGCUACGUACAACUAUUUGAUCUGGCAGUUUAUACUGCAUGUCUGUACCGCGGUUUAUCGCAUUGCAUGAUACAGCUUAUACUCUAGCUUUGCUGCAUAAUAUACGUGACUGGCAGUUUAUCUACAUACUGUUAGCCUCAAUACCCAGAGGGUCAUGGGUAGUCACAAUUCCUUGAGGGUCAAGGACAAUCCUGAUGGCCAAUGUUGCCGGAUAACCCGGGAUGACAUCAAUUGGAGUGCAGGGUUGGAUGGUCCUUACGAGGUCCAGAGUUGAGUGAUUGGUGGGAUGAGUUUAAAGCUCUUAUGAGGAGUAAUGAGGGACGAAGAGGUGUGUUGGCUAGAUAGGUGGGUUUCUCAUAACUCAAUUACAUUCAUAUGCAUCAUAUUGACUGCUCGACUGAAAUGUCUGAUUGACGGUUCGAUUGAAAGGCACUUGUGCCUAUGAGAAUUGUGUAGACUUUGACUGUAACUGUCUGACUAGAUAGUUCUUAUCACUGUUGAGAAUUACUGCUACUGUGCCUGAAUGGUACGUGAAACUGUGUGCGUCUGAUUGACUCAUAUGACUGUAAAGUAAUAUGGUGUAUGAUUGAUUUUGGGCGAAUUCGCUCAACUGUCAUCUGUCUGUCUGUAUGUUUUGCUUUUGAACUACUUCUAGUUCCCUAUUUUCGUUUUUGUAGUUUAAUUGGUUUGUUCUCACACUAAGCUUGAGUAGCUCACCCCCUCUUUUUUUUCCCCUUUUAGGUACAGUUUUGGAUUCUGUUGAUGGGAUCAGUACGCGAAGGUCUCAGACAGUCUCAGUGAAAGUGGAAUAUUAGUUUGUGAUUUUCAGUUUUUUUUUAUUCGUACUGUAAGAUUUUAUAAUAUUAUGGUACAAUUACUAUUUUAAACUUUUAUUCGUACAUGUUAUUCUCUUGUGGAUGGAAUUUUAAACAAUUAAACGUUUUGAUUUGUUUUAAGAUAAAAAUUGUCAGAAAUGGAAUUUUGAACGACUUGUUUUUGUAGAAAUCUUCUCAGGAUUGCUUUGGUGAUCAAUGUAGUAUUUCGAAUUCAGUCUUUACUUCUAGGCCGGGUUUGGGGUGUUACAAGGGGGGUAGGAUUCUGAAUAUCCAUUCUGUUUAUCUGAUUCUGAUAUCUGUAUCUAUUAUGGACUUAGGUCCGAAUCUGUAUCUGACUGUAUAUGAAAUAUGGUGUAUGUUACUUGGCUAUUUCUGUUGGGUUACACAGUGAGUUUACGAAAACUCACAUUUUUUUGUCUAUUCUGUUCAGAGGUAAUCUAUAGACUUAAGCGGGUUAGUGCGACAGAGGCUCAACAGUGACCACUUGACUGAGAUUUGUUUUUAUUUAGUAAUAAUGGUUUAUUUUAAAAUCUGGUUUUCUUAAGAGUUUGUAAUUUUUUGGGACUCUCUGGACUGUAUGAUUUUAACUUUUGGAUUUGGAUUUUGUUUUGUAUUUUUUUCCGCAAUGUUGACAAAAACACUAUGCAAACAAAUGGUUUUAACAAAUAGUUUUUAGAAAAACGAGCUUGGUUUUGUUUAAAAUGAUUUUGAAACUUCUACUUUGAAAUAAACAGUUAAUUUUAAAGAACAACUCAAAAUAGUUUUAGUAAUGUAUAUGUAUAAAUGAAUAUGUUAUAAUACCUAGAUGAUUUAACUAAUAACUAAACAUGAUUUUAUCGAAGUAUUUUCAGUUUCAAAACCCUUCAUCGUAACAUUCCUAGAUUCAGCCAUAACGUAUAGGCUGUGUUUGGGGUAUUACAUUUAGUGGUAUCAGAGCUAGGUUACAAAACUCAGGCUGUAAAUUUUGAGUUUCAAAAUUGUAUUUCAAAAAAGAAUUGGUUGAUAAUUUAGAUCAUUUUGAGUAAGUAUAUGGUACACCGAGUCUCCGGCGCCAAUACUCUAAGUAUCUCUAAAUUUAGAAAACACUAAAUUAGUACUUUUUAAAAUUGUACUAAGUUAGUUAGAGACUAAAGCCUCUGAAAUACUUCUGAACUUCUGAUAAAUUAAGUAUAAAAUAUCUGCUAAUAAAUACUGGAACUGAUGCAUAAAAUUCUAUAAUAUAGAUAAAAUUGAAAAUACGAUGAGCGCUCGUGGAACUCACGGUCGUAUUAUUUGUGGUUGUGGUGGGUGUCGUAGGAGGGCUCGAGCUAAGUAUUCUUCUCUGUGUAGUAUGCCAAAUUUAAACACAAGUGAGACACUAGUUUCACUUGCUAUUGAGACUGGGCCUCAAAGCCGCUCGGCGGGGGACGACGCAUUGUCCCAAGCCAUGUUGAGAGUAUUGGAGAGGGUCGUUGGACCCCAUUCUAGAUCUGGGGUUCGUAGGUCGGUAAUUGAAAUACUUCAGUCCAAUGAAGCUAAGUUGUUUAGGGGCGUCACUAGAGUCGCCCCUACUGUGGCUGAGUAUUGGUUAAAGGCCACUGAGAGGAUUAUGAACGACAUUGAAUGCACUCCUAAGAAGAAAUUGAAGGGUGCAAUCUUUUUGCUUCGUGACAAAGCUUAUCAGUGGUAGUUGUCAGUUGAGGAACGUACUCAACCAAAUCAUCUGAACUGGGACUAACUUAAGACUGCUUUCUAAGGAAAAUAUGUGGGUACAAUUUAUGUUGAUGCUCGUAGGCGUGACUUGAGCUUAUGAAUCUCAUGCAAGGUGAUAUGUCUGUGGCCGAGUAUGAGGCCGAGUUUCUAAGAUUGAGCUGCUACGCUCGAGCUAUGAUGGCAUCUGAGUAUGAGAAAUGUGUUUGUUUUAAGGACUGUUUAAGGGAUAGUCUAAGGGUUCUGAUUGCUCCGCUGAGGGAGCGUGAGUUUGUUGUUUUGGUAGAUAAGGCGAAGAUUGCUGAAGAGGUUGAGCACGUGGAGCACCUAAACAGGAAGCGAUAGAGAGGUAAGAACAAGAGGGAUUUGGUGCCCUCUAGUGCUGUUUAGAGGCCUAAAAAGUGGGCUAGACCUGAUUCGCUUGUUAGAUUGAGAGUUCGUGUUGCUCCUACUGGGAUUCAGCCUUGUGGUGAUUGUGAUAGGCCAUCCGAGCACGUGUUGGAAGAGAUUAGGGGCUUGUCUGCGGUGUGGGUCUUUGGAGCAUGGGAUUAGAGAAUGUCCACAUCGUGCUGAUCAGACGCAAGCUUUGGGACUGAGUUUUGAUCAACCUCAGAAGGCAGUACAACAACCACCUAGGGGCCAUAGACCGGCUAGGAGUGGUAAUGGUAUCGGCUGAUGACAGAAAGCACCGGGUAGAGGUGCUAAUCAGAUUGAAAUGAGGCAGCCUGUAUUGGUUUAUGCUGCUUGAUGCCGAGAGGAUAAUGACAUUCCUGAUGUGAUCACGGGUAUGUUUUUAAUUUUUGAUGCUCCAUAUACUGCUUUGAUAAACAUAGGUUCUACGUACUCCAAUGUAGCUAGUACUGUUUCUAGGAACUUGGGGAUUUUUGUUGAGUGCGCUUCUGGUGAUAUUAUUGUACUAAGUCCAUUGGGAUAGUCUAUUCGAGUAAAUAAACUUUAUAGGAAUGUUUCGUUAAAAGUAUAAGAGGCUGCGUUUUCAGAAAAUUUGAUAGAGCUACCAUUUGGGGAGUUCAACUUAAUUCUGGGUAUAGACUAGUUAGUUGAGCACCGAGUUAGGUUCAAUUGUGCGACUAAAAGGGUUGUUCCGAGGACCGGGGAUGAUAAGGAAGUGGUUGUGAUCGAUGAGCAUCGAGAUUACUUGUCUGAUGUGUUCUCCACUUUAGUGGCUGAGAAAUUGGUUUAGAAAGGGUAUGAGGCGUAUUUGGCCUAGUCAGUGUUUCAGUUCUAGGAACUCUUCUGUCAAGGAUAUUAAAACAAUGAAGGAAUUUUUAGAUGUUUUUCCUGAGGCAUUACCAAGUUUACCUCUAAAUUAGGAAGUUGAGUUCGGCAUUGAGCUUCCAUCAGGUACAGCUUCGGUGUCUAUCGCUCCAUACCGUAUGGCACCGAAGGAGCUUACAGAGUUUAAGGCUCAACUUCAAGAGCUUCUAGAUCGUGGUUUCAUCCAUCCUAGUAUGUCUUCGUGGGAGGUAUUGGUUCUGUUUGUAAAGAAAAAUGAUGGUACCAAGAGGAUGUGCAUCGACUACCGGCAGUUGAAUAAACUGGCUGUGAAGAAUAAGUACCCACUUUAGAGGAUUGACAACCUAUUUGAUCAGUUCCGUAAGGCUACGGUAUUCUAAAAAGUAGAGCUUCAUUCUAGGUAUCAUCAGCUUAGGGUUAAGAAAGCUAAUAUUCAUAAGGCAGCUUUUAGGACUCGUUAUGGGCACUACGAGUUUCUAGUUAUGCCCUUCGAUUUGACGAAUGCUCCGGCUACAUUCAUGGAUAUGAUGAACCGAGCUUUUCAGCCGUAUCUGGACCAGUUCUUCGUAAUCUUCAUUGACGAUAUUCUGGUGUACUCUAAGACUAAGGAUGAGCAUGGUGCGCAUCUUAGAGUAGUGCUUCAGAUGCUCCGAGAGAAACAACUCUACGCUAAGUUGAGCAAGUGUGAGUUUUGGUUGCGAGAGGUAACUUUUCUGGGACAUGUGGUUUCUGCUGAGGGGAUUCGAGUUGAUCCUUGAAAGAUUGAGCUUGUGCUUGAUUGGAAGCAGCCUAAGAAUGUUUCUGAUAUCCGUAGUUUUCUGGGUCUUUCGGGUUAUUAUUGGCUGUUUGUUGAAGGGUUUUCACUAAUUACGGCUCCUUUGACUAAGCUUCUGCUCAAGAGUGUUUCUUUCGUUUGAACUGAUAUGCAAAAAUCGAGCUUUGAAAAGCUCAAGUCCGUUUUGACUCAAGAUCCUAUUCUGAUAUAGCCUGAAUUUGGUAGGGAGAUUGUGGUGUACAGUGAUGCGUUGCACAUCGGUUUGGGAUGUGUACUGAUGCAAGAUGGUAAGGUUGUGGCUUAUGCGUCCUGUCAGCUUAAGUCAUAUGAGGGGAAUUAUCUGAUGCAUGAUCUCAAGUUAAUCGCGGUGGUGUUUGUGUUAAAAAUCUAGAGGCACUAUCUGUAUAGUGAGAGGUUUAUUAUCUACACCGAUCACAAGAUCCUCAAGUACCUCCUUACUCAGAAGGAGUUGAAUCUUAGGCAACGUUGAUGGAUUGAGUUGCUCAAAGAUUAUGACUGCACGAUAGAGUAUCAUCCUAGUAAGGCCAAUGUGGUGGUCGAUGCUCUUAGUCAAAGAACGAUGACUGAUUUGAGGGUUAUGUUCGCUCGUCUCAAUUUAUUUGAUGAUAGAGGUCUGUUAGCCGAGUUGCAAGUUAAGCCAACUUGGAUUGAUCAUAUUCGAGUUAAGCAGUUAGGGGAUGAUUCUAUGGUUCUGCGGUUUUGUUAGGUUGAGAGUCAUAGUACUUUUGAUUUUGGACUGAUUAAUGAUAGAGUUUCGUGUUUCUGAAGUCGGGUUUGUGUAUCGAGCAAUUGUGAUUUGAGGCAGUCAAUUUUGAGGGAAGCACAUAGUAGCCCUUAUGAUAUGCAUCCUGGUGGUAAUAAGAUGUAUCGGGAUCUUCGUGAGUUGUACUGGUGGCCGGGAUUGGAACGUGAGGUAACAGAUUUUGUUGGUUGUUGUCUGACAUGCCAGCAAGUUAAGGCUGAACACCAGUUGCCUUCAGGUUUGCUUCAACUUGUUAAGAUUCCCUUGUGGAAAUGAGAAUGAGUGACGAUGGACUUUGUUAGUGGAUUGCCCUUGACAUCCAUUAAGAAUGAUUCUAUUUGGGUCAUCGUGGAUCGAUUAACCAAGUCUGCCCAUUUUAUUCCGAUUUAGACGGACUACUCUCUGCAAAAGUUAGUGAAGCUCUACAUCUCUGAGAUUGUAAGACUGCAUAGGGUUCUGGUUUUGAUAAUUUCUGAUAGGGAUCUUUACUUUACUUCUCAGUUCUGGAGGAAACUGCAUGAGGCUUUAGGUUCAAGAUUGGACUUCAGUACCGCGUUUCAUCCUCAAACCGAUGGUCAAUCUGAGAGAGUGAUUCAGAUACUGGAGGAUAUGCUUCGGAGUUGUGUGAUUGAUUUCCAAGGUAGUUGGGAGGAUUUUCUGCCGUUAGCUGAGUUCGACUAAUGUAACAGUUUCCAGUCUAGCACCCAGAUGGCACCUUACAAGGCUUUGUAUGGUCGUAAGUGUCGUACUUCGCUAUGUUGGACUGAAUUGGGUGAGCAACGAAUUUUGGGUCCUGAGUUGGUUUUCGAGACUAAAGAUAAGGCUAGACGAAUUCAGGAUCGUCUGAAGGCGGCUUCUGAUAGACAGAAAUCCUAAGCGGAUCUGAAAAGAAGGGAUAUCCUCUAGUCACAAUCAAACCUUCUUUGAUUCUGAUCGGACCAUCUGUAUUUAACUGAACCCAAUUACUAGCAAGCUAAGGAUAUUAAAUUUUCGUGUUUAAUAGUUUUUAGAAAUUAUAUUUUGUAUUAAACUUUUGUCUGAAUUUCUUUCAAUAUCAAAUUACUCUUUAUAACGUAUGGUAUUUUAUGUCAUAUAUAUAUUUUUUAAAUUGUGUACAUGCAAUUUAGCCUGUAUAAUAUUAAUGGCAUUACUAGAUUUAAUUUUUUUUUAACUUUUGAAAUUUUUUUCUUUUACUAUUUUUAAAGAAUAACCAAAUAUUUAGAAUUCAAUCAAAUGAGAAUUUAGUUCAGUUGACAAAAAUAGAUAUCUUGAAUCUUGAGUACUUCAGUUUAAGACCUACUAUGCACAAAUAUUUACGUAAGGUUUUUUAAUUUUAAUUUAAUUAAUUUUAAUUUAGUUUUAAUCUCGAUUAUAUUAGAACGAUCGAUUUAUGAUUAUUUAUAUUUGUAAUUAUAUUGUACUUGUUACGCUAAAAAAAAUAAAAUUAUUUCACUUUUCCUUUUCUUUCAGAAUAUUUCAUAUUAAUUCCUAAUCGAUCCAGACAUCUGUUUUGUGGUUGCAUCCACUUUAAACUUCAUAAUUCCAAAAUAAGGUGAGCAAAUAAAAGGAUUUGCCUUCCAAUUAUAUAUUCUCACUAAAGGGAAUAUGCAAGUGCCUUCGUUCAUCAUCAUCAUGUGCAUGUGCUUGAUUUUCCCUUUUACCUGGCUAAUUGAAAUGUAUACAUGGGAGUGUGUAUAUAUACAUGCUAAUUGUCACCAUCUUUUAAAGCAUAUAUUCAGCUCCCUGAUAAAUUAUAGAGGAAUAUAUGUUUGUUAGCAUCCUUAUUUAUUAAAGUGAGAUGUUUAAUAAAUACGAGAUUUAUGAUACACUUACAUUUAUAAUAUAAAUGAAAAAUAAAGUUAUUUAACAAACAUAUUUAUUAAAAUUCAUAUAAUAAGCAAUUGAUAUUUUUUAUUAUAAAUGUAAAGUUAAUUGUUUACCAUGCUUGAAUUUAGAGUUGUCUAAGUGUUGAGUUACUCGUCUGAACUCGAGAGUUUGCUCGAAAUAUGAGAGGGUUUAAACAAGUAGACAAAGCUAAAAAAAUAGACUUAGGAAAAUAUAUAGACCCGUUUCCUAUUCGAGCUAGGCCUUGAAUAGAGUUUUUAAGCCCGAGCCUAACCCGACCUGAAUAUAUAUAAUUUCUAUAUUGAUUCUAUUCCUUUGCUGGGUAUGGAACAUUUGAAGGUGUGCAAUUUACUUACGGCAUGUUUGGUUGGGUGUAUUGGCUAUGCCAAUACACCCCUAAUCGGUGGGCCCCACUUAAGCUCCCUUUAUUCCGUUGUUUGGUUCAUGGUAAUGCUAUUACGGGUGUAAUCUAUUACUGCCCUAAUCGGUGAAAUCCAUCGAUUUGUAAUACAGCCCUUUUGCUCAGAUUAGGUGCUGCAUCCAAAUCCCUCCCUGUUUUACCCUCCCAAUUGGCUUCCCCAUUCCAUCGCCUCUUCCUUCGUUCUACCUUCGUUCUACCUUUGCCUCCCGAUUGGCUUCCCCAUUCCUUCGCCUCUUCCUCUGUCUCUCAACCUCUUCUUUUCUUUUUCUUUACAACCAGUCACUCUUUCGUUUUGCCUUCUCAACCAGUCGACCUUUUUCUUUUCUUUUUCUCUGUGUCACUCCUUCGAUUGCUCUCAAUUGAUGGGUUUCCAGGUUACUGCUACUGAAAGGUAAAGGUUUCUAACUCUCUUUUGCUCUCAAUUAUCCUGUAAUUGUUCUAACUCUCUUCUUCUCUCUGUACUGAGUUUUAAUGGCUGUCUUGUUAGUGUCUUCUUCAUUGCACUUUCAGGGCCUGAUCAUAUAAACUUCAUCGAAACACGGAAUCUUUUGUUUCUUCUUCUCUUUUGCUGGAGUUUUUGCUUUAAUUUUCGGUAAAAAUUUCUUACUAAUCUUUGAUUUUGGUUGUUUUCUCAUUGGUUGAUCUUUACGGCCCUCAUGGAAUCAAAGACCUGAAAGUUUAAAGGGAAUUUUCCUUACUUUCUUGAUAAAAUUCAAUUUAAAACAUUCCAAUAAUUUUUUCCACCUUGUGAUUGGUAAUUUUUCACUUCUUAAUUCUUUUUGAAUAAUUGAGUUAUCUACUUCGUUAUUAGAUGAUUAUUGUUAUGAUUAUUUGAAGAACAGUAACUUGUGUACAUGGAGUUUAUUUUGUUCUAAUUGCGUGACAGGUUUUCGAUGCUUAGUUGCAUGUUAAACAGAAAUCCAGAAUGAUCCUAUCAAUGCAAGAAAAGUCACAGUUUAUUCCAAUUUACAAUCAUUUUUUUCUUUUUCUAUGUGUGUUUUUAUCUUGUUAGGAUUAGACUUGCUCAUAUUCAUUUUCGUUCAGUAUGUUGUUUUUUCUAUUAGAUUUUCAUUUUUCUGGAUUGUUCUUUUAAAAAAUGAAUGAUUUUUCCUAGUAAUCUAAUUUAAUUUGUGUUUUUAUGUUAUGGGGGGCUAAAAUGAUUAGUAUUCUUCUCCAGCAAAGAGAAUGAAGCCAGAGGUUUCUUCGUUGAAUCCCUGUGCAGCAUCAUACAUACCACUUGCCAAAAGGGAGGGUUCCAUAGCUAAAGAUAUUAAGGCUGGAAAUGAGUCUGCUUGGUUUGAUCCUUCCUCACGUAGCAAUGCUUCACUUGAAUCUGCAAUCCCUGGCAUUGGAAACCACCUGGUUGCACUGAAAAGCGACCCUGGUCAUGGUUCUUUGAUGCAAAAUCAGGGUGAAAUGAGUGGCGAGCAGAUUAUGGAUGAGGAAUUCGACAUGGAUUUGGAGUAUCUUCGCAUGAUGUUCCCCGGUUUGUCCAAUGACUCUGUUCUGGAUGUCUACAUGGCUAAUAAUGGAGACUUAGAAGCCACUAUUGACAUGCUGAACCAACUUGAGGUAAAUUUUGCCUAUCUUUAUUUUAUAAUUUAUAUAACUUGAUUGUCUGAGUGGUCUUGCUGGAUUAGUUUUCUAUAUUAUUUUCAUCUCGAAUGUUUCCUAUAUUAUUAGCUCCUCUUACUGUUCCAUCCUGCAGAUUUCCAAGUGUCCCUCUAUGAAAGUGCUAGUAGUGAAGUAAUUGAAUUUAUGAAUAAUUUUCUGAUGUUAUGGGUAACAUAUUUCACUUGUUUUUAACUGUAUGACAUCAAAGAGUUAAGGAUGUUAGUCUGCAUUCAGGCCUAUUUCAGCAUAACCAUGGUUUUUCUUCAUUUGUUUUAAUCCUCCCUGUGCAAAUGAUAGAGAUUUUUCAACCUGUUUUUGUCUCCCACCUUUUGAACUUUCAUAUGAUUUUAUACAUUGAUUUAUGUCAAUGAUUUCCCCACAUAUUUUGUUCUUAUGGAUCGUAUACCUUCAGAUGCUUUUAUUGUUUUUAUUCACCUCACUUUCAGUUGAAUAUAUUAUAACUGAGGGUUGUGUAGUGUUAUCUUGUUCAUAUAAAUUUGUUUGGAAAUUUACCUAUUCUAUAAUGCCAUUAAUAAUGUAUGCUAAUUUGAAUAUUGGGGAUAGGAUGUUUUCCUCAUGCUGCUUGCUUCUUGUUUACUCAUUGUACGGCAAGUUCUUUCUUUGGUUUCAUUAGAAGUGAUUUCUGGAGUAUUUGUGAUUUUGAUUCUUGAAUUAGUUUAUGGUUGGGAUUAAAAAUGCACAUUUUUGCCCUUAUUUCAGUAUUCAUGUACAUUGGAUAGUUCUCUUUGUUAGAUGUACACUGUUGAGUCCUCUGACACUCUUCCCGACACAUUGGAUAUCGGUGAUAUCUCUGAAUUUAUCUCUUCAGCAAACUGUGGUACUCUUAAACUGAAGAAUGUGGCAGGUGAAACCGGCGCGUCUUCAUUAGGCUCUACAGAAUCAGCUGUUACCUCCUGAUUGACAUAAUCAAAGGGGUUUCAGUGUUUCUAGUUUUAGUUGUAUCUCUCAGUGGAUAAGAAGUGUACACAAGUAGGGUUCUUCUUCAAGGUUGAGAAAUGUAGUACUUUGCUUUUAACACUUGAAGGGUUUAACAUUGGAUGUGUAGUUGUAUGCUGUAACAUUUGUUUGGUCGCUCAACUUUUUCUACAUUUGUUUGGCGAUGGAAGAGUAUUUGUUUUGUUUAUGCCUUUGCUGGGGGUUCAUUUUCUCUAUAUAAUAUAAUAACUUAUAUUAGAAGUAAAAUUGUAUUUUGCUUUCUACUAAAAGAAUGGGCAAAUUAGUUCGUGUACGUAAGAUUAAAGAGCAAACUAAUCUUUUUGUUAAAAAUUUCAUCCAUUUUUAUAAUUAAAACCGGUCUUUAUAUGUCGGCAUGAGGUACACGUGGUACAUUACAUGUAAUUGUCUGAUUAUUUUUAUUGUUAACAAUUGAUCUUUUUACAUAGUUUGUGAUAUAUGCACAAAUGAGGUGAAAUUUAUUAAAUUUUAUUCACCGAAUCUAUCAAUUUUCAAAUUUGGAAAAUCAGUCGACUUGCAACGACUUUUUGGAUAGGAUCAAACAUUCUUGGAUUGAGAUAUUUUCAUAGUGUUUGGAGAUCUCUUAAUAUAAGAAUAUUAAUUAUUAAGAAUUUUAUUAAAUUAUAUAUUUUAAUUAUAAUAUAUUUAAUAAUAAUUAUGUUUAAAUAUGAUUAAAAUAUUUAUUAUUGAUAUUAAUAAUCUUAUUAAAAUUUAAAUAACAAUAACAAUAAUAAUUUACCAAAACAAAUUUCUGCUAAUUAUUAAGAAUUUUAUUAAAUUAUAUAUUUUAAUUAAAAUAUAUUUAAAAAUAAUUAUUUUUAAAUAUGAUUAAAUUAUUUAUUAUUGAUAAUAAUAAUCUUAUUAAAAUUUAAAUAAUAAUAACAAUAAUCAUUUACCAAAACAAAUUUAUGCUAAGGGUAUUCUAGUCAUUUUAGUUUUUUCCAUUAUGUUAUUACACCUCUAUUCCAUUCAACCAAACACAAGAUUACUAUUACGCCUCUAUUCCAUUACAUUCAACCAAACAGUUGAUUUGCUAUUACACCUCUAAUCCAAUACACCUCUAAUCCAAUACAGCUCUAAUCUAAUACACAUCUAAUCUAAUACAGCGAACCAAACGCACCCUUAGUGAUACUGAUGAUGUCUAAGUUGAUUGUAAUUACAUUUAUAAGAUCCCGAUAGCUCUGCAUAAAGGUUUGGAUAAGAUGAUUUGGCGUUGCUCUAAUAAUGGAUUAUAUUCAAUAAAAUCAGGAUGCAAGUUAGCCUCUGAUUUGUAUUCAAAUUUUGUUUCGAAUGAAGCCGGCGGUCCUCGAUUGAAGAUUUGGAAUGGCCAUUUCCAAUCGGAGGUGAACUAUUUUACUUGGAGGUGUCUCAGAAACUUUAUUCCUACCAAGGCAAUGUUAAUUGUUAAAGGAUUAAAUGUGCCUUCUAUUUGUGCUAAAUUUUAUAUAUAAACUUACGCCCUGUUUGAGAAUGUUAAUCAAUUAAAAAUUAAUAUUCAAUUAAUUGAAAAUUGAUAUGUAAUUUUAGUUGAAAUUUGAUGAAUUGUUUUUUUUAAAUGGAAUGGCAAUAUUUGCAUGAUAUUUUGAGUUCAAAUAUCUUUAUGAUUAAAUUUUUAUUGAUUUAUUAUAUGUAAAAAAGAUUAAAAAAAGAAAGAAAAGAACAUUAUCACAAAAAUAUAAUUUAAUUAGUAUAUAAGAGAAUAUUUUAAUAAUUUUAAAAUUGAAUUGAUAAUCCAUCACACUGGUAUAGAUUAACUAAGGAGUGUUUCAAAGUGUUGAACGCCUCAUGGUCUGGAAAACAUGGCCAUAAAAACAAUAUACUAAACACAUAAGUGUAAGACCCAAAUUUUGCCCAAGCCUAAAAUAUUUACAGUCCAAUUACAAAACCCAAUAUUUAACCUAAACUAUCAGCCCAAUUAAGACCUAAAACAAAGACCCAAAACCAAGCCCAACACGGCCCAAACUAACAAAAACCCUAAUGCCUCGAUAGGCCCAAAAUCUAAACAAAUUUCAGCCAAAAUAUGGAAGCAGAAACCCAAGUGCGCCGCUCCCUACGUGGUGUCAGCACCUUCUCCGCUGCAACGCUGCCACUGGCCUCCUCCACGCCUCUGACAGCACCUGCAAAACCAAAGCAACAAGCAAAACAACAGCAGAGACAACAGUGGCAACAGAGUAGAAGGAAAACGAAAUAGUAGAAUAUAUUGUAAUUUAUUCGACUAUAAAAGCCUCGAAAAAUCAGUGUAUCAAGGGGGAUUUUUGGGGAACAAAAAAGAAAAUCGAAUAAAAGAGAAGAAAUUUGAAACAAAAUACCAAAGGUGAUUCCUCUUUUUAUUUUUUAUCUUACUUUCAAAAAAAAAACAAUAAACAAAAGCACGGUCUUUUUACCUGAGUCGACAAACCUUCCACAGUGGUCGAAAGUCCUCUCCGGCGUUCGAAACCUAGAACCCAUAGUGGUUCGGCGUGAUGAUUUUGAGAGACGUUGUAACGCCUCAAUUUUUAGGCCUGGAAGUAUUGGGCCUUCAGUCUAGGUUUGGGUAGAAGACGGCCCGAAUAAUUUGGAUGUUAUUAUUAUUAUUAUUUCGUAUGUUUAGUUUAGUAAUUAAAUAAAUUAUGAAGGGUUUAUGGUGUGGGAAAAGGUCCAGGGCUCGGCCCAUAGCUUUAGCAAAAUUAUUAAAUUUUGCCUCUUAAGGGAAUCUGGGCAAUAGGCCUUAUUAAUAAUUUGGGCAAGGAACUUGGUGUUGGCCGAAUAUUGGACUCUUGAGGGGCAAGAGUUGGCCGACCAAGGGUCUUUAGUAUAGGCAAUUCGGCUAGGUCUAUGUGCUUUUUAAUUUUUCCCUUGACGAAUAUUAUUUCCCUUCUCCCCUCUCUUUUAUUCAUAUUUUCUUUUCUUUUUCCCUCAUAGCCGAACCCAUACCCCUUUCUUUCUUCAUUAUUUCUUAAAAGUCAAAUCUUAUUAUAGCCGAACCUCUAUUCUUUUCUUCCUUAAAAAGCCAAAACCUUCAUACCUAUGGUUUAGGAAGCCGGAUCUUUGGCUACUUGAACCUGUUUCUUCUAACUACGGUAGAUCGGGAUUAAUAUCAUAGAUAUGAGCACUUUUCUGGGCCAAACAAUGAUUGGUAAGUUUGUCGAAUAAUUUUUGUUAAUUAUUUAUGAUUUAAUAUAAAAGCGGAAACCCCUUAAGGGUGGCUAAUGUUUGGACUAAGGGCGUUAGUGCCUCUUUUUUUCCAUUGUAUAAGCAUUAGCGUGGACAAAGGGGCGUGCAGUAAAGGGUUUGAAGACUGAUUCGGACUGGAUAUCUAGAUCUAAUCCAUAUUUCGGCAAAAAGGUAAGAACUCUAGGGUUAAGGGAUGUUGGCCGAAUUUGGUAAGGGGGAAUAGUACGUAGUUUGUUUUCGGUAUGUAGACUGACAUUUAGUAACUCGAUUGUAGGAAACCCCUGAGUGGAUCUCGCCAGCAUACCGUUACAAAUCAGGUGUGUAAACGACACCCACUCAUAGACUAGAUCGGCAAAAGCCGAAAAGUUGAAAUGCCGAAAAGUCGGCAUUUUGUGAACUUGCGAGCGUGCGAGUGCUCGUGAGGUGGUUAGUUUGUUAAAUUUUGGUAAUCACAAGCGGUAUGAUUGUAGAGUGCGCAAUUUCAUGCACUUCAGUAUAUUUGGGCUUAAUGGGCCGAAAACGGGUUAGUGGGCCAACGGGCCUAAUUCGGUAAAAACGCUCGGUAGGUGUUUUUGUUAAUGCGUUAAUAACUAUAAUGAGCAUGAAACCCUAAAAAUAUUGAUAAAAUUACUGAAAUACCUCUGUAAGAUAGAAUUACCGUAAUACCCCUAAAGGGGUAAGUUUACGAUUACGCCCCUCGAGGGUAAAUAACUAUUCUUACGCUAUAAUCUGACUGUCUUUCUGAAGCAUGCCUUGUUAAUUAUAUAUAUAUAUUCUACAUACAUGUCAUACUGCAUGGGGUUGGGUUUUGUUAUGGAGGAAGAACCCGUUCUGGUAGCUGUGCCACAUAUUCUGAUAUAAGCAACUUGGCUGCGGAUUAUAGUUAGUGCCGCAACUGGUGCUAACACUGUAAGUGUAAGGAUGGCGUGGGUGAUUUAUUCCCCACAGGAAGUGUAGGGAUGGACGGAGGCAAGUGCAGGGUUGGAUGGGGUUAUCAUGUGUUAAUCAUAUGAGACUGUUUUAUUAUGGGCCAACUGUAUUGAAAUGGGCCCAACUGUGUUGAUAUGGGCAAGGCCCAAUAUAUCUCGACUUGUAAUAGGGCUAUCGCCCAGAUUAAUACUAAUAUGGGCUAGACCCAGUAUACUUUGAUAUUGUAAAGGGCUAUGGCCAGAUUAAUAUUGAUAUGGCCUAAGGCCCAGUUAGCCCUGAUUUUUGAAUAGAGGUUAGGCCUAGUAAAGCUUGAACUGAUUUGGGCUCUGGUUGGGAUACUUUACACACUGAGUUUUCUAAACUCACCCCAUUUUUUCCUAUCUUUGCAGGUGAGCCUUAGAUCGGUGGACUUGGAGCUGGAGGGAUUCAGAGUGGCCAUGUGGACUGUUUAAAAUAAGUGUUUAUACCUUCACUUUUAUUUUAGAUUAUUUCCUUUAUGUUUUCGGGUUUUUAAUUUGUAAUAAGGCUGCUUUAAUUAUUUUUUAAUUGUUUUUAGUAUGUUUUGUUAGCUUAGAUAUGAUAUUGUUUUAAUUGUUUGAAAUUGAAUAGCUCUAGGGCGUGUUUUCAAAAGAAAUUACCUGAUUUCAAAAUAUCGCGAAACAAGACAAAGCUUCCGCAACGAAAACGUUUUCAAAAUUUAAUAAGUGAUUUCAAAUGGAUAAAAACGAAAUGGUUUCUUCUAAACAAUCGCUCAGUUAAAGUGUGGCAAUGGUUGUGUGCAUGUCUAGGAGUGGAUCCGUGGAGAGCUUGGUACUUAAGCAGUCUAAUAGACUCACCUCCUCUUUUCUAGUAUCCUACCUGGUGCACAGCUCCCAUUCACUUUAAUUUAAAACGAAAAUAUUCUUUGAACACUAAGAAAAAAAUUUAGAUAAGACAUGAGUUUUCAGUUACGCUUUAAUGUGACACGUUGGAUUCGACCGUAAUAUAUGAGCCGGGUUUGGGGUGUUACAUUUAGUGGUAUUAGAGCCCAGUUGCAACAACUCGGCUGUGGAUCGGGUCCGAACGUUUUUCAUAAAAUUUUGAAAUCUAGUUCCAUGGAAAAACACUGAAAUCGAUUUUGUGGAAAUGUUAGAAAAUUAUUUUAAAUUUUGUUUUCAAAGUGCACAAAGAAUAAAUUUGAAUUUUACUAAGUGCACAAAGAAGUGGCACACUGAAUCCCCGGCACCAAGUCUGUAAGUACCUUUUCUGAACUUUACUAAGUAUUUGUUAUAUUACUGAGACUCUGCUAUGACAUUAUAGUUAGAGCUAGAGUGCACAGUAGAAGCAUAGUGGUUUGGCUUGAGUAAUACGGUUAGUUGAUAGUUUGAAAUUUCGAGGACGAAAUUUCUUUAAGGGGAGUAGAGUUGUAACGCCCCGAUUUUUGGGCCUGAAAGUAUUGGGCCUUGAGUCUGGGUCUGGGUAGAAGACGACCCGAAUAAUUUGGAUGUUAUUAUUAUUAUUAUUAUUUAUUAUUUCGUAUGUUUAGUUUAGUAAUUAAAUAAAUUACGAAGGGUUUAUGGUGUGGGAAAAGGUCCAGGGCUCGGCCCAUAGCUUUAGCAAAAUUCUUAAAUUUUGCCUCUUAAGGGAAUUUGGACAAUGGCCUUGUUAAUAAUUUGGGCUGAGUUUUAGCAUAAGCAGGCACCUGGCCCAGUGGCUAAGGACGCUAGGAGGGCGUGGGAGGUGCUUGGGUUCAAGGCACAGCGCGCGCAAAUUGGGUGUUUUAUUUUAAUAUGCAGAUGGCGGUUGAAAUAAGGGUUAAGAGGAAAUGCCAGCAUAAUUCAACACAAGGAGCGCCUGUGGCGCAGUGGCAGCAGCGUGCUGGGCACACAGAGAGGGGGCGGGUUCGAGUCCUUGCGCGGGUGAACUCCGUUUUAUUUUUGAAACGGGCCAGAACUGAAGAAGGUAAGGUUAUAAAAUAAUUGAGAGAGGAUUAUGUUAUGGAAGGAACCUCGGUGCAGUGGCAAGCAGUGUAUGUGUGUGUUUAGCAGGUCCUGGGUUCGAGAGGAACAGUAGGCAAAAUUUCUUUUUUAUUUCACAAGUAACCGGAGCUUCAGCAGGUAAGGUUUUAUAAAUAAUUGUAACCAUAUACUAGUAAAGAAUGAAGUGUGGUGCAGUGGCCAGCAGCACUGGCGUAAGUGUAAGGGUAGACGGAGGUUUGGGGUUCAAGUCUCACUUUGUUUUUAUUCAUAUUUUCUUUUCUUUUUCUUUUUCCCUCAUAGCUGAACCCAUACCCCUUUCUUUCUGUCUCUUCCCUUAUUUUACUUUCUUCAUUAUUUCUUAAAAGCCGAAUCUUAUUAUAGUCGAACCUCUAUUCGUUUCUUCCUUAAAAAGCUGAAACCUUCAUACCUGUGGUUUAGAAAGCCGAAUCUUUGGCUACUUGAACCUGUUUCUUCUAACUACAGUAGAUCGGGAUUAAUAUAAUAGAUAUGAGCAAUUUUCUGGGCUGAACAAUGAUUGGUAAGUUUAUCGAAUAAUUUCUGUUAAUUAUUUAUGAUUUAAGAUAAAAGACAGAACCCCUUAAGGGAGGCUAACGUUUGGACUAAGGGCGUUGGUGCCUCUUUCUUUUCCAUUGUAUAAUCAUUAGCGUGGACAAGGGGAUGUGCAGUGAAGGGUUUGAAGACUUCUUCGGAUUGGAUCUCUAGAUCUAAUCCAUAUUUCGGCAAAAAGGUAAGAACUCUAGGGUUAAGGGAUGUUGGCCGAAUUUGGUAAGGGGGAAUAGUACUUAGUUUGUUUUCAGUAUGUAGACUGAUGUUUAGUAACUCAAUUGUAGGCAACUCGUGAGUGGAUCUAUCCAGCGUACCAUUACAAAUCAGGUUUGUAAACGACACCCACUCAUAGACUAGAUUGGCAAAAGUCGAAAAGCUGAAAUGUUGAAAAGCCGUCAUUUUGUGAACUUGCGAGCGUGCGAUCGCUCGUGAGGUGGUUUGUUUGUUAAAUUUUGGUAAUCACAAGUGGUAUGAUUGCAGAGUGCGCAAUUUCGUGCACUUCGGCAUAUUUGGGCUUAAUGGGCCGAAAACGGGUUAGUGGGCCAACGGGCCCAAUUCGGUAAAAACACUAGGUAGGUGUUUUUGUUAAUGUGUUAAUAACUGUAAUGAGCAUGAAACCCUAAAAAUACUGAUAAAAUUACUGAAAUACAUCUGUAAGGUAGAAUUACCGUAAUACCCCUAAAGGGGUAAGUUUACGAUUACGCCCCUUGAGGGUAAAUAACUGUUCUUACGCUAUAAUCUGACUAUCUUUCUGAAGCAUGUCUUGUUAAUUAUAUAUAUAUAUAUUCUGCAUACAUGUCAUACUGCAUGGGGUUGAGUUUUGUUAUUGAGGAAGAACCCGUUCUAGUGGCUGUGCCACAUAUUCUGAUAUAAGCAGCUUUGCUGCAGAUUAUAGUUAGUGCCGCAACAGUUGCUAACACUGUAAGUGUAAGGAUGGCGUGGGUGAUUUAUUCUCCACAGGAAGUGUAGGGAUGGACGGAAGCAAGUGCAGGGUUGGAUGGGGUUAUCAUGUGUUAAUCAUAUGAGACUGUUUUGUUAUGGGCCAACUGUAUUGAAAUGGGCCCAACUGUAUUGAUAUGGGCAAGGCCCAAUAUAUCUCGACUUGUAAUAGGGCUACGGCCCAGAUUAAUACUGAUAUGGGCUAGACCCAGUAUACUUUGAUACUGUAAGGGGCUAUGGCCAGAUUAAUAUUGAUAUGGUCUAAGGCCCAGUUAGCCCUGAUUUCUGAAUAGGGGUUAGGCCUAGUAAAGCUUGAACUGAUUUGGGCUCUCGUUGGGAUACUUUACACACUGAGUUUUCUAAACUCACCCCAUUUUUUUCCCAUCUUUGCAGGUGUGCCUUAGAUCGGUGGACUUGGAGCUGGAGGGAUUCAGAGUGGCCAUGUGGAUUGUUUAAAAUAAGUGUUUAUACCUUCACUUUUAUUUUAGAUUAUUUCCUUUAUGUUUUCGGGUUUUUAAUUUGUAAUAAGACCGCUUUAAUUAUUUUUUAAUUGUUUUUAGUAUGUUUUGUUAGCUUAGAUAUGAUAUUGUUUUAAUUGUUUGAAAUUGAAUAGCUCUAGGGCGCGUUUUCAAAAGAAAUUACCUGAUUUCAAAAUAUCGCGAAACAAGACAAAGCUUCCGCAACGAAAACAUUUUCAAAAUUUAAUAAGUGAUUUCAAAUGGAUAAAAACGAAACGGUUUCUUCUAAAUAAUCGCUCAAUUAAAGUGUGGCAUGGUUGUGUUCAUGUCUAGGAGUGGAUCCGUGGAGAGCUUGGUACUUAAGCAGUCUAAUAGACUCACCUCCUCUUUUCUAGCAUCCUACCUGGUGCACAGCUCCCAUUCACUUUAAUUUAAAACGAAAAUAUUCUUUGAACACUAAGAAAAAAAUUUAGAUAAGACAUGAGUUUUCAGUUACGCUUCAAUGUGACAUGCUGGAUUCGACCGUAACGUCUGGGUCGGGUUUGGGGUGUUACAGAAGUUAAAAAAGUUUUUGGUUAUUUUUUUUAUUUUGGAAGUAGAGGGUUCAAAACGGAGAAAAAAUGGCUCUUUUCGUGUACUCCGACCAUUGUGGACGGCGGCCGCCACGGUGGUCCGGUGAUCGGACCUUGGCCGGAUGCUGGAAGAGGGGAUAGAGUUUGAGAGGUUUUUCCUUUGUUUUUUUUGAGAGGUGUUGAAAAGAGCAAAAAAAAAGAGUGUAAAUUUUGGUUUAAAUACUAGUACUAAAACGAUACUGUUUUGGGCUUUAUGCCCCAGAUGCAAAACGACGCCGUUUCAUCCCUACCCGCGUGUUGACCCGACCCGUCUAGGGGCAUCCACGUGUUUUGACCGAAUGGGCUUGUUGCACUUUUGGCCCUUCCGCUUUUUUAUCAAUUUGCAAUCAAGCUUCCUUUUAUUUGUAAUUCGUGCCCUAUAAUUUAUUUCAAUCAUCAAUUUAGUCCCACACAAAGUGACACGUUUUGGAGGGCAGGAAUAUUUAUUCCUCUAGUCCCUCCAUUUCAUUCGCGCACUGCAAUAUGGUCCUUUCCCUUUUAUUCCUCUCAGAUUUGCCCCGAAUUUUUGUUUUAAGUUCAAAUUGGUCCCUUUUUGUUAUUUUUGCUAUUUUAUUAACUGUUUAAUAUUAUUGUUACUAUAAUCAUAUUUUAUUUUUGUGCUUAUUUAUUUGCUACUAUCAUUAUAUUAUUAUAUUAGUAACUUUGUAUUAUUAUCAUUAUUAUAAUCAUAUUUUCUUUUUGUGUUUCUUUACUUAUUAUUACAUUAUUAAUUGAUCUAUUAUUACUAUUAUUAUUAUUUUCACUAUUACUAUUAUUUUCUAACAUUAUUAUUACUAUUACUAUUAUUUAUUUAUUUAUUUAUUUAUAUCAUUGUUGUUAUUAUUAUUAUUCCUGAUUUUAUUAUUAUUGGUGUAUUAUUAUUAUUAUUCUUCAUUUUAUUAUUAUUUUCUAUUUUAUCAUUUAUUAUUAUUAUUUAUUAUCAAUAUUAUUAUUAUCAUUGCUAUUUUUAUUUUCAUUACUAUCAUUAUUAUUAUUUACUAUUAUUUAUUAUCAUUAUUAUCACCAUUUCCUACUAUUAUUAUUAUUAUUAUCAUCAUUAUUAUUUAUUUGUUUACAUAUGUUUUAUUACAAAUUGUGUCUUUAACUUCAUUUAUCUUUUGAUUCUUUACUUUCAAUAUUUCUUUGUCUUUAUUAUAUUUCAAAACUGGUAUCGUCAUUUCAUGUGCGUGAUUUAUCAUUAGUGUUCUUGUCGUCAUCAUUGUUAUUAUUAUUUAUUUUGUUUUCCUUUGAUGGUUAAUACUGGAAUUAAAGUGAUAUGCAUUAUGGAUUGCUUAUUAGUAUAUUUACAUUAUUGCCACUUAUUUGUGUAACAUUCGAUUCUUAUGCCAUUUUUAUAUUACGCUAAUUCUUACUCAAAUACACAAAAAUAAAAUUUUUAAAAUAAGGCAAUAUUCUGUGUUUGGAGAUUUGAAAGAUCGUGCCCUAACUUAUUGGGUUUCGAUUUUUCUUUGUUCGACCUAAAUGACCGAAUAACCUUUUGAAAUUAAAACGCAUGAAUUUUGAAAAUCAAAAAGCAAGCUUAUUCUCGAGGUUUUAAAAUGCUGUGUCCUAAUUUAUUGGAUGUGACAUUUUAUUACUUCGGGACAAGAAGGUCUUUAACAUCCGUUUCGAUUGAUGCAAGCAAAUUCUUUGUAAAAAAAUCAACAUUAAAAAGAAAGGAUCGUAUUUUUAAUUCUUUUCGAGUUUUUAAAUUUUUACAUUAAGACAUUAAUUAAUCAAUUUGGUACCAAUUUUGGGCGUGACAAGGGUUCUAAUCAUUCCUUGCACGUAACCGACUCCCGAACCCGUUUUCUCAAAUUUCGUAGACAAAAAUUGUUGUUUUAGCAAAUCGAAAUAUUUUAUUAAAAUAACCAAAUUUCUAAGUGAUCUGAUCACACCUAAAUAAAAAGAUUGAUAGCGACUUCCAAUUUUUGUUUUCUUUUCAAAAUAUAAAAUUGAUCCGUUUUAAAAAAAUAGUUUCGAGAGUAAGAAUGUUAGAUCCAAUCGGUUAAAGUAUCCUAUCCCAUUGAAUUUCUAAUUUCCAGCCAAUUGGGUGACUCAUUCUGUCUCGAUUAUGGAUUGAAUAUACACGGAUCCCACAACCCUUUAAAUGACGAGAGUUUCCCACUGCCACAGUUUAGAAAUUCUAUUUUAAAGAGAAGUGACAUUUACCUCAUUUACUCUUAUCGGUUUGUCAUGUUUUGAAUUUGAUCUAUUGCAAAAACUUUCUGAUCUCAUGAUGAGUUUUAUUCACUAUGACACCUUCGUUGACAACAUCCAUCAUAUUUCUUUCCAUGGGUAGGAGUCAUUCAUAAAAAUAUUGGAUGAAUAAUUGUUCCAAAAUUCUAUGUUGUGAGCAACUACCACAUAAUUGCUUAAAUCUCCUAAUACUCGUGAAGAGUCUCCAUACCGUUUUGCUUGAUGCCGUAACUUUUUCCUAGUAGAAAUAGCACAUGACGUAAAAAAAAAUCCGAAAAUAAUCUUAUCAUGUCAAUCCAUGUAGUAAUAGAUCCAGGAGGUAGAUAAUAUAGCCAAUCCUUCACCUUGUUGGCUAGUGAAAAGGUGAAGUCUCUUAGUUUGGUUUGUUCUUUGAUCACUCAUUGUCGUCUCAUAAUAGAACACACUACACCACAUGAAAAUCAUUCAAGUGCUUACGAGGAUCUUUGUUUUUUUGACCACAAAAACUGUUAGUACAAAUAUCCGGUGAGAAAAAUCUCGAACACACGAACAGAACUCGAAAGAAGAAGAAAUAGGACAAGGCUCCAAGGCGUGUAUCAAACCACUUUCUCUAAGAUUAUAUUCGCCCCCACCUAUCUUUGGUGUACAAAUGAGUUCCAAGCAAAUUAACCUUGAUGAUACAAUGAAGCCAAUGACUAUUAGCGUUUUGUACUGACGAGAAUAGCCCACUACACACUGAGCAAUGUAUGACAAGAAACUCAAUUUCUAUAAAGGAUUUUUGCAGUAAUACUUUAUAGAAUAAUCUAAUGAUAUUAGAAAAUGAAGAAAGGAAAGAAAGAAUAUUAGAAUUUGUUGGUAUGAUUUCCAAAUGAAAUCUCAUUCUAUUUAUAGGAAUUUUCAUGUCUCUUCAUAAAGACAUCUUUCAUCAAUAGGUGUCUUUCUGAAUAAUAAUGUCUUUAAAAUAAACACAUAAUUAUUCAAUUAAUUAUAACUAUUCAAAUAAUAUUAUUUAAAUAGUUAUAAUUCUUUUUCAAAAAAUCAAAUAAUAUAAUCUUUUGAUUAAUUACACCCAUUCAUUUAUAGUUGUAAAUAUUUGAAAAUGUUCCAACAAAAAGUAGGCAAUAAAUGAUUUAGUCCAGAUUUUAAUUCAAAAGAUACUUCUAAUCCUAGAUAUUCAAUGCACAACAGUUGUUGCUUCAGAUUUAUUUAAGAGAGAAAUUGGUUAUUCUCCUUUUGAUUCGGUAGAUGAAUCGACUGAAUUGUUCUAUGUAUCUAGUUGGGUAAUGAAGAUGGUUGGUUAGUUCUUGCUCGAACUCUCUUCCUUAGUCUUCGAGCAGUUCUCUCAAACUCAGGAUUGUACAAGAGUUCACCUGCACGAGAAGAUUAAAAUUUUAAUUUUAAUAAAUAUAUUUAAUACUGAGAAAAAAAGAAGAUCAAAACAUAAAAAUGAACAAAAAUUAAAUUAAAUUAAAAACAAGAAAGAGAUAAAAUUAUUAACAUUAAUAUAUGAUAAAAAGGUUAAAAUCUGUACAAUUGUUGAGACCUAUAAAAAUAAAAUCCUACUAAAAAAUAUAAAUUUAGUACAUAACAUUGAGUAGAGUCGUAUUCAUAGAUAUUGAUAAUAACUUUAUUUUUAAAACAAAAACAAGGAAAGUAAAUAUGAUGGAGAUUUUAGAAAAUAAAAAGCUAAAUUUAAAUUUAAAUCUUAACCAAGAAGGCAAUAAUAAAAAUUAUCAAUGAGAUGGAGCUCUAGCCAAUUGUAAAAUAUCUGUUUGAUUCACAAGUUUAAUCAUUGAUGGAAAGAUAAUUCCAUUGUUCUUUAAUAGAUUAGUUCAAAGUUGCCAAUGUCGUACCUAGCAAUCAGUCUCUCCUUAAUUUAUCGAUAACCAAGAGAAAGCUGUUGAAAUUAAUCUUCUUAUCAAUGAACAACCCUAUAACCUCACGUUUAGAAUUUAACUUACCGAUAGAGUUAUAAACGAGAGAGACCUAAUUUUAACCAAAAAAACACACAAGUAGGAUUUAUUUAAAUUAGAUUGCAUUCCCACACAACAUUGAUUGCAUACACAGUUACAGUAUUUAAAUUAGCUCCAUUGGCCAUGGAUUCUACAAGUUGUGUUGACAUUGAUGAUUUUUUUUAUGCUAUUGGUGAUGUCUGUAUUGUCAAAGCGUCAGGUAGAAUGUAUAACAGAUGGCUUGACCAUUGCUGACUUUUACCAAUCCAGCAUGUUUUAAAACUUGGUGGUAGUUGCUGCUACUGGUUAUGUAUUGAGUUGCUGGGAUGCUAGUUAUGUUUUAUUCUGCUGUUGGAAACAUGGUUUGUUGUUGGGGAUUUUUUUGUUGUCAGAUUUACUAUGUUAUGGUUCCUGGUUUAUUGUUUGAUGACUUGAUGGAUGGACGCAGAAGUUGGAGAAAACAUAAGAGUAUAAAUUGAGUCAAAAGAUAAAAUAGUAAAGGCCAUUCUGUUUUAUUUUUCCAUAAUAUUAUACAAACAGUCAACCAUGUAUAUACACAUGGCACUGACAUGAUUGUGAAGGCCUACACACUUUCUAAUGGUUGUACUGGCUAUCAAAAUUUAUUACCAUAACAGUAGUACGGGUAAUGAAGCAGCAGGCAGCUCGUUAUUAUUUAAUUUUGAUAGCCUUAACUACCAGCAUAGCUUGAUGAAGAAGCAAAGGCAGUUAUGCCUCUAACUCAAAUGAUGCCUUCAUUGUGGGUGAACGGCUCACGGGAUCAAUUUCA
rnacentral:lncRNA from 1 species